UAGGAUGAACUUCUCUGGUGUGGAUCAUGGAUUCAUCGAGCCUCACAGGACAGCUCAUCUUAAAUCCAGUCCAAUGGACACAAGAUGGGAUCAGAUAAUGAUGGCUAUUCCUUCAGUUGGGAUGAUAUGAGAACUGGAACGAGGGCCCUUCUGUCCAAGUCAUUUUCCUGAACCUCAUUCCUUGCUCCUCCUCUAAUAGACGCUUAGCCAAUUUUGGGUGAUUUAACAGGACUUCUUGGAGAAAAGCACAGCAGAAUUUCAAUUAUACAAAUCACAUUCAGACAACUACAUAUGCACCUUAAUUCCAGGAACAUCUGGAUUCCAAGCCCACCAUACACCAGGUCAACGCAGUAUAGGCCUCUGUUAAUUCUAACUUACUAGAAGUCUCAAUUUCAUUCGUAGCAUGGUUGGGAAAUGUUAUUUUUGAUGAGAUGAAGUAUUCUGCUACAAUGGUAUAAAAAAAUAUUUGGAGGGCCCAGGGCCCCUGCCAACCCCCUAGCUACGCCCCUGGGGGCUUCUCUACAAAGCAAGCGAGAGCAAUCUGCUGUAAGUAACUACCACAUCUUUCCUCCUCUUAACGUAGGCCAAGUACCUUGACGCAAAUGGUGGAGUAGCCACAUGUGGGACUUCGACUGUAACCGCAGAGAGCUUCAUAGCACAAGCAAAGAAGCAGGUGGACUAAAGUUUAGGUGAUAAUCCUUCCAAAAUGUCUUACAUGGUUGGAUUUGGAGAGACAUAUCCACAACAUGUCCACCGCAGGGGGUCAUCUGUUCCAUUCAUUCAAGAACAUCCUAAUCGCAUGACGUGUAGCAAUGGUUUUCAAUACCUGUACUUUAGUUCACUCAAUCCGAAUUCCUGGUUGGAUCUGUAAUAGGUAGUCCUGAUAGUAAAGACAACUUUGCAGAUGAUCGUAACAAUUAUCAGCAAUCUGAGGCAGCCACAUAUAUCAAUGCACCAUUUGUCGGUGCUUUUGCUUUUUUCUCAGGAAAAGCCACUGCAAACUAAAAUCAGGCUUAUGUAAUAGCGAAUAUGAGAAAGAAAGAGAAGCUAAUGUAGUAAAAAGAAAGUGUCGGGACAUUUGGUGAUAAAAGGGUAUAAUGAUCUUUUUUCUCAUUAAGAUCUUCUAACAAUAAUCAAAGGUAAUUCAAACAUUUGUGUCAACCUAAUUUGACACACUUAAUGUCACAUUAACUUGAUCAUGUUAUUAUUGUCCCUCAUUGGUCCCCUAACUUUCAUCUAUAAAUACAAACAUCCAAGCACCACCAAAGCAAGUUCCAUCUAAUCCUAAUCCUAAUCCUUUACAUUUUUUUCCUUCCGACCUUUCUUAUUCUAAUUUAUGCGUCGAAGUGUAAACUCAGGGAACACUCUCUGCCUUUGCGUCUAAUCGUUCUCUUCCAAUCUCUUAUUCUUUUAGGAAUACCCUUACUUCGAAGCUAGGCACAAACACUUGACACGCUAGGUAAAGGGCCUUUUUUAUUCAUUAGCUGAGCGUGGAGCAAUGCAACCCAAGAAAAUAACAUUGAAGGAAGGAGAGACAACUGUCCAAGCCGAAAUAGAAAUAAAUAACAACCAACACUCAGAUCGACCUGCCCUACAACAAGCCAGUCCAACCAUGAAACAAUUUCAAGCCUUAACCAAGCAAACACAAUCCCUUAAAUAGAUGUUGUAAAUUAUAACCCCCACCAUAGGCUUAGAAAGUGCCCGACCUAUCAUUUAUAAAUACAAACAUCCAAGCACCACCAAAGUAAGUUCCAUCUAAUCCCAAUCUUUUACAUUUCUCUUCUUCCGACCUUUCUUAUUUUAAUUUGUGCGUCGAAGUGUAAACUCAGGGAACAUUCUCUGCCUUUGCGUCUAGCCGUUCUCUUCCAAUCUCUUAUUCUUUUAGGAAUACCUUUACUUCGAAGCUAGGCACAAACACUUGACGCGUUAGGUAAAGGGCCUUUUUUAUUCAUUAGCUGAGCGUGGAGCAAUGCAACCCAAGAAAAUAACAUUGAAGGAAGGAGAGACAACUGUCCCAGUCGAAAUAGAAAUAAAUAACAACCAACACUCAGACCGACUUGCCCUACAACAAGCCAGUCCAACCAUGAAACAAUUUCAAGCCUUAACUAAGCAAACACAAGCCCUUAAACAGAUGUUGUAAAUUAUAACCCACACCAUAGGCUUAGAAAGUGCUCGACCUCUCAUUUAUAAAUACAAACAUCCAAGCACCACCAAAGCAAGUUCCAUCUAAUCCCAAUCCUUACAUAUCUCUCCUUCCGACCUUUCUUAUUUUGAUUUGUAAGUCGAAGUGUAAACUCAAGGAACACUCUCUGCCUUUGCAUCUAACCAUUCUCUUCCAAUCUCUUAUUCUUUUAGGAAUACCUUUACUUCGAAGCUAGGCACAAACACUUAACGCGCCAGGUAAGAGGCCUUUUUUAUUCGUUAGCUAAGUGUAGAGCAAUGCAACCCAAGAAAAUAACAUUGAAGGAAAAAGAGACAACUAUCCCAACUGGAAUAGAAAUAAACAGCAACCAACACUCAGACUAACCUACCCCACAACAAGCCAAUCUAACCAUGAAACAAUUUUAGGCCUUAACCAAGCAAACACAAGCCCUUAAACAGAUGUUGUAGACUAUAACCUCUACCAUAAGCUUCGAAAGUGCCCGACCUAGUCACUCAUGGCCAACAAGCUACGAAAAAACAACCAAGUUACGAAGAGAUGGAAGCCUCUUCGACCUCUAGAGAAAAAAAUUAUAACAACCUAGCUUACCACUACUCCAAUCACAACUCGACACAUACCAUGACCCAACAAUCCAAACAAACAAAUCUUGAACUCCAAUCGAACAAGGACCUUGAAGCUUGGAUAUAGGCCAUGGAAAAAGAACUAAAGGCAAAGGAAGUGGCCUUUGAGAAAAAGCUUAAAUUUUUGGAAACCUCGCUAUUUAUCGAAAAGAUUAAUAGAGCUAUAUCUCCAAAAGGGUUCAAAAUGUCGACUUUAGAAACUUACAAUGGUAUUUUUUACCCUUUCAAUCAUUUAGAACUUUUAUAGAACUAACAUGCUGAUGUAAGGAGCGAAUGAAACUAUGAUAUAUAAAGGUCUUGCUAUUACCCUUAAGGGAACAACUCGAUCCCAAUAUAACAAUCUAGAAUCAAGGUCAAUCAUAACAUUUAAAGAGCUCAGUCACUCCUUUUUAUCUAGAUUUAUGAGUAACCAAAAAAUAAAAAACACAACUUUGAGUUUGAUGUCAAUCCACCAAUGUCGUAACGAAUCCAUAAAAAGCUAUGUCACGUGUUUUAACACGUAAGCUCUAAAAGACAUAAACCAAAUAAUCACUGUAAUCACCUUGACAAGUGGACUCAAUAACAUAGAAUACCAUCUAAAGUUGACUUUGUCAUUAGAACCAUCUAUGACCCUGGCCGACGUCCUACUUGUAGCUAAAAAGUAUACAAAUGCUGAAGCUAUAAUGAGAAACAAUCAAGGAAAAAAAUGUUCAUCCCUCCUCUAUGGUGGCUAAAGUGAGAGAAGCCCAUCCCUCAUCUUUGAUCGUAAAAAAAGUAAAAUUUUUAUGAUCCUUCACUAAGAUAGAGAUGACAUAAGGUUAGAAGCCCCAGUGGAGAAAAAAAUUAUACAGCACUAAAUACCUAUUGAGAGAAGAUUCUGAUGUAAAUUGAGAAUAAUCCAAAGCUCAGAUGGUUGAAGCCACUAAAACAAAACAUGAUGAAGGAUUGAGCCAAAAUAUAUACAUUUCAUAAAGACAUAGGCCAUAAUACUAAAAACUAUGUCAACUUAAAAAAAAUUAUAUUAAAGCUCUGACUAAAAGAGAUCAGCUGAAAAGGUUUGUAGAACAGUGAAGACAAAGGUAAGCCAGAUCAUACUAUAGAUAAAAUUAAAGAGAACCUACCAAGGAUAGGAAAGGUAGGCUAAAAGAAAACAGAAAUGAGAAAGUCCAAGAAAAUGAACCAAAAUGAAAAGAAGGCUAAAUUGAUAAUAAUAGGCUAGUUGCUGGAAUGAUUAAUGUGAUUACUGAAGGGAGCUCAACCAUGACCAAAAGAAAAUUUAACCUAGGAACGAUCAUGGCCAUGGUUUCUUUAGAAAAAAAAAAGACUAAAAAGAAUAACCAAUCUUAUUCAACUUUAAAGAUUUGAAAGAAAUCCAAUACCCACAUGAUGAUGCUAUAGUAAUUAUAGCUAUGGUAUAUAAUUAUAUAGUCAAAAAAAUCAUGUUCGAUAGUGGAAACUCCACUGACGUCAUGUACUAGGGCACUAUAAAAAAUAUAGGAAUCAGUGAAGACCAGCUGCAAUCUAUCACUACAACCCUAAUGGGAUUUGAGACUGAGCAAGUACCAAUAAAAAGAACUAUUAAGCUACCAAUCUCUCUGGGGACAGAACUAAGGACAGUCACCUCAGUCAUAGAGUUCAUGGUUGUGGAUGUCUCAUCUACCUACAAUAUGAUAUUAGACCAACCUAACUAAUCUAUUAUGUUGCUUAUAGACUUAACUCUCUAUCUAAAAGUGAAAUUUUUAACACCUUUGGAGAUUAGAGAGGUGAGGGGAAACCAGUUCAUGAUACAAUAAUAUUAUAUCAUAAUAAUGAAAAUGAGGAUUGAAAAGUAUACUGGUAGUUUAAUCGGGAUUGAAAAUGCUAAAGAAAGAAGUGUAACAAAAAUAAAAAAAAAGUAAGAAAGUAAGAGCAAAAACAUAUAAUUGACAUGAUGAAAGUGUGCUCUUAAGCCACUCUGAGCUCUCAAGCUCAAAUGAAAAGACACAUUUUAUUUCAUGUUUUCAAGUUUUAAGGUAAUUUUGAAUAUAACUGAGCUUUCAAACCAAUACAAACAAUUACAUGUUAUUCAAACCAAGCUAAUACGCUUGCCAAAACAUAGUUUAAAAUGAAAAAUGCAUAUUAAUUCAACCAUAUAUUCUAAAAAGUUACCAAUAACAUACUAAUCACAACAUUAAGAUCUAUAUUUAUAGAAAAUGGUCCCAACUUAAUCAAACAAAAAAAGAUAAUUGACUAAAGACCUAAUUCAAACAAAAAUUAAUCUGAACUGACAGAGGAUCUCAUAGCUAUAUCGUUCUAGGAUAACAUCCCUAAAAAAUAUAUACAGAUUAAAACAAAAAUUUAGCACAAAAAAUAGUUAAUUUAACUUUUGAGAAAUAAUGCUGACCUAUUAGCUUGAACAAUGUUUGAUAUGCCUAAAAUUGAUACCGAGAUAAUAGUCCAUAGGCUGCAUACUAACCCAAAUGUGAAACCAGUUUAUAAAAAAAAAAACCUUUUCCCAAAAAGAUAAAAAGUCAUCGAGGAAGAAGUCGACAAAUUAUUAUAAGUAGACCUCAUCAAAAAAGUUUAUUACCUACCCUAAAUGGAUAACCAAUGUGGUCAUGGUCAAAAAAUACAGUGAAAAAUGAAAGAUGUGUGUUGACUUUGUUGACCUGAAUAAAGCAUGCCCAAAAGAUGAUUUUUCCCUCCCUAAUAUAGAUUAGCUAAUGAAUGACAGCACCGAACAUAAUUUUUCAGCUUUAUAAAUGCGUAUUCUAGCUAUAACUAAAUUAAAAUAUUAAAUGAUGAUAAGAAAAAAAUGACUUUUAUUACAGAAAAAGGCUUUUACUGUUACAAGGUGAUACCUUUCAGUUUGAAAAUGUGGAGGCGACUUAUCAAAAGCUGGUUAACAAGGUUUUCAAAUAUCAGAUUGGUUGUAACAUGGAGCUAUAUAUGGAUGACAUGAUAAUCAAAAGUAAGAGUUUAGUUGAGCACUUAAGAGAUCUCAAAAAGACAUUUAACAACUUGAAAAAGUAUAAUAUAAAGCUUGAUGAGAGCAAAUAUGCUUUUGGAGUCAUGUCGGGUAAAUUCUCUAGCUAUAUGAUUAAUAAAAAAAAGAUAGAGGUGAACUCAAAAAAGGUUCAGGCAAUCUUGAACAUGAAAGCAUCGACCUUGGUAAAAUAAGUACAAAAGCUAAUUGAAAAAAUAGUCACCCUAAGCAUGUUCAUGUCCAGUUGACAGAAUAAUGUCUGUCAUGUUUUAAAAUUUUUAAAAAUAUCUCUGAUUUCAUGUGGACCUUUCAAUGCCAGAAAGUUUCAAGAAACUCAAAGAGUUUUUAUCCUAUCCACCUAUCCUAUCUAAGUCAAGGUUUGGUGAGACCUUGUAUCUAUACUUGGCCACCACAGACCAGGUCAUCAACUCAAUCUUGGUUUGAAAAGAAGAAAAAAUCAGUCAACUUUGUGAGUAAGAUGUUGACAAGGCUAAAAAUAAACUAAAAUUGUAUAAAAAAAUUAGCGGUUAUUACCUAGGUCAAAAAGCUCAAGCUAUAUUUUCAAGCUUAUACAGUCCAUGUACUGACUGAUCAAUCGCUAAGACAGGUCUUACAUAAGUUAGAAUUAUCUGAAAGAUUAAUUAAGCGGGCAGUAGAACUCAGUGAAUUUGACUUAUAUAUACUCCUUAUGUCAACCUUGAAAUCUCAAGUGUUAGCAAACUUUAUUGUAGAGCUUACCUUGUCACCUUGAUAAACCAUCUAUAAAGAAUAAAGCUUUAGAGAAAAAAUGGUGAAAACUUUUUAUUAACAAAUCAACCAAGAACCAUAAACAGAGAGGCUAAUCUUAUUUUGAUCAACUCUAAAGGAUUGUAAUAUUAAUAUGCCUUGAGGUUUUGAUUCAAGGCAUCUAAUAAUUAGGCAGAAUAUGAGGCAUUAAUAGUUGACUUAAGAUUGAUAGCCAAGCUGAAUGUUCAACAUAUAAUCAUGUAUAAUGACCCUUAAUUAGUGGUCAAUUAGAUAAAUAGAGAGUUUGAAGCUUAAAAAGAAAAGAUUCAGAGAUAUCUAAAUAAAACACAGGCCCUGGUUGUUGAUUUAAAAAAUAUCAAGGUAAAAAAGAUCUUGAGGUCUAAAAUUCAUUGACAGACUUCCUAUUUAAGCUAACCUCAUGAAUAACAACAGAAAGUUUAGAUCAAGUCUUGGUAGAAGAAUUGAUAUAGAAAAGCAUUGAAAAAAAAAACUUGUAGGAUAAAUUAUGGGAAAAAAAAACUUGGAUGACCCUGAUUAGGACAUAUUUAACCAUAAAAACGUUACCUAAAGAUAGAGUUUGAGCUAAAGCAUUGAUGAAAAAGGCUCUUUGUUACACGAUUAUCAAUGAAAAAUUAUACAAAAGAUCUUUUAGCUUACCUUAUCUGAGAUGUGUAGAUGAUUGAGAAAUAGAUUAGGUUUUGCAAGAAAUUCAUGAAAAAAUAUAUGAAAACCACCUCGAACCUCAACCAUUAGCCUAGAAAGUGCUCAAGUAGGGAUACUAUUCAUCCACCAUCAGAAGAGAUAUGACUGACUUUGUCAAAAGAUAUAAUAAAUGUCAAAGAUUCGCUCACAUACAACAUCUCUCGUUGAUCGAGCUCAUCCUUAUUAUUAACCAUUGGCCCUUCAUACAGUGGGAAAUGGAUGUCUUUGAACUAUUCACUUCAGUUAUAGGUCAAAUAAAAUUUAUUUUAGUAACAGUAGACUACUUCACAAAAUAGCUCGAAGUUGAAGUCUUAGCCACUACAAUAGAAGCCUAAGUCAAAAAAUUCGUGUGGAAGAACAUAAUAUGAAAUUUUGGCCUACCUUGGUCCAUUAUAACAGAUAAUAGCAAACAAUUCAAAAACCCAAGGUUCAAAGAAUAGUAUUUAAGGAAUGGUGUUUAAACCUUCACAUCUAUCUGAAAUUCACAUCGAUCGCCCAUCAUCAGUCUAAUGAACAAGCUAAAGCCAUAAACAAGAUAAUAUUUAAAGCCUUAAAAAAGAUAUUGGAUGAAACAUAAGGGAAAUAAGCCAAUGAACUUUUUGGGAUACUAUAGGCCUUGAGGAUGACUACUGCAGUACCAAUAAGAGAAAUUUCAUUCCACUUAUCAUUUAGAACUGAGGUGAUGGUGCCCAUCAAGAUCGAUCUUUCGAGCUUAAAAGUCGAAUUAAAAUUAAAAAGAGAAAUUAAAAGCCCUAACAGUUUACCAAGACCUCAUCGAAGAAUAGAGAGAUAUGACUCUAAAAUGAAUAGUAACUUAUCAACAAAAGGUAUCCAACUAUUAUAAUAAAAGGGUCUGACAUGAUAACAUCUCAAAAGAUGACCUGGUACUUUGAAAGGUCAAAGCCUCAAGAGUUGAUGAUCAAGGUGGUAAGUUAGCUCCAACUUAAAAAAGAUCAUAUAUAGUAAAAAAGGUUAUCUAUGAUGAGACUUACAAGUUACAGUACAUGAACGACAAUACUAUCUUAAGAACGUAAAAUGUAAAUAACUUAAAAAUGUAUUACCAAUAGCUCAAAUUAAAUCAAGCUCAUAUUUUAUGUUCAUAACAAUGUUUAAUGAAAUCAUAACAAUUAUGUUCACCCGACAGCGCUCAUGUUUACUGCCAACCCUCAACCUAAUGCACCCGAUCAAAAACAUUUUAAAAUAUAUCAAUGUUUUACUCUGAGCUCACACUUCAAUUGACCUAACAAAAUUUGACCUGAGACUUAAAUGGAUUUUCAAAUUAAUUUGAAAUAUUCUUAGGUAAUUAAAUAAAUUUUUAAUUCACUUAAGUUCAGGUUGACCUGGUUAACUAAGCUUAAAUAAGUAAAGAAAAAGUAAAACCGGAAUGAAUAUAUCCAAUUCAUCAUGGAACAGGUUAGUACAAAAAAUCAUCAUUGAAUGAUUCUUAUCAAAGGUCACAAUAAAAAUCAACCUCACACAUCAACAAUUUCGAACAAAAAAUUUACAAAAGUCAACAAAAAAAAAGCUAUGUAUCAGCAACAUCAAUAGCAAUAGCAGUAAGACUUAUAUCAUCAGCAGUAACAACAUUCACCUAGACCUUCUAGCCUUACCUCUUUUAGCAUUAGUCUUUAGAGCAGCUUUAAACUCGACAUCCAAUGCUCCAUCUUCAUCUUUUCCCUCUUUUUUCUCUUCGAAUUGAUUUAGAUAAGGCAUCAAUUUGAUAUUGUUGAUAUCAAUAUAAAAAAGAUCAAGGUUGAGGUUGAUAAAUUUGAAAUGCACCUUGUCUUUAGCCAGCUCAAAAACACUGAGCACAUUGUCCCUAGAGAACUACACUUGGAGUUAGAAGAAUUUAUUGAAGGCCUUAAAGUCCUCGAUAGUUUUCUUUUUCAAUUUUUCUUUUUUCGUCUUCUCAGUCUCUAGCUUUAACCUCUAUUUUGUUAUCUCAGUCGAAGCAUCAUUAAGUUUUAGUUUGGCUUGCUCUAUUGAGACUUUCUCAAUAAUGAUGGCUUUCAACUUGGCUAUAAGCUCUUCAUUUCUCUUCUUCUGCUCAACUUUCUUCAUAUGAAAGACAUUGAGGCUAAACCUUUCCAAUAUGUCCAAACCUUUUUUAUGUUUAUCAUUCAAGACAGUCAUGUCUUUCUCAACCUUGAACAGGUAGGCCAUGGCCAAAUAUAUGUGAUAGAGGGCUUGAGUGGUAUAGUUCAUAUGCACAAAGGGAGUUUCUAGAAUACUGCCUAAAACAAACUCAAACUUAAAAAAAUAAAAAAUAGAACAACGAUAUAUUAAGGUAAAGUUAAAUAACACUUAUUGUUCAAAAGAAUUACAAUUUUGCAGAACCUCUUGGCCAUGCUGAAGCUCUAGAAUGGGUCAUCAGUUAAUGGUAUACUCUAGCCUUAUGCAAACUCUUUCCUAGCUAGGCCUUAGCACUCUAGACUCAGGAUUCUUCAAGGUAAAAGAAGAGGCAUCGAUCCUUAACUUCUUAGUAAGUGGAAAAAUGGCUAAAAAGGCAUCCUGAUUAGCCAUGGUCUUUUGCUUCCUGAUGGAUGGAGAGUGUUAAGCUAAAGAGCUCGGUAACUUACCCAUUGUGGGGUUUAUCACCUUACUCCCUCACGAGAAAGGGCCCAAAACUGGAUCUUUUUGCUUUGGGCCUUUUUAGGCCUAGGCUCAUAUUAAAAUAAGAAAAAGUUAAAAUCUUUAUUGAAAGACAUUUCUACAAAACCAAGCUAAGUGUUAAAUAAAAAAUAGGUUAAAAUAAAAUUUUACGAAAUUAUCUCACACCUACCCUAAUACUGCGACUUAUUUAUUAUUUCGAAGGAGGUCAGUUUAUAGGCAUCCAUGACAAGCUCCCUCUACAAGUAUACUUUAUUAUUUUAUCCCAAUCUGAUAGGUCUAGAAUAGAUAAAGCAACUGGCACAUCUAAAAAAUUAUUAGGCCCAUUUAUUACCUUAUAGGGCAUUACCUCGAAUUUUGAUUUCACCAUAUUUAUUUUUAUUUUUUUAUUUUUAAAGGUAAAGAAAGAGUAGCUUUCAAUUUUUGAUAAAGCUCAAAUAAUCAAUGAAUAACUUUUUAUUGGGUCAAGCUAUUACGUAAUACCACAUUCUAUCAUUAGGGUAUCUUUUAACAAAAAAAUUCCUAAAUAGAGAAAGAUCGAAAAAAAUAUCUAAGUGUUGAUAAAGAAUAAUAAAACCUACUAUGUACCAUAUAGAGUCAGGGGUGAAAUGAGUGAUGAUUAAAUUAUAAAAAUUAAAAAUUAAAACAAAUAAAAGAUGAAGUAAGAACCUUAGAUUGACACAUAAGAAUCCCAAUACACCCAAAGUUGAUGUGACUCUAGUUUAUCUGUUACCCAAUCUGAAAAGUUUAGAAUUAAUAAAUCGUACCUCUCCUCUAGAAUAUAAAAGUUUGUCACCAAAGUACGGACGUAAUAAGCUAAACAUAUAUUAAGAUAGUAUUUGAGAUUAACCAUAUCCUUUAGUUCUCUUAUUACAUCUUUAAGGAUUAUACUGAGGUCACAAUAAGUACAUACAGAAACUUUGGCCAACUCAUCCUACUCUAAAGAUUAUCCCCAUCGUUGUCACUUUAUCUAGUUAAGGUAUCCCUUUUCUCCUAUUCCUCUUUGGAACCCUCCCUAUCGUUAAAAUUUUCACCAUCAGAAGACUUUAACUCCUAAGCAAGAGUAAGAUUCCAAGAUGAAACCAUGGCUAAGAGCAACAUGACUUUAGGGGAAGAAAGGCGAGGUGAAGACCUCUAAAAAAAAGGUGAUCUCAAUAAGAGUUAACCAAGUGAAAUAUGAAUGACAAUGGCAGCAUUUAUGGGUAAGAGAUCAGAAAAAAAAAUUGAUAAGACUAUGCCUUAGAAUAAAAAAUAGUCAAAGACGAAGGAAGGUCAACCAUAGAAGUUGAAUCGACCUGAGAUAUAGGAUAAGAAAUAAAGAUAAAUUUUUUAAAUCAAAAUUUAUCUGAACAUACAAUUUUUCUAUGCUCAAGAUCCAUUCCUCUCUUACCCAGGCAUUCUCAUCAUUUUAUUAUUGCCCUUAUUUAGACAUAAGAUUGAGCCAAUAUGACAUAUUUGAUAAUUUUGACCUUCAAUGAUUGGUGGAACUAGGUCAUCGUCAUCCUCCCUAAGUUAACCUCUCGUAUGUUCUACAUUCAAACUUUCAACCUUUCUAGAAUUAAAAUUGAAAAACAUAAUAAAAAGUACGCACCAAAGAAAACAAAAAAAACAAGUGAAAAAAAAAACUAUAAAGCCGAAAAGCUUUUGAAAUCGAAGAGUUUAAGUCGGAUUAAAAGCAAUAAAAACAUAAAGGUGAAAAAUGAAAGCCUCAACAACCAUUUAUAUAGCCAUGCCUCAAAUAAGAUGAACAACCUAAAUUAUGUCACAUGUUAAAGCAUAGAUUAUAAUAUGUCUUUUUAUUUUUCUUGUUUUAGAUUUUUCUACUUAAACUAUCUUUUUUUUCAUUUAAUGUCAUCAAAUUGGUCAGAUUGAAUGGGUCAUCAGAAUAAAUUAGGUAGAUUCCUCAGCCUGAACUAACCUGAUGAAUUGACAUUUGGUUUACCACCAGAAUCCAAAACAACAAUCUAAAUUCAAAUUUUUAGAAAAAACAUCUUAGUCUCACAUCAAGUAGAUGAACUCUUAUCUUGAUUUUUGAUAAUCUCAAAUAAAUGACAUUUCGAUAAUCUUCAAGUUGAUCGUACACUCAACCUAAGGCACAUGUACGAGAUUGAAACCCCAAACAGGUUGAACCAUAGUUUAAGGCCUAUUGUCUUUCAAUACCAACUUUCACGAUGACAUCGACUAUAAGGGAUCAAAUCUCAUGUCAUCCUUUUUCACCUAUUUGGCUUGCAUGAAAUGUGUUAAUCAUACACCCAACAGUUUGAUACUCAGAUUGCUUGGUUAAAGAAUAAAAUGUUAGCGGCAUUUGGUGGUUAAAAUGAUAUAGUGAUCUUUUUCCUCAUUAGAAGCCCUAAGCAGAUAACCAUGAGUAAUUCAGAUAUUUAUGCCAACCUAACAUAUCAAGUCAACCUAACACACUUAGUAUCAUAUUAGUUCGGCCACUUCAUUAUUGUCCCCCAUUGGUCAUUUAUUUCUCAUUUAUAAAUAAAAACAUCCAAGCACUACCAAAGCAUAUUUCAUACAAUCUUAAUCUUUUACAUUUCUUUCCUUUUGACUUUCUUAUUCUGACUUAUGCGUUGGAGUGCAAAUAUAGGGAAUACUCAUUGCCUUUACAUCUAACUACUCUUUUACAACCAAUUAUUCUUUUAAAAAUACCCUUAUAUCGAAGUUCGGCACAAACAAAAAGCUUUCAUUUCCAUGUUCAAGCUGUUAGAAAAAAUCAGGAACAAGAUUUGAAACUAUGGUUUCCAUUGCAGCAGAGUUAAUUAUGUCAAAAAAACAUCAUUACUUAAAACUCCUGGCAAACCGUUGAACCUAUGCCUACAAUAGCAACUUAACAAGCAUUCAAAUUAUUGAAAUUAUCUCAUUUCUUUUACAUUGCUUUCAAUUUCUCCCUUUUAUCAUCCUCAAAAAGAUAUUUAGUACUAUGAACAAAAGAAUAGAAACAAUAAGCCUCUUGACAAAAGGUACCAAAAUAAAAACCUAGCAAUCAAAUGCCCAAAAAAUAAACAACUUACUACUACUGAUAUUUAUAGAGUGCUGGAAAGAAGUUCAGUAUUCAUUUAGAUAACUCUAAGAAUAUAAAAUUUUAACAUUCUAAAAUUAUACCGUAAUAGUUAACCAAUUAAAACCAAUUAUCAUUUGUAAGGUUUAAAUUCAAAUUUCUUUCAAUUAAUGGUAGAUCUUGACAUCUAAUUUUGAAAGGACCAAUUAAUAAGAUAUAAUUUUUUUUCAAAAAAAAAUUUAUCAUACUUAUUAAUGCAAAUAAUAUACUAAUAAAAAUAUGAAGAAUUUCUAAAAUUAUAAAACAAAAAUAUUAUUGUGACAAUAUUAUAUUUUUAACAAUAAUAAGAUUUAUAAUUAACAGUAAAAUUACUAAUUACACUGAUUAUCAAUGAAUUAUGGGAACUUUUUUUUUUUUUUGCAAUUUAAAAUUGAAAUAAAAAAGAGAUACGAAUAAAUCAAUUAUUAAAAAUUUUAUCAAAACAAGACAAGUAAAUAUACUCUUAAAAGAAUGAUGAUGAAAUUUUGAGAUUAAAAGUUAUAGUAUUUUUUUCAUCUUUUUGUAAAGUAAUUCCAAUAUAAUUUUUUUGUUUUAAAAAAAAAAAACACAACAACAUAAGAUAUAGAUCUAAAGUAAAAUAAAAGUGGAAAAUGAUAUAAAGGAAAAGUUGAAGUAAGCUAAAAAAAAGGUUAAAACUCAAUUAUUAAAACUUGCAAUUUCUUUUUCUCUAAAUUUCUGAGGUUUUGUCUUUAUUGUAUUAAAAAAUAAAAAGAAAAAGUAAAACACAUUUGAUAUUUAUUGAAAAUUUAAAGUCUUAUCGAGAAAGUUAAAAUUUUAAUUUGAUUUAUGUUAAGUUUAUAUGAUUGUAAUUUAAAACUUAUGGCAAGUCUUUUAAUUUCAAAAUUUUACAAGUAAUGAUAUUUGGGUAUAAUAAACAUAAAAGAAUUAAUGUGAUAUGAAUAUCUCUUAAAUUGUAAUGCAUAGAUUAAAUAAUAAAACCAUAAAAAAAUUCAUAAUUUUAUUUUAGGGAUUAAUUUAAAUGUAUUUCAUAUAAGUAUAUAUACAUCUAUACUACUAUUUAUAAAAAGUAUCUCGAAUGAUCCUAAAGUUACCAUGUGUCCGUUCUUUGGGUUUAAUUUGUUGGUUUUUUAGCAAUGCACUAAGCCAUUAAUGAUCGUUUUCAUGUGCUUUUGUUUGUCUUUUUCUCUUUCUUUUUUUCACACAACUGAAACAGACUGACAGAAAGAGAUAAAAGAAAAUAGUAUUCAAAAUAUGAAACUUUCUCUUUUAAUCAAACCAUCUUUUAAUCCUCAUUAAUACUUCUACCAUUCCCUUUUGGUUUCCCUCACAUUUUCCUCUUUACAAAGGUAAUGCAUAUUUUUUCUUCCUUUACUUUUUCUUCUUUGUUUUUUUUUUAAAUUUUUUUGUUAUUAUUAUAUCAUCAAAACCAGAAAACAACUAUUGUUUUGGAAGUAUUUGUGUUAGAUAGAAAUCAGUUUGAUUCCUGAUAAACCUUGCUGGGUUACAUUCUGGUGAAUGAAAGGUUUAGUUUUCAUCAGUUAAUUAUUUUUUUUUUUUAUUUUAACUCUCUCACUCUUUAAUGAGUAAGGAAAUAGGGAGAAUAUUCUAAGAUUUUGGGUUUUUUCUUAAACAUUUGUAAGGGAAUUCAAGGAUGAAUCUUAUUAUUUCUUUAGUAGUCCAAAAUUAUUAAGGUGGGUUUUUUUAGUAAUGUAUUGGGCAUUGUUUGAUAAUGAAGUUACUACCUUUGAAAAUUCAACUAGAUCGAGAUUCAUGACUUUGGUUUUUGAGAGGAGAGAAAGGUUUGUGAGGGACAAGUUUGCUAAAUUUGGUGGGAUUCUUCUAGGAUGGUCUUUAGUUCAUUAUUAAAAUAGAUUAUUUCAGACAAUUUUUCUUACUACUAGAUUUGUUUUUGUAUCAAAUUUUUGUUAAAACUAUUUCUUUACUGGUUUGUCUAAUCCAAAUCUCCAUAUACUCGUAAAUCUUCAAAGUUCUCUUUAUUGUGAUUUUCCUUUUUCCUGAAUUUAUGUUAUAAUUAUGUUUUCUUUAAGCCAUGAGAUUUAUAGAUCUCUCAGCUUAGGUUACUAAGCUUUCUAACUUUAUACGUGAAAUAAUGCUUCUUGGUGAUCAUGUAUCUGAAUCUACAAACUUGGAUACAUCUAAGGGGCACUAAGCCUUUUCUUUCUAUUACCAUUAAAUUUAUUAUGGAGAAAACCUCUAUUUUGAUCAACUAAUUAUAAAUGUAUACCAUCCAGAUGAGGUGUGACAUCACAUUUUUUAAAUUUUUUAUAUUUUUCCAAAACCAAGGAAUAUCACUCUAUGAAAUUUUAACUGUUUAUUGUAUAAAGAGUCUGUGUUCAUAUUGAUCUCAUGCAAUUUGAAGAUGGAAUUGGCAUUGUCUCCUUAAAAGUCAUCAUGUGUAAUGCAUUUCACUUGAGUUGGAGGUCUUGAUGAGCAUGGUGAAAAGCAUCCAAUUAUAAGAAAAAUGCAUGUUCUAUUACCAUGGAUGAUUUAAGUAGGCUCUCUGUUCAUUAAUUUUCAAGAUGUAAAUACGCUUUGUAGUUGAUAAGAGUUUGAAGUUUGAGGAAUGCUUCGUUCAUUAAGUAGGAAAACAAUAGAACAACACAUACUUUAGUAAAACAUAAUCUUUCUAUUUUAAAAUGUUUGUAUUGAGUUAAGAAAUGUAUUACUAAUAUUAGUACUAUUUUUAUAUUUGAUGUUUUCAUGUAUGCUUUUUUUAAUUCAAGAACUAAAUAUUAUCAACUAUUUUAACAAAACAUAAUCUUUUCAUUUCAAAACAUAUAUGAUUUUUCAUAUUGUUCUUGAAUUAAAUUUUACAUUUUUUUAUACAAUUCUCUUCAAAUCUCAACAACCCUAAAUGAGUUUGAAAUUCUAAAUCAUGACUAAAGUAAUUUGAUCUAAAUAAAAAAAAAUUGCAUCCUUUACUUCUUUAAUUUUUCAAUUUAAUUUUUUUACAAUACAAAAUUAUUAUUUAAAAUUAACAAUUUUAUAUUUAUAAUUAUUUUAUCUUAAUUACAUAUAUCACCUUUUAUUAAAAUUCAAUCAAAUAUCAAUUAAAUGAAAUAUUAAAAUUUUUUUAAAUAAACCGAGCGAAGCCGUUGCCCCGCACUAAUAUACUGAAGAAAUAAGGGAUUUUAAAAAUGUUGGCGGCCAAGGCCCCCGUCUCAUUUUAUCCACCGCCCCAGUUUUUAAUGAAUGAAUUAUAAAUUUAUUAUAAAUUUUUGUUAAAACGCGUAAUGCCUUCUUAAUUAUGAAAAAAGUAAACUUCUCAAACUUUUUGUUAAAAAAAAAAAAAAGCUAUCACGCGGCAAUGUCCUUUUACGUCCCAAUUUUUGCUACAAUUGGCUCCUAUCAACAGCUUUAACGUUUUCAAGACAACUGCUUUGGUGAAAGGCUGAAAAUGUUAUCAUCGCAAUCCCAUUAAUGGAUUAAUCCACUUUUGUACUGUAUUUAGUUUAUAAAAAACACACUGAAAGAUCAACAUUAUUUUUUAGAAAUUUCUAUUUCGAUCCAAAAUUACUAUUAUACCCAAACCAACAACGAUCUCAUACGAAAUGGUUUUUGUUUGGGCAAUUAAAGCCAAACAGAGUCUACUUUCGUAAUUCCACAAAUCACAGAAAAAUUCUCAACAAAUCACUGCAAAUUCUACUUCAUCCUGCCCACCACAAACAGGCACACAUAAAAAACGUUCGUUCAUUUGUCGGUCAUUGUAUUUAAAAUAAAAUAAAAACCCACCGAAGCUCCGGAAAGGAAAAUCAGAGAUCUAAUUUUCUUCGUAGAUCUGAAACUUUUUAACUCAGAUCUACACCUGAAUUUUUUCCGUUUCGCUCAUGGCGAUCUCUCGCUCCUUUUUGCUUUUUCUUUUGAUCUCUCUUUUGUUUCUUUUGGUUUUUCUGAGAUCCGUUUCACGGAGAUCCGAUCCGAUGACCGCGCCAUUAUCCCCUUCGAUGAGUUUGGAUUCACCCACAGCGGCCUCCUCAAACUCAACGUCUCUCAGAUCGCUCUCUCGAACCCCGACCCGGACCUUGACUUUUCCAAAGUCGGAUUCUUCCUCUGCACACCUGACGCAUGGAUGCACGUGCUCCAACAACUCGAAGACCGGGAGGUCACAUGCGUUCUCAAUUCCGAUCUCGUCAAGGUCGUCUUCAACUUCAAGUCUUUAAACGGGAAAUCCAACUUCGACACCGUUUACAAAGAAAGCGACGCCGAUCAGUACACUCUCGUCUUCGCUAACUGCCUUAGUCAAGUCAAAGUAUCGAUGAACGUCCGAUCAGCGAUGUACAAUCUCGACGGCAAGAAAAACACCCGGGAUUAUCUCUCUGCUGGCAGAACAAUUCUUCCUAGGGUUUACUUCCUUUUGUCCCUAAUUUAUUUCACUCUCGCAGGGGUUUGGAUUUACGUGCUUUACAAAAAACGACUCACUGUUUUUAGAAUCCAUUUCUUUAUGCUGGCCGUGGUUAUCUUAAAAGCUUUUAAUCUGGUAUGCGAAGCAGAGGAUAAGUCUUAUAUUAAACGAACCGGAACUGCUCAUGGUUGGGAUGUUUUGUUUUACAUUUUCAGCUUCUUGAAAGGAAUCACGCUUUUUACGCUGAUUGUUUUGAUUGGUACCGGGUGGUCGUUUUUGAAACCUUACUUGCAGGACAAGGAAAAGAAGGUUUUGAUGAUUGUCAUUCCACUUCAGGUUGUUGCUAAUAUUGCCCAGGUUGUUAUUGAUGAGACUGGACCUUUCGCUCAGGAUUGGAUCGCGUGGAAGCAAGUGUUUUUGCUUGUUGAUGUUGUUUGUUGUUGCGCGGUGUUGUUUCCGAUUGUUUGGUCCAUUAAGAACUUGCGUGAGGCGGCUAGGACAGAUGGGAAAGCUGCAGUGAAUUUGAUGAAGUUGACUCUGUUUAGGCAGUAUUACAUUGUGGUGAUCUGUUAUAUUUACUUUACGCGUGUUGUGGUUUAUGCUUUGGAGACUAUUACUUCAUACAAGUACCUUUGGACCAGUGUGGUGGCUGGGGAGUUGGCCACACUCGCGUUUUAUGUGUUUACAGGGUAUAAAUUCAAGCCAGAGGCACAUAACCCGUAUUUUGUGAUUGAUGAUGAGGAGGAAGAGGCUGCAGCAGAGCAGUUGAAACUUGAAGAUGAGUUUGAAUUGUGAUAACUUUCAUUGAGGAAAAAAAUGGAAACUGAUUGAAGAAAUUGAUGCAGGGAACCAAACUGGGACAGUUGAGGUAGAAACCUGAUCUUUAAACUUGGUACCAAUGUUAAGAAAAAAGUGUGAUAAUUCUUGCUUGUUUUUACUUGUUAUGCUUUUUUUAUAUACUGUGCCGUUUCUUUUUUGAAGUUGAUAGGAUAAUUUUAAAAUUUGAUGCUUCUCUGUGAAUUUGAUAGCUUGUGUAAUUACAUGUCCAAAAUUCAUGCCUUACUUUUUGUUCAACUUCUUGUUUAUUCACUACUCAUUCUGGCAAUAUGUUGUGAAACAGUGCAGUUAUAGUAAUCAUAUAGAUUGAUAUAUGUUACUUAUAUUCGUGUAUGUAUCUAAAAGUCGCAUUGUUCAUAGACUUGCCAAGAACUAAUUACAAUUUGCCAAAUGAAAUGCUCUUUUAGUGAAGAGGGGUUGCUGUACUACUGAAGCACUGCCUGGAAUAUGUGUUGGUGCAUUACUUUUAGUGGCUUUUUUAUACAUGUGAAGUGAUUUUGAUAUAUCAAAUGUGCCUGAAAUCUAGUCAUAGCACACUUACUUUAAUGAAUCUGAACUAGCUAUCAACUGAAUCUGAAAUCCAAUUUCAAAGAGCACUCCAAGUUGCAUAUAGCCACUUAACACUGAUCCAUUUACUGUGGCUUACUUUCCACCGCUAUCCAGGCUUCAAAUGUUCCUUUAAAAUGCAAAUGGGUAAAUUUAGUCAAACUAUUAUUUCUUUUCCUUAACAGAAAAUAUAAAUGAAAAUUGGAAAACCUUGAAUGACUUAAAAAAUUGUUUAAAAUUGUGGCAAUGCUAUUAGGUUUAAUUUUUUUUCCUUCUGCAAAUAGAUAGUUUUAGCAUUCAUUCCCGUGAUGUAUUAGAGUGAUCUGACCAAAAUUGCUUCGCAUAAUAUUGGAAAAAUUGCCCUUAGAUGUCAGUUAAUGAUGGUAUCCUCUGAUUAAGUUGAUGGUUCGUUAAUGCUACUAGAUCUAUUAGAUGUUCUGGAUUGGAUUUUGUGGCAUGGGUUUGAUUUGUGAUGUUCAGCCUUUAGAAUAGAUCCUGGUUGGGCAUGACAACCUACAGCAAAUUGUGCUGAAUGCAACAUGUGAUCAUUACUUGACCUGUUCUAAAGUAAAGUAUAGAAGUUAUCUUUUGAACUUGAAAUCUUUGGGAAAUUUUCUUUUGGGCCAUCAUUUUCUGACACCUACUUAUUUCCAUUAUGAUGAGGUUUACUCUCAAAUGCAUGAAAAUUUCCAGCCACUAAGAAAAAUGCAAUUCCCAUUAUGCUUUGAGCACUGUGGAUAAUCAGUUUAUUCAAUAGUUUGACUUUGCUAAUAGAUUUGUCUAAUCUGUGCUUUCUUCUAGCUGAUUUAGUGGAUCUUAAUUGCACAUUUUGUGUGCGAUCAACCACCUUGUGAACAAAUCAUUGUUUCCAAUCUUUAAAAAGAAAAAGGGAUCACAGAGGGAUUACUGACAUUGUUUGCAACUUUUUACUUGGACUUGGUGAGGACAGAGCAGAUUGUGAUAUUUUAGCUGUAGAGCUAUUUGAAGUAAAUAGGAGGAUUCUGCAGUUUGAAGAUAGUAUAUUAACCUAUCAAGAAUUCACCACUAGCAAGUAACUCAAGUUUAGUUAAUUGAUUUGGAUGAGCUAACUCCAUAUACCAGAUGAGAACUUGCAUUCUCUAUUACUUUCAAUGUUCAUGAUUCUUUGAAUUUGAGAUUGCUUUAUAUGGUCCAUGUGUUAUAGUAAUAGUUUCUUAAACAAUAUGAGAUGAUUUUUGCAAAUACACAACAACUAGCGAUAAAUUCCAGACCUGUGCUAGUUUAUAACUUGCAUGUGCAUUUCAUUUAAGUCGGUUGGCAUAUGUUGUCUUUGUUUUUUCAGAGAUUCCAAACUUGUGGACUGACCAUUAAGCACCUUAUUCUGUGUAUUGAGAUCUCAUCCUCUUACAUUUAGCUACUCAUUUGCAGAGCAAGGAGUUCAUGUGGUUGAAUUGGGUUUGUGGUGAAUGUCUGUAUUUCAUCUAGGUUGGCAGUCAAGAUAUUUCAUGAAUUGCAGGCAUGAGGGAUUCUAAUAGUAGUCUAGCUCAGGCUAAGAUCUCAAUUGUUGAUGGUAAUGUAGGAUUAAUAUAGAGAUUUAUGCAUAGCUAGUUUGUUUUAAUGAUUUGGUUGUCUCGGACAAAUUGUUUCAAAAGUUUCAUCUUGUUGACGCCCAUAGAAUAGGUCUAUGGUAGUUUCUGAUUCCAUUUGGUUUAUCAAUCCCAUGAUUCCUGUCCUAACCAUUUCAUAUUAAAUGCUGAGUAACUCUGGUUUUGUAUUUAUAUAGCCAUGGUUGAUGCAAUAUGUAGAACCUUUUCCCCACCACUGUGAAUGCGAAAUUAGUCAGGAGAGCAGGGCAUACAUGCUCUGUCGGUUACCAACUAGGAAAGAGUUUGAUCAUCCAUGUUGGCUGAAGGCUUGUUUUAGUCUGUCUGUGAAGCUCUUUAUUUGUGGUUUGUCUGUCCUCUUCGUGAUCACUGUCAUCCUGACAAAUUGAAACUAAUGCUAGAAACUUUACCGAAACUCCUUUGUUUACUCUUUUGACUAAAGUUUUAUGCGAUGAAGGCCAAUAUGGAGUUGAGAGGAAAUGUUAUCAGAUAUUUCAAACAUUUAACACGCAUUUGCUCCUCCUUUUACCAUUAACUUAUCGCUUAAGGGUGAUUUCUUGAACCAUUCUUUUUGUUUGAGUUAAUCCUCACCCACCUGAACCUCUAUGACCAGAGUUGUCUUCUAAUUUUCAUAACUUUUAAAUUUAAUAAUUCGAAUAUUUGUAUUGAAUAAAAUAUUAAUAAUUUAUAUAUUUAUAUUAUAUUUAAUGUAAAAAUUAUAUUAUUUUAUUAAUAUAAAAAUAUAAAAUUUAUUUUAAAUUUAUUUUUUUUGUUAAAAUUUUAAAUUUUAUUAUGUUUAUAAUAUAUUAUAAUAUCAUAUUUUAAAUUAUCAAAUACAGAAAAGCAACGAUGUCACUGUCAUGUUGUACAAAAUUUCUAUCCCAGACAGGACACCUUUUCCUCGCUCAUCGACGGCCAUUUUCUACAUGAGGUUAAAAAGCUAGUAGGAUGCAGGGGAUAUGGGACCUCAGAUAUCCUAUUAAACGCACCUUCCUUAGUGUGAACGCAUGUCUUGUAACAUUUUGUUAAAGUGAGAAGCCAUGCAUUCGUUCCUUCCAAUCUUAUUCAAGCUUCUAAAUACCACUUUUUAUGAUUUCAAAGAAGCUCAACUAGGUUACGCUAGGACUAAGGGCUGCCAAUUCUCAUUCCUGUUAAACAAAAGUUCAAUUGAAUAAUUACAACAUUUUAAACUCUUCUAAACUUAAUUAUUCAUGAGUUCUUAAUACAAAAUAUAAAAUAAUUCAAUUCACGAGUGUUUAUGGAUACUAAUUAAAGAUGAUUAAAAAACUAUUUUCAAUUUUUUUACUUUUAUUUUCAUUAAAAUUAAAAAAUAUAAUUUUUUCUUUAAAUAUCAUCUAAUCACUUUAUAACAACAUUUCCUAAUGUAAAAUCAUCUAAACCCACUCACAACAAUUUGAUGAAUUCAAUGAUCGCAAAAUGAACAUAAUUAAAUUUAAAAUAUAUUUAAUUAAUUUAUAUAAUUAUUUUUAAAAAAAAUAAUAUUUAAUAAUUUAAAAUUUAAAAUUUUAACAUUUAUAACUUUACUUUUUCUAUUCCAAAAUUAUGGUAUUCUUUCUGUAAAAUAAAAAACCAUAAUUAGUAUGCUUUCCAAGUGUUAGAUACUUAUGGCUAACGAUUAGAUUUAAUAAUUUUAAUAAUUUUAAAUAUGAUUAGAUUUGAUAAUUUUAAAUAUAAUAUUAUGACAUAAUAAAAAAAUAAUAUAAAUAAAAGAUAUGAAAAUUAUGAGUUAAAAUUUUAAUAAAAAUUAUAAAUAGAUUUAAUAAAAUUAAAAUAUAUAUUUUAUAUUUUUAAAUCAAUAAAAAAUAUAAAUUUAAUUUUCAUAUAAAAUAUGAUAUAAAUAUAUAAAUUAUUAAAAUUUUACUUCACUAAAUCAAGCUAAAUUCUUGGUCCAAAUUUAAUUCACGAUUUUUAGAAAGAGUAUAAAUAUUUAUAACUCAAUAACAAAUUAGUUUCAGCAUCACAUCAAUUGGCUUUGGUCCCCCCACACACUCGCACGGAACCCAAGUGGACCCUACCAUUUUUUCACGACUCGUAACGCCCACACAUAAAUUAGCGGCGUUAACUUUGACAGAAAAGCCAGCCAACUAAGUUAAAAACAAGUCUUUAUCUCCGUGAAACUCACAGCCAAUCAGAACUCAGGCAGAGAAAGAAAAUCAAAAGUCAAACCAUUUCUGUCCAAUAAAAAAUGGCUGUUUUGUACUUGAACCUGGUAUUACAAUCUAGGGGAGGGAAUUGAAACUCUGUUCGGAAAAGCUAACGUUGGGGAUGUCUCGGUGUUUUUGUCAGUGUCAAAAGAGAGACAGACAGACAGAGAGUGAGGAGUCCAGUGCAGUGGGGUGCGAACGUUUUGUCCGUUUUGUCUGUAUUCCAUGAGGGGUACGAAUGUUGGGAGCUAAGGAAGCAAAGCAAAACGCAUGGCUGAAAAUGGCGGCACAGCUACACCAUAAUGUUGCCAACUUUUUGUAUAUUAGCCACAAACAGCAGUUCUUGGCUUGAGAAGCGUAAAGAGAAACAAAAGGGAUUGAUUUGCAGUGUCGUGUAAGAAUUUUUUUUUUGCACAAAGAGUUAGAAGUAUCUUGGGGUUUAAGGUUGUCUUGUCUUGGUUUUUUAUGGAUGGAAAAAGGUGGCAUUUUGAGGACAUGGGUACCAGGAUUAAUGCUUUUGUGGGUACAGAGAAAAGUUUCGGAAGAUCUGAUCAGAGCGAUGGUGGGUUGCGUUUGAGGAUGCAACAAGUUGAGGAAUCUGGUCCAGAUAAGAGCUUCAUGCCAAUGUCUCAUCAUCAGCUUUCAUCGUCAUCAUCAUCAUCUUCUUGUUGUGGUGAAGGAUUUGAUCGAGGAGCUUGCGGUGGUAGGCCCAUUGUUUGCAACGCAAGCAAUCAGGUACCAUGCACGGGAGAUAUAUGUGAUAUUGUUGCUUCUGCUUCUGCUUCUGCUGCUGCAAUGGUGUUGAAGUUUCUGCACAUCAUCAUCCCUUUAGCGCUGAUCCUUCUUUUCCCCACAAUUCCUCUGGUAAACUCCACUUCUUUCUUCAUCCUUUUUCUUGUAACUUUCUAUGAAGUAACUAAAGAAUAGAUUAAUGCAUGGUCUUUAAACUUAAUUAAUGUUGGAGAAAUGGCAGCGCCGGUGAAUGUUAAAGUUCAUUUCACUGCAGCUCAGUGGCAAGAGCUGUAGAGGCAGACUGUGAUAUACAAGUAUAUGAUGGCCUCUGUACCUGUCCCUUCUGAACUCCUUAUGCCUCUCACCAGAAACCCUUCAAAGGGUAAUGUUUUCCUUUUCUUCUUUUGUUUAUCAAUGUAGACGUAGUGUCAAGUUAUGCUUUUCUUGCAUUAAUUGUAAGUGGCGUAUGCAUUUUCUUGGUGUUGAUAGUGAUAAAAGGGUGUUUGGAAUUGGGGUUUUCAAGCAAUAGCUCAGAUCCGGAGCCAUGGAGGUGCAGAAGAACAGAUGGGAAGAAAUGGAGGUGCUCGAGAGACGUGGUUCCUGAUCAGAAAUACCGUGAGCGUCACUCUCAUAAGAGCCGACCCCAUUGAAGAAAGCGUGUGGAAUCGCCCAACACUCCAUCUACAACAAUGAUCACAAUUCACAAACACUUGAUGUGACAUCUGAUAGCAGCAAGCAGCCUCAUCAAAAUCCUCAUUUCAUCAACCACAGCGAUGCUCAUUUAUUCACAUCUUCAUUUGAUCAACCCAGGUGGGCUCUGGAUUCCCAAUACUCUGUCUUCUCUGAAUCUGAUAAACCAAAUCUUUUAUUUCGUGUUAUGAAUGCAUCAUGUGGACAUUUUUUGUCCUAUCUAAGUUACUAUUAUAAUAAAUAAGUGAUUGUUGAUGGUUAACUCUUGAAGGUGCUUGGAGUGGUUCAUGAAAGGUGAGAGUACCGUUUCUUUUGCUAGCAAUUCCAACCCAGAGUGGCAGCAGUUGAAGACACAAGGGAUAAAACAUGGCGGAAAUGUGAGUGAACAUCAGCAGCAUUAUAAAGACCAUCGCCUCAUUUUGCAAGUACAGCAUCUAAACAAGCAGUUUAGCCCAGUUUAGGCUCUUUGGGGGGAUCCUUGAAUCUCAACCAAACACAGUCAGAAGAGACGAGGAGCUUUGUCGAUGCAUGGUCAACAGCAGAGAGGGAGGCUGCUGAAAUGGAUGGAAUUGGGGGCCCUGUUUCUUCAAACGAGAAGCUAGCACUCUCUUCUCUUAAACUGUCAUUGUCUGAUGGGAAUGGAAACAAUCAAGAAUAAGACGAUGAGAAUAGUCAUCAAAUGAUGUUUUUGGUAUCAUGGGCUAGCAACGGAAAAUGUGAGGGCUUUGAGACCCCAAAUUACGGAUCCUAUUUAUGGAUGCGUUCGCUGCCUGGUGGACCACUGGCUGAAGCAUUAUGCCUUGGCAUUGCAAGUAGUCAAAGCACAAGUACGACUAGUUGCAGCAAGAGCACAUGAGACGAUGGCCAGUGGCUAACUUUUAUCAACUUAUGGAUAAGAGCUUUAGAACUUGGACGAUGUUUGAACAUUUCUAUGUCGGACAAGGGUUUUUUUUUUUUUAAUUCAAUGUUACUGACUUGCUGCUACAUGGAAAUUUCCAUUAAGCUUUUAUAGCUAAGCCCUAUCUUUUGGAAUGAGAUGAUCAGUGAAUGCCCUGAUUUCUUCCUGGUUUUGGAGAAGGGGCAUGCUUUGGUCUCCUUGCUUUUAACAGCAGUGAUUUUGAAUUGUAGUGCAAAAACUUUAAUCGAUGCUUAAUUUCCAUUAAAAUCAAUGCUACUAUCAUUUAUUAAAUCAAUUUAUUAUGUAGCAGUAUCUGGCGAAUUCGAGAUUAAAAUUUUAAGACCUAGAAUCAAGAAGCAGGACUGCUUACAACCAUCAAAGACAAAGCAAAGUCACAAUCCGCAAAAUCAAAGAGAAGUUUUCAUCUUCUUCUACACGAUAGUUCCUUAAAGAUUGGGAACCAUUUUCCCUCCCCUUUUGAUAGAAGAACUCUUUACCAAUAAUUUAUUGACAUUUUUUGUGAUUUUUCUUUUCCUAUGUGAAAAUUCUUUGGUGAUUAUUAAUAGGUUUUAAGGGUUUGAAGCACCCGCCAAUAUUACAAGCUAAACAUGGGCUUCAGCCUGGUGGUUCAAGCUUCCCACUUUAGGUGGUUUCCUCCGCUUGGGUCAGGAGAGAAACCUGGCCCCCAAUGUCAAGAGGAAGGGGGUUAUUUAUCCGGCCUUUACUCUGGAAAAGCAGGGCUUCCCAUUUUGAGCUCCUGAAUGGUGCUGCGAAAAUAAAAGGAAAACGCCUAUAGCUAUCGGGCUAGGCCACAAAAUUUGUUUUCAAAUUUUAAAAUGAGAUAAAUAAUGACUAAGAAUCAUAUCAUUCAUGAAAAGCAAACAUCAAUAUGUCUCAAUUUCUCAUUUCAACCAUCUUAGGUCAGUAGCUGAUCUCUUUUGUUCGAAAAAGCUGUAGUUUUCCUAACAAAAGAAUUAUUUCAACAAAUAAAAUUUUCUAUUAUUCAAAUAACAGAAAAAUUAUUGAUCGAAAAAUUUUCAAAACAUUAUUUUUUUAUUUAUAUUUUUAUUACAGAAAUUAACGAUUCCAUUCCAAAAAUCAAAUUUCGCCUUAAUCAUGAACCUUUUGAUAUAAUUAGUAUCAAAUUGGGAAUAGUUGACCAAAUCUUGGUCCAAAAUUUUUCUUUUGAAUUUAUCAAAAAUUUCUCAACUUUUAUCAAGUAUCAAUUUUACCAAACUGUAAAAUAUGCUAAACACUUCUACUAUAUACAUUUCACCAUAACUAGCCCUCUUAGAGUCUUUCAAAGAGAAAGAUUUUAUCAAUUUUACCAAAUUUGAGAAAUUAAAAGAGUAGCUGCAAGAGCCUUCCUUGACCCUCCUACAAACGCUCAAAACCACUCUAAUGAUUUAAAUAAAAUCAUAUCCAAAUACAUCAACCAUUCUUAAUACCAAUUCCAAACAUAAAUCUCUAUGACAAUAAAAGCAAAACACUUGCUUUUUAUCUGGCCACUAUUACAGAGUUUCUCAGAAUAUCUGUAGAAAUUAAUGGACGAAGAAUAAUAGUAAGAUAUUAUUAUUCUUGUCAUGAUGACCUAGAAAUAGAAAGUGAACCAGAAGCGAUCCAACUCCUAGAAAAACUUCCAAAAAUGGAAGGCAUCGAUCAUCCUACAAAAUGCUAUAUUGGUAUCAAGAAGGAUGGCAAAUGUGUAAUAAGACCAGCACCAAUUCACCUCAAUCUUUUAAUCCAAAAGACGAAGAAUUGCAUAAUCCAAAAAAUGCUAUGGAAGGAUAACCCAUUAUGUAGAUAUUCCAACCAAGAAUAAGCCUAGACUAAGCUGAUCUUAACUGUCAAUACAAAAAGAUAAAAAUAUUCAAAGUCAAAGACCAACUAUACUGUAGCAGUUACUGUUCUCGAUAAAAAAUAUUGUAGCAGUCACUAUAGCAAAUAAAAGACAGAGACCUGCCACAGAAACUAUUGUAGCAAGUCACUGUAAUAGUAAUGUAGAUAAAAAUUUUACUGUAUAUUAUAACGGCAACUGUACAUAAUUACUGUUCAUGUUUUUAUUUAUUUAAGCCUUCAUUGCAAUCAGCCGGGGGAGGCUUUUCAGUCAUUGUUAUCCCUUGUCUUCUUAACUUACCUUCCUCUCUUUUUUUCAGACCAUCCUCCAAUCCUUAUAUAUCAACUAUUUCCUUUUAGUUGUCUACUAUUUAUAUUUGAUCCUUUCUGCAUCUUGUAAAUACAAAAUUAUUUAUAUUUAUUGAAAAUAAUAUCCAUCUAAUGUUAAAAAAUUUGUGAUGCAUUUGCAUAGACCAAAAUGCACUAAAAGCAGUUAAAGGUUUACCCACGCUGAAGUUUAGCUAGAACAAGACAAAAGAAGUACAGUAUAAAUAUCUGUUGGCCCUGGCUCGUACGUGCUUUUCUUUUUCAUCUUAUCCUAAUUCCUUAAAGAUGGUCACCUUUUUCCUCAAAAUCUUGAUAGGUGAGACAACACUAUCUUCCUCGACACCACCAUAACAGAUUGAAUUUUUUUUUUUUCCCAUUUGCAAACAAUAUAUGACUGAUCACCACUUUUCCAAUGCGAUGCCAGAAUGCAACCAAGUGGAUAUAAUUAUUUGUGUUGUUGGUGUAAGACCCAUGACACACAAUCACAUGAGCCCCAGAUUCCAGACUCUUAAGUCAGCACUAAGCUAUGAUUAAACUUUGUCAAUCUCUUUUCAAGAUAGUUAACCAAUUAGGGUAAGACCACAAUCCCCUUUGGAAGAGAUUACCAAGUAAAAAAGAACAUAUUAAUCUCUAAUCCCAAUAACAACAUUUCCAGAGAGAUGAUCGGUAAUUAGAUCGAUUACACCGUUAUUAAGUCCCCUUCUAAUAUUUAACCCUUAUUUAUGCAAAUACGUAUGUAUAUGUAUGUAUGUAUUUAUAUAUAUGAUCUUGACAUGUACUCCUAUUAUACCGACAAAUGGCAUAAGGGGUCUGAUGACGACGGUGAGGAUGACUUCGUCAAGCUCCAUAGAUCAUUCUCGUUGCUGUAGACUUGCGAGUUUUGAUUUGAUCUUUGCAAAUUUAUAUGCGAUGAUUGACUAUCAUCAUCGUGGCAAAGACUGAAAACCGCAUCAGAGUCACUAAAACAUGAUAAUUGCUUGCUUGUCUCUACAUGACCAUUUAGCUGGAAUGCCACAAGUCGGUCCAGGGUGACCCAGUUAUUAACGCCAUUUUUGGACCCAUUAGUAUUCUGAAAAGAACCUGGGUGAUCACAAGCACCGUCCCCUUGGUUGAUUGAAGGUGGCUCAGUUUCAGUCAGCAUAUCAUCGAUGGAUUGGUAACAAGACUCGAAUCUCCUUUCUUCAUCAAAGGGUGGACUACUCAUGGGAAGCGAAGGGAGAGUUGGGCUUUCGAGCCUGGGGAGAUGCACAAACCUUUCAUGUAACUCUUCGCCGAUUCCUGCGUUGUUUGCUACAAGCAUUCUUCGAUUGUUGCUGUUGUUGGUGUUGGGGAUGUUCAUGUUACUCAAUGAAUCAUUCUCCAUCUUGCAAGUCCUUCCCAUAUACAGAAGAAUUUGAUCUAGAACCCCAACGUUGGCUGAACAAAGCAUCUGUGUCUUUGAAUCCAGAGAAGUGGACGAGGAGCUUUUAGGACCCUCUAGGGUUUUCUGAUAAUUUUUCUUUCUAAAUACACGGCAAACCACCCAGCCAUCUUCAGACACGGAAUCUCCGAUGGGAUUGGAAGCCUGGACCAAUUUAAUAAUUUAAUAUAAGCAAAACAGAUUAAUGACAGAGCAUUUUGUUGCUAUUAAGAUUACAAAGAACUACUAGUAAAAUAUCAGACAGAUUUGUACGAAAUGCUUGAUUAAUGAUACUCCAAUAUUAUAUAAAUACAUACAUACAUACAUACAUACAUACAUACAUACAUAUAUAUAUAUAAAGAAAUAUUGGAAGAGGUUUGCUUACAUUAGAGUCAUAGGGAGUGUUAUCAUCCAGCCUGUACUCGUGCAUAAUCCAAUCAGAUUUUUGUCCAUGUGGAGCUCUUCCUUUGUAAAAAACCAAUGUCUUCCUCAAUCCAAUUCUUCUAAAGCCACUAUAGAUAAUCUUAUCACGGCCAGUUGCUUUCCAGAACCCGGCAGCCGUUGCACGAUUAGUUCUGGUCCCCGUUGGGUAUUUCUUGUCCUUGUGGCUGAAGAAGUACCAAUCGUUUUGUGGGGUGGAUCCUAUUUUGCACUUCUCUGCGCAUAACCCACAAAAGGCAUAAUUUCAUAAAAACCCUACUUGUUAAUUAGACUCACAUGUAAAAGAAAGACCAAAUAACAUUGUAGAGAGAAGUUAAAAAGGGUUUGUUUGAUUUGUUAUUACCUUGUAUAUCCCAUGGCUCAAGCUUGUUGAGAUCAACUUCCCUAAUAACAUCAAGGUCUAUCUUUUUAUAAGCCACUUUCUUUCUGAGGUAAUAGUGAAGAAGCUCCUCUUCUGUGGGAUGAAAUCUAAAACCAGGAGGGACCUGAGACUGACCAUUUAUGGAUAGAUUCAUAUCUUCUGACAUUAGCUGAGAUCUCUGCAAAUCUGGAAAGAAGAUGGCUUUUCCUUGCUGAGAUAUAUAACUGAUAUAUAAUGUUUAAUGGUUGAAAAUUAAAAUGAUCCACUGAGAGAAAGAGAGAGAGAGAGAAGGAAGGGAGCAAUAACAAGGCGGAAGAGAGCGGGGUGCGUAAAGGGUAAUGCAGUUAUGAUAAUAUAUAAUGGUGGUAGGGCAUGAAUGGUCCAAAGAUGCAUGAAAAUGGCCAUUGGUGUACUUCGCGUGGGGUCUAUGCCCUUGAGAAGAACCAGCCACCUAAAAACUAGAGACCACAGAGAGAAACAUAGAGAAAAAUAAAUAAAAUGGGUGAAUAUAUAUAUAAGGGAAGUAGGUCCCACAAUAUAGGUGGUUACCCCCCAAAAAGAUACGUUAGAAGAAGUGUGCGAGCGGGGGCACUCCCACAUCUCAAGUAUGACCCUCGACCUUAAUAUAUCUAUUUGAAAACCACCUCUCUUUAUCCCUUAAAGGCAUAUCUCUUUCAUUAUAUAAAUAUGUAAACAUCACUCGUUUUACUUGUGCAACCACCUCAACGACAAGAGAGCAAAAAAAAGAUGAUGGGGUGCCACUGAGCUUUCAUGGCCCCCCUAGACCAAGAAAACACAUCACUUUCUGGUGACUUAGCUUAAUUUUUUCACUUUUAUCAUUCCAUAAAUCAAUAGGAUAAAAAAAAAACAAAGAACCCAAUUUAUUUAUUAACUGCAUUUUUUCUUUUUCUUUUUAUUUUUAUUUUUGUAGUUGUAUGCUAUAUUUAGGGUACGUGCAAUGUUUAUUACUAACGUAAAUUUGGAAUGCCCCGUGUUCUAUACUUUUUGGGAAGGAGGGUAUUACUCGAACGGCCCAAAAAAACCCACUUCUUCAAUGGUGUCCACGAUACGAUCAAGAGGGAGAAGAGGAGCAUUCUCUCUUUAAAUUUGCAUGUUUUCCUUUCCUGCAUUUCUUUCAUUGUUUGCUUUCCUUGAUUUUACAUGGCAACGGCUGAAUCUUUCAUUUGAUAUUAGAAAAUGUGAUAUAUAACAUCUCAAAAUUAUAACCACAGGAAAGAAUCGCCAUUAUUUUGUAGACGUAAAGCUUGACCACGCAUGAUAGUAGCUCUAGGGAAAACCAGCUGAUCAGCUUCCGAAAUUAAUCAAAUUAUAUAUGAUUUUAGGUGCACUUUUUUCUUGGGUCCAACUUUAUUUCAAUGAGAAAAAAAUAGCUGGCUUUGCUUCUUUAAGAUUAAAUUUUCUUACAAAAAGUACUGUAUAGGUGAUCAGAAAGAUGGGCUCCAACGUACUAGUAAGGGACUUGUUCAUUAUUUCAUGCUAUAAACGUAAAGCGACAAGACAGAAGGGAAAAACACCAUGAAAUGUAAAAAUGGAGCAAUGCCAAAAAGGUGCACCAUGCAUUGAUGCUGUGUAUAGAAAUAGAAUCAUGGAAAAUGCUUUUAUCAUUCACUCAGGGUCCCAAUGACUUAUAAGCUUUCCCUUUGCCAGGUUUUGGUCAUUCUUUAAUCGCAGUGCCUACUAUAACAAAGUAAUUAACUCAGCUAUAAAUGGACUAUGAAACCUGUGCCUUGAUGACCAAUUGACCAGCUAAGAAGAGGAAUUUUCUCAUUAAUUUAUCUCCAAUUAACUUCUAUUUCUUAGAUAUAGAUGAUAAGGGUGAAUUGGGAUUUUAAUAUAGUUGGUUGAUGCAAUCCCUUUUAAAAAUUAAUAUUUUACAAAUUUGAAAUUUAAAUUUUAAUACUUACAUCUUUUUCCUUGUAAGAUUAAAUUAACUUAGGCUUCAUUUCGUUGAAACUGUUGCUAUUUACUUUUUAUUAUUGAUAUACUUUCAAAGAGACCCAAGGUUCAUAUUUUCUUCUCAACUUCCUUAAUGAAUAAUAUACUAGCAUUUUUUUAUAAAUUGCAUGACUUUGUGCCAUGAUAUUCUUUUUUUAUUCUUAGUGAUCCAAAACUGUAGUUAUGAUUGUUAUUGAUUAUUUUGAUAAUUGAAUUAAUUUCCUCAUAAUGGGAGAGAUGAAUAUAUCUCUGCUUCAUAUGUAUAGAAUCUAUAAAGUUCACAUUUAGAUAAUUUUUUUUACCUUAUCUGCAUUACAUUGAUGACGUAUUAGAAGAGAUUGUAGCCAACAAUCUAUCAAUCCAAACUGUCUAUCAAGUGCAUAUUAUUUGCCUAUCUUUUACCACUCAUAGAAUGAAUCGAGCUUUUAAUAAUUAAAAACCUUUCAGAAAGAAAUUUUGAAAGAUGGGAGACAUUUUUACCACGUUAACUUUCCUUAAACAAAGGGGAAAACGGCAAACAAAGGAAAAAAAUGGCACAGGAUGAAAAAGUUAAGAGUUGCAUAAGCACAAACUUGUUAAAUUUUGAAACUGCAACCAAGCCAGCCGAAGGCCGGAAUCCAAUUGGUAUGGCUACCAACUCAGUUCUUGACUUGUUAAUAUUAGUGAACAAUUACCAAACUUGACACAAUUCUAAUUUCAAUUUAGGGUCCAUAAAUAUGAUAUUUCACAGUUGAAGCAAUUCCUAUAUUUACAUGCAUAGUCUUUGUCAGGGUGAAGAGAUAAAUUCAACUUUCCACCAAAUAUGCUCCUUUGGGAUGAGAAAAUCAAUUCAUGCGUCAAUUACAAUAAGUGGAGAAAACAUAAAUACGGAACCGAUUAAAAGCAAGAGAAAAACCAAAUGUUUUGUACAGUUACUCGUGUUCAAUUUCUUUCUUGGACUCCAAGGUGAAUUCGUGCAAGAAUGUAUUAGUAAUCUCUCUUCAAACACCCUAUUGAAGUAUGACAGAAAAGAAGAAUUAACCCACAUGCAUGGCGGUUUAAUUUUGUGUAAAACGAAUCACUUUUAAAUGUGAUAAAUAAUUCUAUAUGGUAUACUAGCUAGCGAUAGAUAUGUAUCUUUAGAAACAGUAGAUUUCUUAGAUUCGAUCUUCAACGACGCUUGUAAUUUUCUUUUCUAAUUUCUUUAGACUGCGGCUUUUUUUUAUUAAAAAAAAUCCAAUAUUACUAAUCACAAUGGUUCUUUUGUCAUUUGAGUUUUUUUUUUUUUUAAAGGAAAAGACAGAAAGAAGAGACCAGUGCGUUGCACCACAACAGGACAAAGAUUAUAAUAGUGUAAUAUACAAUGAUAAAGUGAAGUGAAAUCUUUUUGUAAAUGGAAGUCAAUCCCAUAUUAACAACCUUUGGUCACUAAUAAAUAGCUUUUGCAAUCUCCACAUGUGGGCAGCAUUUGACGAGAGACAAAAUAUGAUCUUAGUUUUUAUCUGACGAAUGCACACUAUAGCCAAAACCUUUAUAAAUUCCAAAACGAUAGUGCCGAUGGAUGUAUGAAAAUCUCGGUGCUAAUCGAUCUUUUCCUUUCUCUUUCUCGUAACGGUAGCACUACACAUAUUCUGUUAUGACUGGUGGGAGUUACUGUCUUGGUGCUAAUCAUGAUCGUUAUUUCUGUAAAUUCCAUGGCUAAUCAUGAUUUUUGGCCGACAAUUGAUGGAACAACCACUUCACACUAACCUGCACUAGACAUCUCAUCUCUCCUUAUCACCUUCCAUCUUCUUGUUGUAGGUUGCUAGUUUGGUUGAAAGUUUAUAUUUACAUUUAUAUAUGAAUAUAUUAAUAUUAAUCUGAGCUAUGCUACUAACUACAUUCCUUUUAUAAGAAAUGUUUAAACUUUUUUUACGACCUAAGUUGACAAAUUGUUCUCUUUCGCUGUGGUUGUAAAUGACUAGUAUUGUAGCAGUAGGCCAGCCUUAUUAAUUUUUUUUACAUACAUACAAUAUUAAAAUUUGAUAACAAAGAAAUGAUUAUAAAUAUUAAGAUUUGAAUUUUAAAUUUAUUAAUAUCAUUUUUUAAAAGUACUUAUACGAAUCAAUUGAACUAAAUUUCAUAUUCAAAUGAUUCUCAUUUUUAAUAAAUGUGAUUCUUUUUUACCCUUAAUUUACAAUGGUUAAAUUAAUUUGGAAACUUAGAUAUAAUUUUAAAAAAUCACUAAAUUAAGUGGCACCUUCAAAUCAACCAUUAUAUAAUGCUAAUCACAUACUAUACUACGUGGAAAUCUUGUGAUUAUGAAACAAAAACAGAGUUCAAAAGUUAUAAUUAAUUAGUCAUGGUGAGGAAAUGUCGCUUACAAUGACGUUCGAGUUUUGCAAUUGUCACAUCAUCAUGUAUUAGGCAAACAAUGUGAACUACUGACACAAAAAAUUAGAGAAAACAAAUUAAGUUACCUUAUAAUUUUUCACGACUAAAAUAUUUUGCAGAAUAUGCAAUUGUUUGUUCUAGAAUCUGUUGUAUGAAUGGCUUUCCACAUUUAUCAAAUCUGAUUUUUUUUUUUUUUUAAAGUUAACUUUUGUAGGGACUUUAUGAGAGAUGGAAGGAAAAGUAUUCAAUUAGUAAAACUUUUUUUUAAUUAACCAAAAAGAUAUUUUUUGAACAAUGUGGGGUAUAGAUUUUUGUGGGUCUUUCUUUUAAUCGACUCCAUAAAUGACCUUAAAAAAAGUCAUGACUGAUGAGCUGUUCUAUGUUAAAGAGUUUUGAAUGGGAAAAUUAUUUAUUUGAGAACAUUUAUGUUCCAAAAAAAAAAAAUCUUGUUAAUAAUGAAUCGUGUUUACGCAAAAAAAAAAAAAAAUCUAAUUCAGAACGUUAUUAGAUUUGGCUUUUAAAUUUAGGAUAUUGAUACAAGAUUGCAACUAAAACUCUUAAUUAUUUUUCUAAAGAAAAAAAAAACCCUAAAAAAUUUGUUUGACUGGUCAAAAGAAGAUUUAUUUGUUUUUUUUUUUUUUAACAAAUGAUGUCUUGAACUGGAAAUAAGAAAAAAUUUGCAAAUAUUAUCAUUUAAAUCUAUAUCUUUUGGAUGUUAUCUCUUAUAUAAAUUAUAAAAUGAUGCAUUCACUAAUUGAAUUAAGUUUCACAUUACAAAAAGGAAUAAUACCUAAAUAAGUCCUCAAACGUUACUUCAAAACUCAAAUAAACCCUCUAUCUUUUAUUAUAUGAAAUUAAGGUUAUGAAAUUUAAUUUUAUUGUAAUUAGAAUCUUGAAAUAUUCAAAUUUUUGUUUAAAACUUUUUAAUUGAAUGAUAUAAUUUGUAGAAAACACUUAGAUUUAUUUAGAUGGGUUAAAUGAUGAAUAUUUAAGAUAAUACUAUUUUAAAAUUUUAUCAAUUGGACAUUAUUCAUCCAAUUUUAGGAUUUAAUGAGUAUAAUUAUAAUAAAAUAAAAGUUCAUAAUCUUAAUUUAAAGCAACAAAAAAAAGAAACUUAUGUGCAUUUUAAAAUUAAGUUCGAGGAUUUAUUUGGGUAUUAAGGAAAAAAAAAAAAAGCUAAGUUAAUUUGAUGGCAUGUUGAGCAUAUUGAAAGAACAAUUAAGUAAAUGAUGUAACAUUUAUAUAUAUUUGAUGUUUUGUUGGUAUAUAAAUUCUAUAUAUUAUCAAUAAAUCACAUAGUACCAUUUUAUUAAUAAACAAAUAUCUAACUCUUAAAAUAAAUAUACAAAAAAUUAAUUUUUUAAAAAAUUUAUCUAUUAAUAAAGUGACAUCAUCUUGUUCUUUUUCUUUUCUUUUAUUGAGCACUUUGAAUAAUAAAAAUCUACUUGUUUUUUUAACUUCUCUCUAAAGUUGUUCUUUCUUUCUAAUGGAUAGCUAAACGUGAGUUUAAUUAAUUAAUAAUUAGGAUUUUUAUGAAAUUCUGCUUUUGAGGGUUUAUAUACAGAGAAGUGCAAAAUAUAAAAUAAAAAUAAUAAUAAUAACCCACAACAAAUAACAAAUAGAAUAUUGGCAAAUAAAAACUCCAGGUAGCUAGGCUUAAACUUCUUACUUUUAGUUGGAUUCAAAUGAAAAACAGGCAAAUAUCUACUCUUAAGAAUUCCUUUGCAAAUUUGUCUUCUAAAACGCUGAAAAUUAAUAUUUAAAGAAAGAUAAAGAAGAUCUCCUUUUUUCCAACAGUAACACGUAGCAGCAUGGUAUUGAGGAAAAUAGAGCAGCUGUUAGGGAAAAGCUCACAGCUAGCAGGCAAGCAUGUGAUUAAGGCCCCAUUUUUACCAACUAAAAGUUUUGAUUAAAGAUGAUUUAACAACAACAACAACCACUUAAUUUCCUGAAAUGUUCUUAAAUUAACAGUGAUUUUCUCAUAAGCAAAAUCUUGAUAAAGCUGCUUUACACAAAAGCGGCAUCGAUUGGGAAAUUAUUAUUGAAUCAUUUAUUUAAAGGUGAAGAUUAUAGACUAAUGGGGGACCCUUUUCCAUUGAAAUAUACGAUGAGAAUUCAGAUAACAAGAUGCCUUUGGCUUUUGGGGUGUACAAUGCCUGCAUGCCCUCAAAACAUGGCCAACAUGGGUCCUUUUUGCCUACCAUGUUUUUUCAUGGUCUUGUUGUAUAUAUGUAUAUUUUCGCAUUGCCUGGAGUUUGUCUGCAAAAUCUAGUCUCUUUUCUUUCCGUCCAUCACGCUCUUUUAUAUAUUAUAUUAUUAAUUUCUAACCUAAAGAAUAUCGGCAUCACUUCAAUCAAUAUGAUCAUGGACUCAUCAAAAGAAAUUAGUUCAUACAUCUCUCACGUCUUGAAAAUUCAUAUAAGUCUCUCCUUCAAUUUUUUGGUCAAAAUUGAGCAUGCACCAUAAAAAUAAUUGGGCACUCUCUUCAAUUAUUUGCCGUGUGGGAAAUAUCCAAGAUGAUUCAUAUUUGGUUUCUGUAAAUCAUGUGAUAAAUUAAUUUGUAUCAUAACUCGAAGAAAAAAAAAGUGGUAGAUCAUAAAUGAAGACUCGUUGAUUUGAAAAAAAUUACACCAUACCAUGCGUGAAUUAUAUCUUUAUCGUUUAUAAAUUUCACACAUGAUAUAUAACAAAUUGUGAAAUACAUGAAUGAACAAGAUUAAUUAGAUAUAUAAUCAUUAAUAUUGUGGUUGCCGAGUUGAAUACAUUUUUAAGGCCCUAAGUAAUGCAUUGACAUAUUAAUGAUAAUAAGUCAGGCAAUAAUAAAUUAGAUUUUGACAGGUAACUAUAAAUUUUAAGCAACGUGAAGAAGAGAUUAUGUAUUUCCACGUUGAACUUUCGUACAAAUAUGAUGCAAGAUUAAUAAUUAUUUGGGAAAAUAGUGAAGGACAUCGAAAAGAGUUGGCGAAGACUAAUCUGAUAGGGUUAGCCCCAAAAUUUAGGCCAUGUUCGCAUAUUUGGAAACAUACGUUUAUAUCGAUGUCAUGUCUAAACUGGCUUCACCCCUUUGGACAAAUUUGGACAAACAAGUUUAUGCAUAAAAGAGAUCGAACAUGUUCGUCCAAAAAAUAAAAAUAUAUUGCAUCAAUCUCAUGUUUCAUGGUAAAGGGUGGCGUGCACUGUUCUUUACCUUGUUAAAUUAGAUGUCAAGAAGCCUCAUUUCAUAAAUCUUGGCCGGGCCCAGUGUCUUUUCAUCGAGCUUCUCUUUUACAUUGCAAACCUCAAUUAAAAUUUUCUCAUUUUCAGUACUUUUUUAUUGAAAAGCUACACAUUAGUGUUUUUUUUUUCUUGGGGGUAUCAGUUCCAAUCGUUUUCCUUCUUCGACAGCCCAACCAUAAUUAACUUUUAAUGACCUUAUGGUUAAAAGAGAAACUCAAUCUAUGUUACAAGUCAAGAGAUAUUAAUUGAUAAGGCUUUUUGAGCAAUAGUUGAUAUUACCUUCAAUUUGGCUAUAGGAUAAAUAAAAUAAUGAUGCAUAUGUAGAUGUAUGCAUGAUUGAUGAAGUGAUUUAAUCCCAAUAGCAUAGCAGAAGGGGAAGGUACAAGUAAAAAAGAAAAAAAAUCAAAUGAACUGAAUUUAAUUGGAAAGAAAAAAAAAAAAAAAGAAGGAUUUGAUCAUUUCUUUAAACAUCUUUAUGGAAAGUAUAUGAUGUAUGGAUUAGAGGGAACAAACUUCAUUUAUUCAACAUCAUUUGUAAUUGGAUGUGAAAUUUAUAGUUGAGUUGAGUUGUCAAACUUUUUCUUAAAAAUUUUCUGGAGCCCAAUUUUUCAUACAAGCAUCCAUAUAUCUACAAACAUGCAAGUGUGUAUCGGUCCUUCCCUUCCAUUCCCAGCUUGUUAGGUCCAAACCCUAAAACCCCACCAUACAAUUUGCAUUUGGUAAUGAGUGCGAGAUCAUCAAACAACUAUAUAUGGAAAAGAUAGUAUAAAACAAUUACGUCACGUUAGUAUAUGUUCUUUUUAUUCAAACCAUACUAUAUAGUCAUAUUAUUAGAAAAGUCAACUAUUUACUACUACACAUCAUAUGUGAUAAUUAAAUUGUGAGUUAUGUUAACAUAUGUCAUUUUGAUUCAAAUUAUGACAUAGUCAUACUAUUAGAAAACAAAUCAACCAUUUAUUAAAUAUCAUUGUAAUAAUUAAAUGGUAAAUAUUUAUUUCAAUAAACUUAUUAAUUAAUUUAUAAUAAAUAAUUAUUUUUUUAAUAAUGUAAUUACAUGACAUAGUUUAAAUAAAAAUAUAUACAUAUAUGCUAAUGUAAACUGUAUCAUUAGUCCUUUCUCUACAAAUGUAUAGGUAAGCUAUUUUACUAAUUUGAUGUAAAUUAUUUCGGGUGAGCCGUAGGUGGCCAGAUUUUUCCAUAUUUUUCUUUGCCCAGUGAUAAUAAAUCAUUUCAUUUUGAAUAAAGAUAAUUUUAUACAUGCAUGGUUUAACAUAUCGUAAAUAUUGAAAUCGUUUUCGGAUGCGUGAAGAGACCAAAUAUUGUAUAAUAAAGUGAAAGAAAGGUUUAAAAGAGACUGAUACGGAGAAAGAAAGAAAGAUUUUGAUUAGUGAUAAGACACGUACAGGUCUGGAGAAAAAGUUCAAUACAUGUGUGUCGAAUUUCGAUGAAUCUGUAAGAUUUCUUAACGUUACGCAAUUCUUUUUCUUUUCUUUUCUUUUCGUUUUUUUUUCAAAUUAGGAAAGGGAAAGUUCAUACUGGUGGCUCCCAUUUGAGACCUGACAGCAUUGGAAACUAUUUGAGUUUGUUCAUAGAGCGUUGCCAUUUAGGAAAAAAAAUGGAUUUCCUCUCCAUUGGACGAUAGCCAUUGACCCCACCAUAGACAAUGAAAACAAGAAAAAAAAAAAAAAAAAGUAAAACUCUGAUGGUCCCUUGGUAAGUGAAGGUUGUGUUGAAAGAUGGCAUGGUGGUUUGCUUCAUAAAAAUCAUUAGUGUCAUAGUCAUAUGAUUAAAAUAAAUCCUAGUGAAUUUUCACCUGACUAACCAACUAAUUAGAGAGCUCCACGUCAGUCAUUUUCGAAUUAUCAAAUGCUAAGCUCAAACUCAAUAUUGACAAGGUUUUCAUCAUUUAUGAUGCAACAUUAAGUUACUAGUAAUUGCUACUUGCUUUGUAAUAAUUUGCAUUGAAGGAAAAUCAAGGGGGGUUUUGAUGAACCUGUUGGUCCAUCAACUUCUAAGAUCGGUGUACUUAAAUGAUAUUCAAUUUUUGUAAUAAAAUGGAGUAAUGAAAAGCAGGUGUAGAAAUUAUGAAGCAAUAAUGUUGGUCAAGUUCAACAUGCACCAAUCACUUUAAUUAUCACUCAAUCAGAACCAUUAAGGCAUUUCAAGAACCUUGAUACAGAACAAAGCUCAUCCAAUUAUAUCUUGAACCGCAAGAUUUAGUUUGUUGAUUUCUUGCACAAGACCUAUAAACCAAGUAACCCAAUUAAGCUUCUCCAAAUCUGACUGUCUAAAGACCUCUAUCCAUCUUGACGGUGGGCUUCAACCUGGCCCAACAUCAACAACCCCCCAUGGAUUUUGUUGUCUAUUUGAAACCCCCUUUUUCUUUUUUCUUUCUUUUUUUUUUUUUUUUGCCCAGAAACCUUUUUAAUUUAAUAUGUUUUUUACUUUCUUUUUUCAACUAAUUAUAACUGCCGUAGCAAUGUAGCCUUCACCUAUUACGGCUUACAAUUUCUGUUAUAUGCCCUUUUUAAGCUUUCUGUCCGAGGCAAAUAUUAAUCGUUAGUAUUUUUUCUUUAAGUAAUUUUCUUUGUGUGAAUCUAUAAAUCCCAUUUGGAUGUUAAAAUCAGUAUUAGUAAUUUAACUUAAUUUAUUCAUACAAUAAUUUUUAAAAAAUGAUAUCUUAUAAAUUUAAAUUUAAAUUUUAAGUACUUGUAAUCCUUUUUAUUCUUAAAUUGUCCCUUUUUUAUUAUAAAAAAUUAUAACAUGUCUUCAACUUUGAAAAAGAAAGCAAAAUCAUAAAAUUUUCUGAAAGAAUUAAGUAAGGUGAUAAUAUGAUUGAACAGGGCAGGUGGUAAGUUAAAAUUGAAAAAAUACAAAAACAAAAAUUUUCAUAUAAUAUCAGUAUUUGUAGUGUAUAUAAUUAAAGUGCAAAAAUGUAGGAUCUUGGAUUUCUACAUUUGUAACGGCUUUAUUUUAUUAAAAUACUGAUUUCAUAGUUGAUACCAUUUUAAGAAGUUUAAAUUUAGGUUGAUCUUAGGCAUUGAUUAGCUGAGCAAAGAAAAAGGAUUUUGAAGAAUUACUUGCCGUUUAGCACCAAAUGGUUAAUUAGUAGAUAGAUGAGGAAUUGAUGUCCUGUCAACGAGCCUACAAAUUUGAACAUUAAACAAAUGAAAAAGUGAAAUAAAUAUGUGAAAUGACAUGCUCAUACUACUAUUUCAAUUGUUUACAAGGUCUAAUAUAAAAACAAGGAAAACUAAAAAUAGGGCAAAAAUUUGGUUAGAGGAAGCAUUGAUUGACAACGAGCCAUCUUUGUUUGAGGAAGCAUUCCUACUGCUCGACAGACUUCAUUGAUCUGAGAAUCCAACAGAUGCUAAGACCCCAUUUCCACACUUCCCGACCGUCCUAACACUCUCAAUCAAUUCUUGAGUACGAGCUUCUUGUGAUAAAAAUCUCCAACAGCUGUUCUGGGCUGAUCACUAGCUUCACUUUCAAAAAUCCAGGGUUGUUGUACUUGGAGAAAACAUCAGUAUGAGACCUCUUCAGAGUCCCUUGAUAAUCACAGGACAUCCUGUAAGGAGCAACAAGCGAUGCGGGGAUGCUGUUGGACCUGACAUGGCCUUUUCGGACAAUCUGGUCGCCAUUACCUAAACUGUCUUUGCUGUUAACUGGAAGUAGAUAGUAUAUAUGAUUUUCCAGGAAGGGUUCUGCAUGGUUAAAAAGUGGUUUCCAAAAGAGAUCAUGGCUUCGAAAAAUAGCGUGACCUGGGAAUUUAUCUGUCAUGCUUCCUGCCGUUGUUGGAGUAGAAAACUCCGUGACUCCAAAAUUUGAAGUUUGUUGGUGUUGAGUUUUGACUUGAGAAUAUUCUUGUGAAUACAAAAAGGAAGAACAGUUGGAGGCAAAGAUAGAGGGUGUUUCUUUUAUUUGCAUUCUGACGUACAAGUUAGUAAAGAUCAAGUUAGAAAGAAAGAAAGUAGGAAGGAAAAAAAGAAGCAAGUGGGAUGAACCUGGCUUCAUGAUGCCUAUGUUUUCAUAUUUAUAGGUAAACUGAGGGGAUCAUAAGAAAACAAUUAGGAUAAGGCCGAGCUGAGAUGGCACUAACCAUAUCAAGUCGGCACAAAUGAUAAAAAUACUUUUAAUUAUCUGCUAAAAACUUAGAAAGGAGAAAAAACCAUUGUACCCUUUGACCAUCAAAUGCUCUUAAACUCUGUCCUUCUAUUAGGCGGUCUAAGUAUCAGAUCAUCAAAUUUAUUAUCGACGUCCUCGAUGUGAGAUAGAUUGACUGCAUGGUUCAUUGAAGGUGACAUUGCAAGGGGAGGUCUAUUUUAGAUUAUGACUAGCUUUGAACAACAAUUCGACUUGACGGUUAUCCAAUCUCGUGCAUGUGUUCUUAAUCGAGUGCAUAAUCAAUUUAAAGGUUGUCAAGGUAAUAAUUGUCUAAGGUGAUUCAAGAUUAGUGCUGGAGUUCAUUUGACCACGGUGAAACUUGAAUUUUCUUUCAAAAAUUUGGAUUUAAGCUCUAUUUUGGACCCUAAAAGUGAACCUGGCUCUUUGUUUACCCCUAAUGGUUAUCUGGUUUAGAUGGUCCAUCCUAGGGCUCUUCCAAUUAGGCGCUGACAGCAUUAAAUGAGAAAAGAGAUGGUUUGAAUAGGAAGAUUUAAAGUAAAAAGACAAAAAUAUGUCUUCCCGCCCGUGCUCCGACAUGUGCCAGGGAACUUGUCAUCCAUCUAGUCUGCAAUGUGUCUAUAUAAAGGGCUAGUACGACUUCAACUUUCCACCUUUUGCUUUUUUUGCCCAUAAUCUGACCUAAAAUUUUUGAUCUCAACAUCUUUCAGGCCUUUAAAGUUUUUUCUACACCUACUUCAGUAUGUGUUUCUAACCAUGUCCUCUAAUAUGAGUUUUGGAUAAGCUAAAAAUUAUAGGGUAGAGCUAAAGGGAAGUUAGCGAGGGUAACAGGAUGACGACUUGAUCCCUCAUAUUAUUGGGGGCUGCAACUAUGCAAAGAUGGCUUAUUAAUUCAACCUAAUGUUCGAGAAAGGGCAACGAUGCAAUAAAGAAAAUGCUUGAGCAAGAAAUGAGUGAAUUUUAAACACAUAAGAAUUGUGUGCUCAGAUCUACUUCAAACUUCAACAUUCACAUGCUUUCCCUGACUCUCAAGUCGGUCCAUCUUCUAUGGCUGACUUGCCCUCCUCUUCGAUUGUUCUUCCUUCUAAGGUUUAAUCUCCUCUACCUUCUACCACUUUUACUCUCCCCUUCAAUCAGUCUUUUUGGACAUCUCGUCCUCUCCUAAAGGUCUUCACCUCAUCCUUUUUUUUUGGGAUCGAGCUACUUUCAUCCAUUAUUCUUUCUCAGAAUCUGUCUCUCACCCAAAGGUCAAAUUCUUUUGAUGAAAAAAGUUUCAAUAAGAAACAAGAGGAAGGAAACACCUAGAUCAGAGAAAGUGACGAUGAAGGGGAAAGUCCUGUAGAGUAGGACGAACUCAUCGAAGCUCUUAUAGAUACUUUGUGAGACCUCAGUUUGAUUUUCAAAGAUAUGAUAAUUAAGCUAAAUGGUGAGACAAAUCCAAAAGACUGUCAUAAUAUAUGCUUGGUAUAUCAUGUUCGUGCUCUGGGUACCAUUUUUCUUUUUCUCAAAGAAAGGUAUAAUAUAAUAACAUUGAACUCCUCAGACUAUAUCACUGAUAGAUUAAAGUCAUAUCGACUUUACAUAUAUUGAGAGUCGUUCGUAGUCGGUCUGAGGUUUUCAUUUCAUCAUUUAUUCAUUUCAAUUUUUAAUUCUUACAAUUUGAUCAUCACUCAACUCACCCUAAAUUCUAUUCAGUACAUAGUCACUUUUAUUAUUUUUUGUUGAUAACUAAAUAUUUUUCCUUCUCUCCCUCUAUACAGGGAGUUUUUUUCUCUUAAAAAAGUUUUAAUGACAACAGGUAGUUCUAUAUCAUAGCUUAGCCAAAUAAAAAACUUUUCACUGAUUACUCGAGCUCAAUAAAGAAUUUGAAGCUACUCUUCCUAUGCCUUGAGAAACAAAAGGCAAAUAAAGAUGGUGAGUCCAAGGUUAAGGCCUAGGAAAUAAAAAGUACACCCAACUCUUUUAUGGACUUACCAAUGGCCCUCUCCAUCUCUGAUCUGUCAUAUUGGAAUAAAAUUUUAGAUUUUACAUGUAAAGAGAGCUCGUCAUUGAUGCUCACAAGGUAACCUUUCUAGAAGUGACAAAUAGAACAAAGUAUUGGGGUAAGUUUAAGGUAAUCUCGUAGGGUUUUGUUUCAAAUUAAUUUUUUAUCUAAUUGUUAGCUCAAUUUUGUAGAGAUGGCUAAUAGCAAGAACUUUAACAUCUUAUUGUACCAACAUGGCCUGAGGCCCAAAAGGGAAAAAAGAAGGUCUAGCUCGGUGCCUCGUCCAUGGGAGAAACAAGGUGGUCAACACCUCUAUGCCCUAUACUCUCCUAAAUCAAAAGUCAAAAGUUAAGGCAAGUUGGGACCUGUCUUUUACAUCAGUACCAAUACCACCCCUUCUAACUAAAAAACCACAAGUAAAGAUCUUGUCCUCUACUUCUAAAAACCCCAAAGCGAGGGUACUAAGACUUAGCUCAGAGAGAAUAUCUGUAAGGUUGGAAUAUGCACCAACGAAUGAUUCAAUCUCCAACAUCGACGUUGCUAGAAGGUUCUAUAAGGUCACUGUUUCUUUUCUUGAUGAGUAUCUCUUGACCUCAGCUCAAUUUCUUGUUAUGAUUAUUAUUUUUAUUUUUCUAAGUUUAAGGUAUUUUUAUGUAGUCCAAAAUGAGUUUCACCUCAGCCUGUGGAAAACAGCAGUCAAACCCUCCAUCAUGCUUAUCUUGCCAUAGGGCAUAUGCUAAAAGUUAAAAAAAUAUAUGGCUACCAUUGCUAAAAAGCACAAGAAGAGCUUAGAGACAUUGGGUAGCGUUAGGUCAAGCCUUAGCACAUCCCACAAGAAAAAAACUAAGCUAAGAAAAAAGGUGAACGAUCUAACAAUGAAGUUGAAGGAUGUCUUGGUUGACAAGGUCUUAACCGAUCUAUGAAGGAAUAGAUGGAGUUAAAGUUUAAUGAUGCUCAAGCCAAAAUCUUAAGGCUGAAGUCUGAGUUGAAAGCUCAGGAUAAGAGAAAGAAAGAGCUAAAGGUGAAGGCUAUAAAGGAGUACAAGACCUCCAAUAAAUGUCUCCGAUUGAAGACGGAGUUUUCCAAAAAUAACUUACUUGGUGCCUUUCAAUUGGCCAAGGAUGAGGCACAAUUCAAAUUCUCCACUUUCAACCUCAACCUCUAUGAUAUUAACAUCAACAAUAUCAUAUCAAGGCCUUAUUAAAAUCAGCCUAAAGAGGAUGAGGAAAAGAAGAAGAGGAAGAAGAUGAGGCCCUAGAGACGAGUUAAAAGUCGCUAUAAGGAUAGUGGAGAAAGAUGUAAAGGUUGUCGAAAAUGAAAUCAUCUUUAUUGCUCCUACUAAUGAGAGUGUUCCCUUUACCGUUGCUACUGCUAACAAAUAAAUUCUAUAAUUGUUAAUUUUUUACUUUGUAAAUUUUUUACUUUAAGGUCAACUUUUUAUAAUGAUCUCCUAUACUUUAACUGAUGUAUUUUGUUAUAAUGAAAUAAAAAGGAAAUUUUUCUUAAGUUUUAGCUUGGGUUUACCAUCAUUUCUUUCUUAUUUGCACAAGUUUAAAAAUGGUUAACCAAUCUAAGGUAGAUAAUUGAAUUGAAGACUUACAUAAUUGCUUAGAUUAGAUAAACAUAAUUACAAGUUCUAUGUUAGAUUUUUUCAAAUCACUUAAAUGUAAGCUUAUCGAAAAUAAUUUAAUUCAAGUGUUUGCAUGUAAAUUAAUAUAAAUGUGAGCUCAGUUUGUACUGAUCUACUAGUAAUAGACUUGAUUUACAUUUCACAUGCUUGGGAUGGUAGUACCAUUCAUAAAAUAAUACAAGUGUAAGCUCGAUUUAUACCAAGUUACUAACAAUAAAUCUUUAAAUUGUCUACGUUUCACAUUCUUAGGAUAACAUUGCCAUUUAGAUUAUGUAAUUUGUAGGUCACAUUGUGAACGACCUUCUUAACAAUAUAUGAUCCUUCCCACAUCGGGGCCAAUAUGCCACUUCGAUCAUCUACUCCUAAAGUUUUAACUUUUCUAAGUACUAGGUCACUCUUCCUGUGGUGCUUGCACUAAAUCUUCCUAUUAUAAUAAUUGGCAUACCUUUUGCUGAUAGGUUACAAUCUGUAUUAGGGCUAUGUCUCUUUGUUCUUUGGCCAAGUCGAGGUUGGCCCAAAACACCUCUUCAUUUUUUUCUUCUGAUGCCAAUCUCAACUAGCAUUAUAGCCUUUGUUCCAAAUACCAAGUGAAUGGGGAUUUCACUUGUGGGCACUUUCGUGCUUGUCCUCAAAGCCUACAGAACUCAUGGUAGCUCAUCGGCCAACUUCUUUUUUACCACGUCAAACCUCCUUUUCAAAGCUUCUAAUAUUAUCUUAUUUAUAGCUUUAGCUUGCCUGUUGGACUAAGGGUGGGCAACUGAAGUAAACCUAAGGUCGAUGUGAAGAUUUAAGCAUCAUUCUCUGAACUUCAGAUGUUAUAACAUAUACAUCUAUAAAUUUAUAACUAGACUUAAUAAAAAGAAUCACCACCAAUCUUUUUUCUAGUUGUGAUUGGUCACCUAAUGAAUCUAUCCUUUUAAAGAACUCUUAAGCUUGACCAAGGGUUUUAAAAGAAUAGGUUCUAGUCUACUAAUCAAAACAAGAUUCGAGAGUUUGGUUACAUAUACAGAAUGUUAUAGCACCCUCAUAUGUCCAUAUAAAAGACAAUACCAUUUUAUUUUAAAUUAUUCUAAGAUUUUGAUUCUAAUGGUUUUAAUUUUAAUAUUGAAAAUAAUUCUUAAGAUUUCUCCAUCAAUUUGAUAGAAUUCUUAAAAAUAUUUUCUCAUCUCAAGAGUAUUCAAGAAUUCUAUUUAUUUUUUCGAAAAAAGAUUUAAACAUUUUUUUAUUUUGGAUUUUCAUUGAAAAUAUAUCUAAUUCUUUCACUAUUUGGACGAAAUUAGAUAAAUUUUCUCUCCUAAAAAUUUUUAGAUAAGCAUCUAUUUGCAAUUACUAAAAACUUCAUCCUUGGAAUUUAUUUUUAUUUUAUUUUUUAUUUCUAAAUUUUUCACCAUUUAGGUCUAUUUAGAAAAUUUUUACAAGUUUUAUUUCUAAAUUUUUCACUAUUUGACCUAUUUAAAAAAAAUAAAAGAACUCUUAUUAUUUUCAUAAUCUUUGAAAAGAAAAUAAUAUGAUAAUUAUUUUUUAAAAGUUUUAUUUAAAUUCUUCCACCAUUUGGAACAAAUUUUAAAAAAUUUCUCACCUAGAGAUUUCUUAGGAAAUUACCAUUUGAAAUUUUUAAGAUUCUCAUCCUUGGAUAAAUUGUCAAAUUUUUUCAACCAAAUUUUUAAGUUAUAUUUUUUAUUUGGAAAAGAAUACAAUUACUUUUAUUAAAAUUUUAUCUAAAUUAUUCCACUAUUUUGAUCAAAUUUAGAAAGAUUCUUCACUAAGAGAUUUUUUUGAAAAUUUGUAAUUUGAAAUUUCUAUGAAUCUCAUCAUUGGGUAAUUAGUAUUUUUAUUCCAAAAUUUUAUUAAAUUUGUAUUUUUUUAUUUUGAAAAUAAAUAUUAAUUAUUAUUAUUUAAAGUUUAUCUAAAUUCUUCUAUAUUUGGAAUAAAUUUAAAAAAAUUUCUCACCUAAAAAUUUUAUAGAAAUUAACAUGUUGCAAUUUCUAAAAACUCCAUCAUUAGAUAAUUAUUAUUUAUGCUUAAAAAAUUUAUUAAUGUUUUAUUUUAUUUUAUUUUUUAAUUUUAUUCUCUAAUUUUUUAAAAAAAUUUAAUCAUGCAAAAUAAUUUUAAAAAAGUAAUAAAAUAAAUAAAAAAUAAUAAAAAAUAAAUACCAAAAUAAAAAACUAACUCGGUUUGGCUGGAGAACUGGCUCAGCUGCAGGGAUAAUAGGCGACUGAAGCGGCUUAAGGAGUGGCCUAAACUUUAAUAGCUGAAAGCGAAUCUUCCAAUCAGGUCGCACUGCGAGUCGGGUCGGAGUCAGUAAAAAACGCAGAUCUUGGGCCUUUUUAAUCUUUAAAAUGACACUAUUUUACGCUUAUAUAAAAGGUCUAAAUUUUUUUUAAAAUAUUCUUCCUCUCUCUCUCUUUCUUUCUUUUUUCUCUUUUUCUCUCUCUAAAAACCAAUGAAUACCGGUUAAAGUUUCAUUAGAUUCUAGAAAAUGGUAUCAAAAUCUAAAAAAUCUCGUCGAAUGUCUUAUCAAUUUUUGGAUGUCAAUUUUUGGAAAUCUGAUGUCAGAGAUUGAAAAUCUCGUCGAAAACUAGGAUUUUUGUCAAAAAAUCAUCAAAAUCUUCAAAGAUCAUUAAAAAAUUUCACCAAAAAUUGAAAUUUCCAAAAAAACUUUCAAGAAAAAAUACUUGCAAAUUUUCUUUUUAAACCAAAAAAUUUCUCUAAAAAACUUUCUUACUCUUAUGUACUCUCUAAUUGCUUUUAUGUGUUUUUUUUGCCCUGAUAAUCUGUGUAUUUUCCUGUUAAAUCUAGGUUCAUAUUUAUAAGGUUCAAAUGAUAAGAACCUUAAACUAGAAAGGAAUUUCAAUGUCCUUUAAAUUCCAACUUCCCACUUAGAUUUAACCUAAACUUUAUAACCUAAAGAAACACUCCUAAACAAAUUCAAUCACCUUAAUCUUUUCCUAAUUUUUCUUUCCAUUUUUAUUUUUAUUUUUAUUUUUAUUUUUUUAUAAGAAAAAUAAUUACAACCCCAGACAGAUUAGGGUGUCUAUAUCGGAUUUUCAAAUUGUUUGCCAUUGUCAAUUAUUAUAAACUUAGGUAAUCCAAAUCUACAAACUAUAUUUUUUCACAUAAAUUUUUUAACUUGUGCUUUCGUGGUGGUCACUAGGGCUUUGACUUCUAACUAUUUAUGAAGUAAUCUAUUGCCACUAAGAUGAAUCUUCUCUAACCUAUAGCCGAGGUGAAUGGUUUGGGACAUCCAUUUCCCAUUGUAUGAAUGGCCAUGAGCUGAUGAUAUGAGUGACCUUGGUUGAAGGGAAAUGUUGUAUGUUGACAAAUUUCUAACACUUGUCACAUCUUUUCACCAGUUUAGUCGUAUCCCUCCUGAUAGUAGGCCAGUAAUAGCCCUAUCUCAACACUUUAUAAGCCAAAGGUCGAGGUUUGAGGUGACUUUCACAUAUUUCUUCGUGGAUUUCUCGUAGGAUAUACUCUACCUCUUCUUUAUUAAUAUAUCUUAAGUAAGGUAAGCUAAAAUAUCUUUUGUAUAAUUUUUCUUUGAUCAUUAUAUAUUAAAGGGCCUUUUUCAUCAGUGCCUUAGCAUAGACUCUUUCGUUGGGUAACAUUUUCAUGGUCAAGUAUGCUUUAAUUAGCAUCAUCUAGGUUUGUUUUUUCGUAACCUAUCCCACAAACUUAUCCUCAAUGAUUUAUAUGCUAAUUCUUCUACUAAAACUUAGUUUGAACUUUCCAUUGCUGUUUCUAAAACCAACUUAGACAGAGAGUCUGCUAUUAAAUUUUUUGACCUCAAUAUCUUUUUCAUCUUGGCUUUCUUGAAGCCAACUACCAAAGCCAGCAUUUUAUCAAGAUACUUUCGAAUUUUAUCUUCUCGAGCUCCAAACUCUCCAUUUAUCUGACCAACCACCAAUUAGGAGUUGCUAUAAGUGGUUAUAUGUUGAACAGUCAGCUCAGUUGCCAACCUUAGGCUAGUUAUCAAUGCUUCAUAUUUUAUUUCAUUGUUAGAUGUCUUGAACUUGAAUUUCAAAACGUAUGAGUACUAUAACCCUUUCAAGCUAAUCAAAAUAAAGUUGGCUCCUUCAUCUUGGCUUGUAACUAAUCCGUUGACAUAGAACUUCCAAUCAUCUUUAUCCAAGAUUUUUUCCUUUUUUCUUAGACUAUCCUUUCAAUUAUACCGAGGUGUACUCUAUAAUAAAGUCUUCAUGUACCUGUAAUUUUAAUGUUAAUUUGGUUAAAAUGAGUAGAUCGAAUUUGCUAAGCUCAACUGUCUAUUUUAAUAGCCUUUUUGACAUUUUAGACUUUUGUAAAACUUGCUUCAGUGGUUAAUCGAUCAGGACAUGGAUCGUGUGGGCUUAAAAGUAUAGCCUAAGUUUCUUAGCUGAAGUGACAAUGACGUAGCCUAAUUUUUUUAUGCCACUAUAGUUAACUUCAAGCCCUAUUAAUACUUUGCUUACAAAAUAGACUAGUCAUUGUUUCUCUUUUUUUUUCUCUGACCAGGAUCUAGCUGAUAGCUUAAUAUAUGUUGACCAAGUAUAACUACAGUAUUUUGCCAAUCUUCGAUUUAGACAAGACAGGUAGGGAGAAUAAGAACUCUUUCAGUUCAUCAAAAGCUUUUUGACAUUAAGAAGUCCACCUGAAGUCAGAGAUAUUCCUAAAAAUUUUGAAGAAUGGUAGACAUCGUUCUGUCGAUCUAGACAUGAAUGGACUAAACGUGGUUAUUUUGCCUAUCAACCUUUAUAUUUUUUUUAUCGAGGUCGAUGCCUUCAUUUCAAAAUCGCCUGAACCUUUUCAAGAUUGGUUUCUAUUCCCUUUUGGCUAAUCAUAUAACUGAAGAAUUUAUCGAUCUAACCCUAAAAACGUAUUUGCUCGAAUUAAGUCUCAUAUUAUACUUUUUUAAAAUGUUAAAGGUUUCUCUAAGGUCUUUCAAAUUCUUAAUCAAACUCUUACUCUUGACUAUCAUGUCAUCUAUAUAUACCUUCAUAUUACGACUGAUUUGAUCUUUAAACACCUUAUUCAUCAAUUUUUGGUAGGUCACAUUUACAUCUUUCUGUCCAAAAGGCAUGACCUUAUAAUAGUAAAGGUCUUUCUUAGUAAUAAAAGUUAUUUUAUCCUCAUCUUCUUUUAACAUUUUGACUUGAUUACAGCCAAAAUAGGCAUCUAUGAAGCUAAAAAGGCCAUGCUCAAUACUAUCAUCUACUAACCGAUCUAUGCUAGGGAGGGGAAAGCUGUCUUCCAAACAAGCUUUAUUCAGGUCGGUAAAGUCCACACACAUUCUCUAUUUUUUGCUAUACUUUUUAACCAUGAUCACAUUGGCUAUCCACUUAAAAUAGUAAACCUCCUUGAUAAAAGUUAGCUCAUAAUAAUUUGUCAAAUUCUUCCUUAAUGUCUUGUUAUCUUUUGGAAGUAAAAGUUGUUUUUCUUUUAUUGAACUGAUUUUACCUUAGGAUUAGUGUGUAAUCUGUGGACCAUCACUUUGGUAUCAAUUUUAGACAUAUUAGACAGUGUCCAAGCAAACAGAUUGGCAUUAUCUUUUAUGAGUUUGAUCAGUUGGUCUUCAUGUUAGAGCUUAGCUCUAAUCUGCAUGUAUUUUUGAGAAAUAUUGUUCUAGAACGGGAUUGUCAUGAGGUCCUCAGUCAAUUCGGGUUAGUUUACGUUCAAAUCUGAUCUUUGAUCAAUUAUCUUUUUUUGUUCAAUUAGGUCGAGAUCAUUUUUUAUGAAAAUAGAUUCUGACAUGAUGAUUAACAUAUUGAACAACUUGUUAAACGUAUUAAUAAAAGUGAAGUAUAUUUUUCAUUUCAUGUUGUGUUUUGACCAACAUGUUAGCUCGGUCUAAGUAACAUUAAAAUUUUCACACUAAUUUAGAAGCUCGAUCAUUUCUAAUGCUAUCUUAAAAAAUUCAAGAAAUAGAAUAAAAUUAAAGUUUUUCAAAGCUUAAGAGCUCAAAGCGACUUAAAAGCAUGCAUCUUUCAGGUCGAUCUUACAUUUUGUGCUUUUAUCGAUGAUUUUUUACUUCUUGUUAGUUCUUUAUGUUGGCUUUUAUUUGCUUUUGACCUUGGUAUCGGUUGAGCUACCUGUCUGCUUCCCAGUUUUACCCUUCAUUAUUGUAAUAUAAUGUUGUCAUACCACGGACUGGUCUUUUUAAACUUUUUCAACCCCUUCAAGUGUUAAAAAUUUUAUUUUCAAAUAGGGAGUUGAGCCUAUAAGCCACAUAACAGACUAGUUAUGUUGGUCUAAUAUCAUGUGAUAGGUAGAUAGGACAUCCACUACCAUGAAUUCUACAAUCAAGAUAAUUGUUUUCGAUUCAAUCCCUUAUAAACAUAUGCCCAUUCUCAAACCCCACUAAUGUAGUGGUGAUUGACUUCAACUGAUCUUUGUCAAUCCUCAUUUUUUUCAAAUAGUCAUAGUACAUGACGUCAAUCAAACUCUCAUUAUCAAAUAGGAUUCUUUUGACCACAUAGUUAUACACCAAGAAUAUAAUCAUUAUGGCAUCGUCAUGUGGGUGUUGGAUUUCUUUCAGAUCUUUUGAGCUAAAUAAGAUUGGCUUGUCUUUUUAGUUUUUUUGUCGAAGUGCUUACUACUAUUACCAUGUCCGAGUUAAACUUUUUUUUCGUCGAGAUAGAGCUACCUUCUAUGAUCACAUUAAUCACCUAGACGAUUAGCCUACUAUUGUCAGCUCGACCCUUUUUUUUAUUUGACUUUUCUCUUCAAGCAUCUCUUUUUUCCUACUCUACUCUUUCUUUUCUACCCUAAAUGGGCACUAAAUAGUCUUAUUUGCAGUCCAUCUUAUGUUGGUCUUAUCUUUUGUGUCUCACAAAUCUCUUUAACUAACCUCACCUUAUCAGAGCUUCAAUCUUAUUUUUCAAGUUGACACAAUUUUUGGUAUUAUGGUCGAUGUCCAUAUGAAAUGCACAUUUUUUAUCAAAUCCCAUUUUUUGUUUUGUUUCAAUGGCUUAAGCCAUUUGAGGUCAGGAUUUCUUUCAAUUUGCAUCAAAAUCUUCUCACGAGAGGUAUUUAGUGCAAUGUAGUUUCUUUCUCUACUAGGCCUUCUAAUCUUAUGUUGUCUCUCUCUUGAAGGAGAAUCGUAGACUUUUUUAUCUUUUUUAUGAUCGAGAAAGAGGGAUGAGCCUCUUUUAUCUCAAUCGUCAAAGAGAAGGAUGAGCUUCUCUCAAGUUUAUCUUUUUUCUAAUUUUAGCUUUAGCAUUAAUGUAUUUUUCUACAAUUAGCAAGACAUCAGCCAGAGUUUUGAGCGAUUUUAGAAAUAAUGUCAACUUUAAAUGGUACUUAUUGUUGAGUCCACUUGUCAGUUCGGUAACAACGAUCUGUUACAAGUCUUUAACUUAUAGAGCUUUUUUGUUAAAACGCGUGACAUAGCUUUACAAAGUUUCAUUCCGCUCUUGGAGAAUUGACAUCAAGCUUAGGGUCAUUUUUUUAGCUUUUUGACUAUUCACAAAUCUAGAUAGGAAUGAGUGGUUAAACUCCUUGAAUGUAGUAAUUAACCUCAGCUCCAGAUUGCUGUACCAAGAUCAAGUUGCAUAUUUCAAUGUAAUGGCUAGAGUUUUGCACAUUAGAACCUCAUUUGCUCAUUAUAUCAUCAUGUUAGUUCUAUAAAAUUUCAAAUGAUCAAAGAGUUAGAAGUACCGUCAUAUGUCUCCAAGGUUGGCAUUUUAAAUUCUUUGGGAGGCAUGGCUCUAUCAAUUUCUUUAGUAAAAGGUGAGGUUUUCAAGAACUUGUGUUCAUCCUCAAAUGCCAUUACCUUCGUUUUUAGCUUUUUUUUCAUGGCUUACAUCUGAGCUUUCAAAUCUCUGUUCGUGUUAGAAUUCAUAGUCUGUUUGUUUGAAUUUUGGGUUGUAGCAUUGGUGGAAUUAUGGUUGGAGCAGUGGUAAGUUAGGUUUAUAUGUUAUUCUUCCUUAGAGGCAGAGGAGGCUUCCGCCUCUUCGUAGGUUCGACAGUGACUUCUCGACCAAAUGUGAUUAAGUCCAGUACUUUUGAGACUUAGGGUGAGGUUAUAGUUUGCAACAUCUGCUUGAGAGCUUGUAUUUGUUCUGUUAGAACUUAAAAUUAUUCCAUGGUUGGUCCCAUUAAUGGUUGAGUUAGGCAGAAAAAAUGCUGGCUAAGGUGAGUUUUUGUUCUAGCCGAGGCAACUGCCUCUGUUUCCUCUUGGUUCUUUUUCUUAGUGGUAUUGUUUUGUGCUCGGCUAAUAUGAGAUGUCCCUUACCUGACGCACUAAAUGUUGGUGUCGAGCUCCAACCUGAGGGUAUUUCUGCGAAUGCAGAAGGAAAGAAUGAUUAGAGGUAAAGAACAGGGGUGUUCCCUGCGUUUGUACUCCAAUGACAUCAGUAAGAUGAGAUCGAAAAGAAAAAUAGAAAAUCGAAAGGAAAGAUAGGAGUUCAGAUAAACCUAAGUUUUAUGAUGUCUAAGUCUUCAUAUUUAUAGGUAAGUUGAAGAAGACCAUAAAAAGAAAUUAGGAAAAUCGAGCUAAAGUGAGCACAACAUGUUAGGUCAACAUAACAUAUAAGUCAACAUAAAUAACAAAAAUCUUUAUUAUCUACUAAAAGCUAAGAAAAAAAAAAUCGCAUACAUUUUUUAACUAUCAAAUGUCGCUAACAAAUUAUAGCUUUUAAUCACUCCAUCAGCUUCUCCCAACCCUCCAAACAGACAGUUCCCCAUCUUCUUGUCAUACAACAAUCUAAAAAACCAAAGAACUAUAACUUCUCCUUGUAAUUGUAAAAUGGAAGAGUAUUAAAGGAAGGGAAAGUUCUGGAGGGAGACAACAUAUCCUCGACGGGAUUCUUUCUUUAGAGUUUCCUCAAUCCAACUGCUGAUAAUACAAAUCCGAAAAAGCAAAAAGAAAAGAGAAAAGAAAUGCGACCACUUGACAGUCAACAUAGCGUCGGGAUGGUGUUAAGGUCAAUUUCGAUCCGAUUUAUAUAAAUAAUUAUUAAUUUAUUUUAAAAUUUUUUAUUUUUAUAUUAUUAAUUAUUAUAUAAUAAUAAUUAAAAGGAUAAUGAUUAUACAAUCGAUUUUAUAUAAAAUUUUACUCAAAAUUUUACAUUUUAGUUAAAUUUAAUACAGAAUAGAUCUAAUUACACGUCACGAUUUGAUCGAAUAAAUAAUAUUAAAAAUACUUUUAUAAUUUAUAUAAAUAUAAUAUAAAAUAUUAUAAAUAUAUAUUAUAUUAUAAUAUAUAAAAUUACAUAAUAAUUUUAUUAAUAUAAUAUUUAAUUAAAUAAUUAAUAAAAUAUAUAUUUUAUAUAUGUAAUGAAUUGGAUCAGGACGAUUUUUUUUAAAAUCCAAUCCCCAUUUUAAAAUAAAAAUUUAAUCCUAUAUGGUUCAAUACGCGAUUUUCAAAAAAAAACAUUGAUUUUAUAAAAUCAUAUCAGAUCGAAACGGACGAGUUAGGAUAUAUUUGCCGAUCCUCGUAGCCAGUAGGCGCAGUUAUUACAAAUACAGAAAUAUUCAUACACGGAAAGAAAGGUUUUUUAAUUAUUAGUAUUUGGUAUCGUAAUAUGGGUAAUAAACCCGCAGGCCUUAUCAGUCAUCGUAUAACUAGCAGCUCCUAGGAAAAAAAAAUGGAGCGGCUAAGCCAAUUCUUCGAUCCUUUGGCACCCAUCAUCUAGCAGGAGAAUCCUAAAGAUCAAUUUGGAUAGAGAUUUGGCAUAUAAAUGGGAAAUGGCGGUAUGAUAAAAAAGGGCAAUGGCUCAGUUAAACCAUUUACAGAGAUGCAAAAAGUCAUGGUUGUGAACAAGACCAGUCCAUUCAAACUUCUUUAUCAUUUUUUUUUUUUUACAAAAAUUUCGUCCCUUAACUUGACAGCUCUGGAACUACAGUAAAAUGUGAAAGAGACAGAAUCACAUCCAAUCUGCUGGGUUCAUUAAAACAUUAUCAACUUUAAACAGCCCAAAGAAAUAGCAGGAUUGCAUAAAAAAUAAUUCUGGGUGUUUUCCCACUGAACGAAUAUUAAAGUUUUGUCAAUGUGAAGGUUUAUGAAUGAAAUGGAAGGCUUCAUUUGGUAAAUGUUUUUAUUUUUUAUAAAUAGGAACUAUUCAUGUAUUCGCUGAAAAAAGAAACUGAAAUUAUCAAGGGCUAGUCACUUCCCUCAGUGAUUGUUUCAAGCAGUGGUGGUGUGAUGUCCUAGAAAGGAGUAUGAAUAUGAUAUUAAUUGUGUAUUAGAAUUGAUUUUAAGAUAUAAAUAUUUACAUUAUAUUUAACCUGUGAGAUGUUUUUUAAAUAAAAUCAUGUAAUUCAAUAGGUUUAAAGUAAAUAAUACUUAAAUAAUACUUUACAAAUCAAUGUAAACUUUAAUAUUUAAUAUCAAAAUCAAUUUUAUAAACUUAACGAUAUAUCUUCGAAAAUAAUAAAUUUUUGUUAAAAUGAGAAGAGAUGUUAUGAUUUUAGAAGUAUGAAUUAAAAUUAUUUUAAAAUAUAAGUUAUCACAUAAUAUUCAACUUGUAAUAUGCAUUUUAUAACUCAACAAAAUUAAAGCGAACAAUUAAUUCUAUACCGUCUUUUGGUGUGAACCGCGACAGGCAACCAGUUUCUAAUAAAAUCAAAUCUAUACCGUCCUUUUAUACGGACUCGAGCAAGUAUUGCUUCUACUGAAAUCCUCUAGGAAAGCAAUCCUCGAAGCUCUUGCUUUGUUACAAGGAGUCUGAUUUUCUUAAUGCUACCAUUCGUGGCGUCCUCUGGAUAAGCAGAACUGACGGUAGGUCCUUUACGUCUUUUGCAGUACUGUGGACUAGUACAACUUCGGCUAUCUGUUUCCAGAGGACUUAGAAAACUUUCCAGGCUCGAUCAUAGCUUUCUUAGAGCAAACUUCUCCCAUAGGAUCAUGGGAAGGCAAGCAAUUGCCCAUGAUUGGUUGAGAAAUUCAAAUGAAAAGGCAGUAAAAAUAAAAAGAUGAAAGCCGGUAUAUUGUUUGUUAGUUACAGUGUUGUGAGACGUUUUAAGAGGACAAGUGACGUGAUUGGUUUUUUUUUUUUUAACAUAAGAGGUCAGAUUAAAAACAGAUUGUAAGUGUUGUUAUUCCAUUUCACAUAACAAAAAUCAAUUGAGUUAAUUUAAAAAGAGUUGAGCUUCAUAAUGUAUUUGACGUGCUCAUGCUUUCAGGCUCUCAUGCGUCACAGAGCUUGAUUAGAACAACUCCAAAUGAAAAUUACUUUUCCGAAUAAGGCAGGGUGUUGAAGAAAGGGGUGUUUGCCUCGAAUUCUUCUUCCAUUAUUUUCAUUUUUAUUUUCUCACAUAAGUAAUUGACCGCCGCCUUUCUUGAUCAAAUGCAUGUGGCAGGCUGAAAGUAAACUUUAUUGGGUGCAUUUUUACUUGGAAUAAGCUAGACUAGAAAUUAUGAAAUAUAUAUACAAAUUAAAAUAAAAGGAUAAAGUAGUAAAAUGCCAGAGUGCUUGUGAGCCAAGGCUACGUUGUUUAUUAAAGUAAAGGGGUUAAGCAAUUGGAUAAAUACAUAGACGAAAUCAGUAAAAUCAUAAAAACUGGGGGGGGGGGGGGGGAAGGGGGUCAUGUCCCUGUCGGCUCGUUAGGUUCGUUCCUGAGUAAAUGUUUGAAUUAAUUAAAUAUAGAUAAUCGAAAGUCAACUUUUCAAAAAUAUGGAGCAUAUUUUUGUUGCAGGGAUUUGAAUUUCAUUUCCAAAUUAGUGCUACUAGUUUUUUUUUAUUAUAAUUAAUUAGAAUAUAUGUAUAGCAAUAAAGAUUGAUUAGAAGGAUCAAUUUGUAUUAUAGAAAAAAUUCAACUGUGAUCGUGUGGAUGACGCUAGUUUUUGCAAAGGAACCCUGCCAGGCUAUAGUUUAUAGCUAGUAGUUGUUCUUGGUACAAAUUUUUCCUAGCUAGUCUAGUUGUGGGCUUUUUCUUCCGCACAAAUUGGCGUAUGUUUAGGUACAUCCAGUAGCUUUGGGGUUGGGUCUGGCAAAAUCAGGUUAGUUUUUCCUCAGAACAAACCAAAAAAAAACAAAAACAAAAACAAAAUUUUUAGUUUCCUCGUAUUUGAUGGAAUGAUUUGUAACACCAUAGCAUUUGGAGCAGAGUUGUUGAUAUUUAGUACAAGCAUUCGAUUUCCACAGACGUUUUAACCACUUCAAUCACCCAAUCACAUGAAAAAAAAAAAAAGUUGAUUUGAAGUUUGAAAGUCGAAAAAGGCUUGGAACUGUUACAUCUUACGCCAUGCAGGUGAGGUCACCCGUGAUAAGAUACCAUUAACUUCUUUGCCAUCUUUUGUGGUUCAUGAAUCAUGGAAAUUGGAAAAAACGUCAUGGAAAAGGGUUAACUUCAAUGUCAAAAAGUUAAAACAGCGGGUAAACGGAAUAGAAAAAGUGUAAUAAAGUAGGGAACUCGCUUUUGUUUUUCGUGAAUCAUGGUUUUGACUAACGGCUCCGUGACCGCUAAGUCGCCCACUACACGAGAAAAACAAGUACUCGAUUGUUUCCUUUGCAUCCUUUGGAAAUUGGAAAAUUUGUUCAUUGGUUGAAAAGAGAUUAAUUUGUCCUGUUAUAAAAAUUGCCUCACUUUGAUUUAAAAUGUUUAAUCUUAUCGUCUCACGAAGAAAAUGCUUCUGUUUGCGCAUUCUUCUUGGCUUCUGUUAUCCGCAUUUAGUUCGGUCAAGCAAUACAAUCGUGAAGUCAAGUCUAAGCCCGAAGAAUCAACUUAUGCCUAUUGCCAACUUGUAGGAUUUGGCACCCAGCCAUUGCUGUCCUAUCAAUCCUUUUCCUAAUUUCCCGAUUUUUUCUAGUGUCAAAUUGUGAGUAAACUCUAUCUUCGGACAACAAUAUCUAAGUACUCUGUAGUCUAUCCCGUUGUUGUCCUGUUUGAAAAUUGAUAUUACACUUUAAGGAACCUUUUUCUCUUAGUUUUUUUUUUUUUUUUGAAAAGAACAAUGCUAGAAGGGGUUGGAACCUGUAAAAUUUUAACUAGGGACAAAAAGAUGACUGGUAAGUGACCCUAAUAAAAACAAUAAAGAAAAUACUCUUUUAAUCUUACAUGUUUGUAUGUUUUCUCAUUUUUAAACUUAAAUAUUUAAAAGUACUAAUUUUAAACCUAAACUUAUGGCUGCACUCAUGGGUUUAUGCUUCUGUCCGCUUGAAAUCCUGCAUGAGAAUGAGAAUCACAUUUUCUUUUAUUUCUUUCUUGUCUUAUUACCCAAAGAUUUUAAGAUCAAAAGCACAAGUUAAAUUGUACACACUACUUUUUUCUAAACUAUAUUAAAGCCUUUAGAAUAAAAUAAACAACAGUUACUCAUUAGAAAUUUCGCCACAACUCACAACUAUAUUUUUUAAAUCAUUUUGCCGUGUGAGGUUAAUAGUCUGAGCUUCUAUAUAAGGCACUUGAAUGAAGCUUCAAACACCCGCCUUGUGCAAGUCUAAUUCAAUAGCCCUAUCCUUAAUUAAGUUGCAAAAUCAUCGCAAACCUGGCCUUUCAAGCGUGUUUGAUACAACCUUGACACAACAUCAGCAGUUUCAGUAAGAGGAAAAUGGAUGUUGGUUACCAUAAUAAAUCUUUUGAAAGUUCGUUUGAGUCAGUUGACACAGCGGGGAAAGUCAUCACUUGCAAAGGUAACAAGCCGAAUUUCUGUAUUCUCUCUCAUGACUAAUCCUUGAUUGUGCAUGUCCUUCUAAGAUUGAUUGUCAUCUUCCAUCGUUGCAGCUGCUGUAGCAUGGGGUCCUGGACAGCCUCUUGUCAUUGAAGAUGUUCAAGUUGCUCCCCCUCACAAGAUGGAGGUCAGGGUCAAGAUUCUAUUCACUUCAAUCUGUCACACGGAUCUCAGUGCUUGGAAAGGCGAGGUAAGCCAAUGAUAAAUUGUUUUUAGCUCUUGAUCUUCUCUAAUUAGUUAAUUAAUUUCUUUUACAACUCAGUCUGACCAUUGUGGUUUUAUUUUAAAGAAUGAAGCUCAAAGAGCAUAUCCUCGGAUUCUCGGCCAUGAAGCAGCAGGGUAUGUGACAAGAAAUUAAUCAUUUUUUGUAGUUGAAAGCACUAAUUAGAAAAUACUUAGAAAGCAGAUUAAUGAAAUGAAUCAUAAUGCUCUGUUCCAGGAUUGUUGAGAGCGUUGGUGAAGGUGUUGAGGACAUGAAAAAAGGUGACCAUGUCAUUCCAAUCUUCCAAGGACAGUGUGGCAACUGCAUCUGCUGCAGAAAUGAGAAAACAAAUCUCUGCCAAAGGUUUGGAGUGAAUCCAUUGAAGAGUGUGAUGGUAAAUGAUGGCAAGCCAAGGUUUUCAACCAAGGAUGGGAAUCCCAUAUUUCAUUUUCUCAACACCUCCACUUUCAGUGAGUACACCGUUCUUGAUUCAGCCUGUGCUGUCAAGAUUGACUCUGAGGCACCUCUUGAGAAAAUGAGCCUCUUGAGUUGCGGUGUCUCCACAGGUAAAUACCAAAAAAUCUCGCCUUAUCUUUUGUCUUUUAAACGAUAUUGAACUCGUGUUAUUGUCUGACUAUAAACUUGUCUGAACAUGAUUUUCUGACCUGAUCAAGGAGUUGGAGCCGCUUGGAAUGUAGCUAAUGUGCAACCUGGAUCAAGCGUAGCAAUCUUUGGUUUGGGUGCCGUGGGACUCGCGGUAAGCCUCUUUCGCUGACUCAGAAAAUUAUUAAGCUUGUUCAAAUUUUACCAUUACAGUUUUUGGACCGUUCUGCUAUAUUUCAAACCAUUCAAAGUUCCAUGAAAUGAAGAUUACUUAUGAAGCUUCAUGUUUUACUAAUAUUAGUAAUACUGUUUUUAGACGUUUCUGAUAUAUAUUUUCAAACUAUGCAAUGCACCAUUGGCGGAUAAGCAGGAAAAAAUUAAAUAUAGGGAGAGGUUAUAUAGAAAAAAAAAAUACAUACAUAUGGGUAUUUUUUUAUGUAUGUGUAGCAUUACCUAUAUAUAUGCACAACUCUGAUUUCCUUGGCACUUGAAGUAGAAGUUGACCUUUUUGCUUUUUCUAAGUCUAACAUAAUAUCAGAUUGCUGAUUGUUUAACAAAAUCAUAUACUAUAUAGUAUCUGAUAUUAAGAUUCUGAUGAACUAAUUUGCUGGUUGGAAUUGACCAGGUAGCUGAAGGAGCGAGAGUAAGAGGAGCAUCCAAAAUAAUAGGCGUUGACAUAAACCCUAGCAAAUUUUCCAAAGGUACUUUUUCCCUAGUAAGAUUAAUAUUAGUAUUGGCCGUACUGCAUAAGUUACUUCCGAUUCAGUUGCUGUGGAGACAUACUGAUCAAAGCAAUUCAGAAUAAUGGAUUAGCAAUAUCCUUUCCAAAAACCUGCUGACAGGAAAAAUUUUCAAGUUAUGUACUAUGAGGCAUGGUUUCUUGAAUUUCAAGUUAAUGUGUUGAAGUUUUUAUUAACCGAAUUCCAGAAUCCAGAUUCAACAACUGGUUCAGUUUCCUAAUCCAUUAAUGGGCUAAGCUAUGAAAUUAGAAAAACAGCAGAUCAUAAAAUGCAACUGGCCAUGGCAGUUGCAGUAUCUUCAUAAUUAAGCUAAUUAGGAGUGGAUUAUAUAGGAAGUUUUAUGAUCUGAUCGGUCUCUUGGUAUAUAUGCGAGCAGGUAAAGCUGUGGGAAUUACAGAAUUCAUAAAUCCAAAGGAUCUAGAAGUGCCAGUGAAUGAGGUUAGUACCAACACUUAUAGCACUGAGGACUUUUUGUGCUCAAAAGGCGCAAGUAUAUAAAAUGGUCUUAAUGAAAAUGGUGACUGCAGAGAAUUGGAGCUAUGACAGAUGGAGGUGUAGACUACAGUUUUGAGUGUGCAGGAAACCUUGAAGUUCUUCGUCAGGCAUUUUUGUCUACCCAUAUGGCAAGUCCUUUUCUAUUACUCUCUGCCUCUGGUUUUUCAGUUUCUUUUUUUUCAAUAAAAAAAGUCAAUUUCUUCCCCUCUUUCUCAUAACUUUAAUCAAGUCUUGCAUACAAGAGUACAAGAAUGUAUAUGAAUGGAUUUAAAGAGUAUCAUUUUGGAUAUACAGGGAUGGGGACUGACUGUACUAUUGGGGAUUCACCCAAGCCCAAUGCUGCUACCUCUCCAUCCAAUGGAGUUAUUUAACGGGCGUCAAAUCGUAGGAUCGGUCUUUGGAGGCUUCAAAGGCAAAACCCAGCUACCAGAGUUUGCCAAACAAUGCAUGUGCGGGGUAAGUUAAUGAUCAAUCCCUUGUACUUUCUUUGUAUAUGGUUGAGUUUUUUUAAGUCCAAUGCAACUGAAUCUGUCUUGGAAUUUGAUUCCAGACCCUGAAAUUAGACGAGUUCAUCACGCAUGAGCUUCCCUUCGAUAAGAUAAAUGAAGCCUUUCAAUUGCUAGUUGACGGGAAGUCACUUAGAUGCCUUCUGCACCUCUGAGCUCCUUCACAAGAUGCUGGCAUCCUUUGAACAUGGCAACCUAUGGUUUGCAAAUAACUGGCGCUGUGCUUGCGACAAUUAGAAACACAAAUAAAGACUUUUGGCUCAUUAUCAUAAACUCUGAAGCAACAAUAAUAUAUAGUUGUUGGAUCACUACUAGAAUAUACCACUUGGAUAGCUUUGUUUUGUUUUGAACCUACAUAUAUGCUUCGAAUGAAAAUUAGUAUUGAGAGCUUUUCCAGAAAAACUCUCCCUCACUGUAUGUAUUUUCUGUGUUUGCCUUUUGAGAAUUAUGAUCUCCCAUGGGUGUAUGUUUUGCGCAAACGUUUUCAUAGAAACCUUACAAAAUUUUUACAUGCUUAGAUAAUAUACGACUACAGUCAUUCUUUGCAGAUUGCAUGGUAGCCCCCUCUAAUCGUUUUUCUUUUGGAUCUUCAUGAGUUUCAAAACCAACGAGAUAAACAGGUUUAAGAUUAAAGAGGGGAACGGGAAAAGCCAUCUCCACUAGUCAUCUAGCCAAAGCUUGCCCGGCACCAGUAACCAAAAAGAAAUGAAGAACCAUUUCAUCAGUCACAUAGUCACAGAAAAUGCAAAGAGCAAUUUAAUUCUGGGACAAACACAGCCAACAUAACAUCUUUCAAGGCCUCGAAGUUCCAUCCAACUCUUAUGUAUUGCAAGUAGCAAGGAUAAACAAAAGAUGACUCCUAUGGUAACAAUGAUCCCAAGCACAGCAGCAGAGGACAAUAUAUAUAAACCAGGCAGACCAUCAACAUGGGAAACAUCUUUACAUGGGUGUGUAUAUGUAUUUUAAAUAUAUAUAUAUAUAUAUAAACUGGUACUAAAAUCAGUUCGCCAAGAUGAUUUAGUGCAUGGGAAUGCGAGGAGUGCGAGGCCGAACUGGGGUCUUUGAUGGGCUUACCCUGAUCAUACACAACAACAGCUUGACUUAAAGACAAUGGACAUAAACACUAUCAAUCUUAUUAGAGAACUUAUGGCAAAACAAAAAAACAAAAGAAAAUACCAUUCUGAAAAAUGAUGGAAAAAUCAGGAAUCUGACCUUAUGGGCAAUGAUCCCAGAACCACACCACUACAGUUGAGAGCAGCAAUUGCACUUUCAGCCUGCAUGUGAACAAGAGAAGAUUACAAAGACAUUCAUUCAUGAACACUGAAGCAACCCAAUCUCGAGAUGAUGAAAAAGGAGCUACAUGUCACUUGCAAACUUUAAACUUGUUUCAAAAGUUGGACAACAUCUCAGAUAACCAAAUGUAGGUUCAAUAACCAAAGAGAGGCAGACAAUCAAGAAAUAAUUCAAAAUAUAACUUCUUGUCCUGAUCCAGAUCACUUUAAAUAAUUCCAUCGAUGGUAACAAAUACCUAUCAUUUGUUGAUCAAAAGUAUUUUUUAGCUUAUCAAGAAAGUUACAGUAUUUAGCAAAUAACUACUCCAUGGUUACAAACAAAAGCUUAUGUUAUCUAACAAGCAUAACUACAAUUGCUAUGCAAUACCUACCAUACUAGAAUACAACAGCUAAAUCCUAGAAUUUAAGGUUACUUCCCUUUGGGCUUUAAUCUGUGCAAAUGAAACCAACACUCUGAAUGGCAAAUCUUCACAUCAUUAUUAAUGUAGGAAGCACCAGAGCAGACUAUAAUAAUUGAUAAGCAAGUUCUCUGUACAAGAGGCCAUGCCUUGUAGUUAUAAUGCAAUGUAGUUUUAAUUUCCUACUAGACUAGUAGACUACUAGUGGAUGAAAUGCUAAACUGAUAUAAAAAUCCUCUCUUAGUUGGUGAAUUGCACAUUAUAUUCAAAAAACCAGUUGAAAGAAGAUUGUUUACAACAACUAACAGAUCAAUUUCGUUGUAAGUGACUGUUGCUAGUUCUUCAAGCAACUCCAAGGUGAAUUUGAAUAGAAAAGCUUCUACAAUACGCUUCCCCUCAAUAACUCCAUUGAACAAGCUAAAAGCCUUCAAGCUUCUUUUAGAAAAAUUCCAGAGGAAUAAACACCAAAAAAUUUCUUAAAACUUUCCCCUCUUAACUUUAACAAGGACUUUUCCUAAGAUAAGGGGGAAAAGAGGAUCUUUUUGGGCAUUCCCCAAGAUGCAAAUCAAUGGAACAGUCCUUAGUUUCAUACCUUGCUUUCUCCCUUUCUUGUUUCCCCUCCUUUCUAUCAAAUGCACCUGAACUUUCUUACAAAAUGUUAGCUUAGAGAAGGAUCAGAAACCCAAUAUCCUACACUUAACCCAAUCGUCCUACUCACUGGCUAGCCUAAAUUUUGGGAUAUAAAGUAAGGUCUUGCAAAGACAUAAAACCCUCAUUUACCUCAUCAAACCCUUCAGAAACCAGAGAAAACUUGUUAAGCUAUGUUCAAAAAAUUGCGCGAAUGAAGAGGAAGAAAAAAUUACCAUUACAAACUCGACAAAAGCAAUGCGAGUUGAAUGAUGGUAGUCCCCCAGCAACCUCAGGCGAUAAACCUACAUCAGACAAGAUGUCCCUUUAAAUGCAUCCCCGCAAAGAUUUUGUUGUAAUAAAUAGAAGAAACAGAACUCUGGAGUUAAUGGAACAACAAACCUCCCCACAGACUGUUUCAAAAAAGAGUUUAACAUCAGCUUGAGUAACCUGCAGAGAGUAAAAUCAUGUAAAAAAUUGUACAGGAUUAUUUACAAUCAGGAUCAUUAUUUAUAAUCAACAUUCACCUUCUUGUCAAUGUUAGUACAGUAGAUAGUUCUUGCACACAUUUGGCGUUCAUCUUCAUUCUGAAAUCGAAAUAACAAAUGUUUUAACAGGCUGAAUAGUUUAAGAGAAUAAGAAAAUGUAUCAAAGACUCCAAGUUAUCAACGAGUUCCAGUAUAAUAAAUUUCAACAAUAAGCCUCACCCUCGGCAAAAAUGUUGGGUUAACUGGUGCAAUAGCUGUUUUUGAAGGCAGCACCUUAACUGGGUAGAAUCCAAGCAUAGUCCCUGCCAGAUUCAGAGCAGUUCGUGCACCUUCUGCACAGCCAAACCAUCAAGCAGCAAAGUAUGUAAAUAUCACAUUUACAGUUAGAUUGACAAUCCACUAAACCAUGCAUCAAAUAACCAUAGUUGAACAUCACCUUCGUCAGUGAACUCAAUAAAGGCAAAACGAAGUACAGAAGUAGGAUCACCACAUAUGCGGCAGUCAACCACCUUCAUAAGAAAAGAAGUUCAUUCAGAUACAUUGUUUUGAUGAAAACUGUUAAGACAAGCAAUGAAAACAAUAUCACCUGUCCACAACUCACAAAUAAACCUGCAAGCUGCUCUUCAGUGACCUACAUCCCAACAAGCAAGAGACUAAAUGAAUCUAAAUACCAUAGAGAUGAUAAAGCAGAAACUGCAGAAUUGAUUGUGGCAUCCUAACAAAGCUGAAAAUGCUGAAUAUAUAUACCUGUUGGUCAACAUCAGAAACAUAAACAGUUCUACGGAUAAUCUCUUCCCUCUGGGCCAUACUUGUCCUGCUGUUCAAUCUCCGUUUCCCCUGACUGAAAUUUUUCUUCUGAGAAAGACAAGAUAAAAGAACAGAAUCCAUGAGACUAGAUGAUGCUCUUCUCCACAAUUGAGAUGAUGUAUACAGAAAUUUGCUAAUAGUUGGAAUUUUAAAUUUCAUAUGGUUUACAAUGAACAUAAACAAUAACCUCCACUCAACUUAACCAAAAAAAAAAAAGAAUCAGGUUUUGUGUAAUUAUUCCCAUUUCAUCUAAACAUGCUAACAUAAGAAUAGAAACCUUUGUUUUCUCUUUUUCUUUUUCCUUCAUCUUCAUUUUUGAGAAAUCAGACAACUAAUAUAGUUACUGCACAUCCAAACACCACCUUGGGAUACCGGAUAGUAGAGACAAUCAAACAAACUCAGAUAACUCAGUUUUUAAGUUAACAGCCGGUGAACUUUUGCAACCCCAAAAAACCUAUCAUAAGAACCAACCAUACAAAACAGAAGGCAAUAAAGCAAAGAUUGAAACCAUAAAGGACAGGAGUACUGAAAAUUUCCUUAUGCAGAAUGCACACGAGCCAGUCAACAACAAAAACAUAAAGCUAGAGAAAAGAACUUCUUGACACUUGAAAACCUUCAUCCUCCAAAACCCAGAUAUACCCAUCAAACAAAUCAGUUUCAUUUUCUUCGCUUCUAAAUUUUUCCAUCAACAUGACUAAUAGUCUUCAUUUAAUAGUAGACGAAGCAAAACAUCAAAAACUGGGUUUUGGGGGGCAUACCCGCCUACCAGCACCAUUGCCAUGAGCAUGUCCAUCCCUUGAGAUGUUAUUGUUGUUACGCAAAAAAAUAUAGUUAGUGUAAAGCCCUCCAUCAAGUCCCUGGUUAACAAGUGAGUGAGGCACGAACUCUUCAGCCAUAGGGUUAAGUUUAGAGAACAGUUCUUCCAACUCUCUCAUGUCUCUCUUGAAGCUAUCCCCAACUUCAUCUCCACCACCAACAUUGCUCCUCUGAAAAUCUCCGCCGUUGGAUAGAGGAUGGGGACCACCGAUCUUGUUGUACAACCCUUGAUCGUUCUGGUGUAAGCUCGGAUCGAUUCUUGACCGAACAUGGUUUUGCUUUGACUGAUCCUGAUCAUUUGAUGCUACUGCUGCGGCAGCAGCAUCCUGAUUCGAAGCAUUCUCAACAACCGCCAUGGCCUGAUGAUUAUUCCUAAAAGAAAGCUCCCUUUUUUAUCAACUGAUCAACAAAAAGACCUGAAAUUUAUGCACCCCAAACAUCAAAAAUAGAGAAAAAAUUUAAAAAAAUAAAAAAUCGAAUUUUGAAAUGUUGGGAAUAUAAAAAUGAUAGAAUCCUUUUGGAAACUAAGCUAAAUUUACAAUCAUCUCCACUGAUGACGAACAAGAAUACAAACCCACCUCGAGAUCACUACGGAAAAAACAAAAUGGAAAUAAAUAACAGCAGAAAACAAAGUAUGGUAGUAAAAAAAAAAAAGGCCAGAUUUUUCAUUUCUUACGGUGACUGUAAUUUUUUCUCCUUCCUUGUCCUUUUUUUUUUCUACCACUGUUUCACAGUGAUCAUCUGAGAGAUGAAAACAGAGAGGAGAGAGAGACCCAAGAGGAUCUGUUUCACAUCGUCCUAAAUAAGUAACAACAAAGAAACGCUGAGCUUAAAUUAAUUUUAAAAAAAUGCUUGUUCGUUGAAAACUUGGUAUGCAAAAAAAAAAAAAAAACUGAAAAAAAACAUAUUAUUUCUUUUUCUUGCAUGUCCAUGUAUGACAUGACAUUCAGAUCAUGUAUGUGCUAUGAAUGACGUUCCUUCACCUUCAUCAUGCAUCGCUAGUAUGACGUGCCGCUAGGCUAUUUGGCUAACGAGUGUUUACUGUUUACCAUACUAGUGCUGGUUUUACCGCUUUAACUGUACCUCCGUAUUCUUAAAGCAAGGACAACUGGACUGCCUGAUGAGGGGCGUUUUGGUAAAUUAAAAUGGUCGAAGUAAGUAGCCAAAUCGGCAACCUUGGUGUGACGGAAAUAUUGUUGACUUUGGCUUGGGAACGAAAGCACCUCUGAUUUUGAAUUCCCUUCCUAAUUUAAAACAUUAUCUAAAUAAAGUAAAAAUAAGAUACUUUGCAUAUAAGACUUUUUUUUUUUACAUUUGAUUCAUAAAAUUUUAAAUUUUUAAAAAAUAUAUGAUAUUUAAAAAAAAAAUUAUUUUCAAGAUAUUUCAUAUUCAAAUUCACUUGUUUAAUUAAAAAUAAUUCAUAUAUAUUAAUAUUUAAAUAAUUAUAAUAACCUUUUUAAUACAUAUGAUGAUAACUUUUUAUUAAUUUUUAUUAAUAAUAUGUACUCAAAAUAUAAAUUAUUCUUUUAACAAUAAAAUAAAAUAAAUAUUUUAUUUGAUUAUUAUUUUUAUUUAUAAAAUAUCAUUAUUAAAAAAUAUUAGAGAAUAUUUAAGGUAUUUUUGUUUUAAAACAUUUUAAAUAAAUGCUAUUUAAAAAAAUAUGAAAGAAUUAUUUAAAAUAUUUUUUGUUCAAAAACUUCUUAAAUAAUUUCUAAUACUUUUUAAAAUAAAUUAUUUAAGACGUUUUUGUCAAAAACGCCUUAAAUAAUACUCUUUAAUUUUUUUUAAAUUAUUAUUUAAGAUAUUUUUAUCAAAAUUACUUUAAAUAACCUCUAAUAUGUUUUAAAAUGGAUUAUUUAAAACUAAAAAUUAUGAUCUUAUUAGAAUUAUCACGAUGAGUUUUUUUAAUUUUAUUUAGAAAAGGAUGUUUUGAAUUAAAAUUUUUUCAAAUAUACAUACAUUUAUUAUUGAAUUAAAUAUUUAUGUACACAAUCUUCCACGAAAAAAUAUUUAUGUACACAAAAAUAAGCUUUCUUCACAUAUAACCCCAUAGAUCCAGAUAAUUGAACAUUUAUAUGAUCUAUAUCUCGUGAGUGAUAUAGUUAUAGCGUUUAGUAUAUUUAAUGAGUUUUUUUUUUUUUUGGAAUAUCUUGUAUUAGUAUGAUAUUGUCUAAGAUCUAGUCUAGUAUGAUUUUUUUGUGGGAAGAAAAAAAAAAGUAUGAUCAAAAUUAGUAAAUGUGAUCGUACCAUUUUCAUUUAACUUCACUUAUGUAUAUAUUAUACGGUAUAUUUAAAUUAUUUAUUUAUUUAUUUAUUAAAUGAUGUUUUAGUUAUCAAAAUUUUAUUUUUGACAAACUUCAAACAUAUAAAUAUAAUAAAAAGUAAAUUUUGUUUUUUUCUAUUUUCAAAAAAAUAAAAUAUGUUAUUUUUAUUACUUACAGUUUAUGGCCCAUACGAUAUUCGUGUUAAUAUUUUUAUAUAAAAUUAUACACGUAAAUAGUUUUUUUAAUAAAAAAUACAAAUCUUAUAUAUACAUAUAUUUAUGUGAUAUUUAAGAAAAUAAAACUUUUAAAAUAUUCAAUGAGCAAUAUUCUUAAAAGAAAAGAAAGUAAACAUAUCUUAUAGAAAAAAUUUUGGAUUAACUCAAUAUUGCUUCAUUAAUUUUGCAUUGUUUAUAUUUAUUCCAAUUUAAGAUAAGUUAAUAUUUUUUUAAAAAAUAAACCUAUAUAUUAGAAUUAUAAGAAUAACUCACUUCUAUAUAAUUAUUAACUCUAUCUAAUAAAUAAAUAAAAAUUCCAUUACAAAAUUCAAAUAUACAAAAGGAUUUUAUAGCCAAUAUAAAUAUUUGUAUGCAAAAACAAUUUAUAUACAUUUAUUCAUAAAAAAACUAUUAAGAAAAGGAUAUAAUAAAAUUUUAAAAUAAAAUCAUUUAUAAUACCACUAUUAUAGAGAUAUUAAUAAUAAAACAAACUAAGUACUAAAAUAAGUUAAUCAAAAAGUAAGAUAUGUCAAUGGACCUACAAAAAAAAAAUGUAUGGUAUCCAAAGUAAUAUAAAUAAUCUAAUAACUUGCUAAAUUAAAAUAAUAUAAAAACUAAUAAUAAAAGGAAUCAAUAAAACAUAAAAUAUAUAAAAUCAAUGAAGCAUUCUACAAAAUAAAUUACAAACCGAUAAAUUAAGGUAGUAUAAUGAUUAAAUUAUGUUAAAAAAAGAACAUGAAAGCAAAAUGUUUUAACAACUGUUGGUUAUUGCAUAAAAAAUAAAAAUUUAGUUGAUAAAGUUUAAGAUCCAUGUCUACAAUCACCUUUAUAUAAGUGAACAAUUAUAAUUAAUUUUUUAAACAAAAUUUUUGUUAAAUUAAGAAUAUAUAAUUAUUAAAUGCAGGAUAUAUGGCAAUUAUUUAAAAUUAUAUAUAUGUCAAAAGAAUAUAAAUUUCACAUUAAACUCUUUUUUUAACCAAAUGGUUCGAUUUUUAUAUGUUUACUAGUUUUAAGCUCGUGUUAUGCAUUAGUAAGCAAACUAUUAUAAUUUUCGUUAUAUAUAACAUUAUUAGCAUUAAAAUAAUUGUUUAAGUAAAAUAUUGGAAGGUUUAUAUUAGCAUAAUAAAUACAUAACUAUAUUUAACAUACUCACUUUUGUUUUUAUAACAUUGGAAAGUUAAGUUUUGAUUUCUAUUAUAUAUUUAAGAAUAUUACAUAAUUUUAAAAAAUUAGGGUAAAGAAAAUUGCUAUUAUUUUUAAUUUCAAAAAAUUAAUUGUCAAAUAUUACUUAUUUAAAAUUUUAUAUUUGUGCUAUACACGAGGCAAGUGUACUUAUAAUAGUGUUUGUAAUAUAAUAUUAUUUCAAAGUUUAAUAUAAUUAUAAUUUUAGAGAACAAUUUAAUUUUUAUUUUCAUAAUUACAAAUAUAUUGAUAACAAUUGAUAAAAUACUUAAGUCACCCUAAAUAAAUUUUUAUCAUUAUUUUAUUUACAAUAUAAUAGAUAAUCUUGAUUUGAUUAUUAAAAAUAAAGCUAUAAAUGUACAAACAAAAAAAAGUAUAAUAUAGAUAUUUUUUCUUAAUUAAAAAGAUAAUUUCGUUCAUAAAACCAAAGAAUUAUAGAACUUAAGUAUCUUACUAAAGAAUGCUCAAAGACAUAUACAAAAAAACAAUUUGUAACAAUACUUAAUGUUACACAAAAUCUAAUUUCUCAAAAAAAAAAAAAAAAUUACACACAAUCUAAUCCCCUUUGAAUCUAUUACCAAUCGAUAUAAAAUAAUUAUGUUUUUUUCACUCCCAUCUUUAUUAAAGAAUCAGCUAUAUAGUUUACUACUUUACUUAUUUAAAGGAAUAGGCAAAAUCAACAUUUCCAUUUUUGCUUUUAACAAUUAAAAAGCUCAUCACUCUUUCAAAACUCACGAAUAUACGUUGAAUAUUUAAGAUAUAAUUGUCACUUUAAAUCAAAUAUCAUUUAUAUUUACCUAAUUUUAAGAGAACAUAUAAAUAAUUAAUUAGAUAAAUUAACAUGUUUUUAAAAAAUCAAUUUAGAAAUAAAUUUUGAUAUUAAUUUUAGGACAUUUUUUUGUAAUAUUAAUAUAUUAAAUGUAGAAUUUAAUUGUACGUAUGUUUUAUUCAAAUGGGUAAAGGAGUUAUAUUAAUAAAUAUAUCUUAUAUUCUAAAGAAGUUGAACCUACAUCAAAACUAAACUAUUGGCAUUUUUAUUUUAAUAUUGUAUGUUUGUUAUAGUUAUGAAUUAGUGGAAUAUUAAUAUGACAUCUUCAAAUGUCUAUCUAUCUAACAAAGAAAUUGAAUCAAUAAUGUUUAUCUAAAAAAGAAAAUAUAUAAGAAUAUAGAAAAUUGAGUAUAAGUAUUUCAAUUGUAAUUUGAGUAUUUUCAAUAUUUUAAAACUUGUUAAAUGAAAUAAGUGGUAAAUUUCACAAAAUUAAGGAAUUUGUUUCAUUUUUAUAAGAUUAUUAAAAUUUACAAAUUAAACCCUCUACAUUAUCUAAAGCUUAAUUUACUAAGAACUCUUAGAAAAUAAUUUCUCAAUUUUUAAUUGAAAUUAAAACAUAUUUAGCCGGGUCAUAAUUAAUUAUAUAAUUUUAAGUCUGACUUCACUUGCAAUAUAAUAUCUGAAAAUCCUUAUGAUUUGGCUCCCAACCAAUACAUAUUGGCUAAGUAUGAUAGUGUCCAAAUUAAUUAAUCAUCAUUGGCAUCUUAUUGUAAAGCUUUGUAAAUCAAUAGAAUUUUAUUGAGUAAUUGCCCAAAAUAAAACAAAAUCAUUAUGCCUUUGCUAACUAAUAUCUCAUAAAAGAAAAGAAUCUCUAACAACAUCACAUUAAACAUAAUAUUAAAAAUAUUAAAAAAUUGUCUUUAAAUUAUAGAGUAUAAAAAAAUUAUUAUAAAAUAUAUUGUUAAUAAAAUUGCUAUUAUAAAAAUAAAAACCUAACAAUUAUAUUAACAAAAAAAUACGAGUAAAAUAUCAAUAAACUUACAAAAGAAUAGCAAGCAAAACUACAAAAAAAAAUUUUAUAAGAUAAUAGAGAUAAAAUUGUAGUAAAACAAAAUUAAAAAAUUAUCAAAUUCGAUUUGCUUAAUUUUUUUUUAAAGAACAUUUGUAUUUAUAUUGCUAUUAAGAGACAUUAUCAUAAAUGUAUUAAAAAGUUAUUAUUAUUAAUUGUAUAAUGUAAUAAUAAAUAAUAAAAGACACGAAAUUAAUAUAAAUUUUCCUUCAAAAUUAUAAAAUUUGAAUUCUUACUUAAUCUGUAUUUAAAAUAUAUAUAUAUUUUAUAAUUUAAUGAUAUCAUUUUUGUCAACCCGUUAAAUGGCUUAUUUUUCUUUCUUUAUUUACUGCAUUAAGUUUCAUUUAAUUUGUUAUGAGUAGUUAAAAGAUAUGGAAAUAUAUUCCUUAGUAAUUAGUUUUUUAUUUAGUUUCUUUUUUUUUUGUAUUAUUGACCAAAUAAUUUGUAACUUAUUCAUAUAAGAUACAAAUAUUGGAUAUUUAAAAGGUAAUAAAUAUAUUUAAUUUAGUCUAACUAAUUAUUUUUUAAGUAACAAAAGUGUUACUAUAAAAAAUAUUUUAAAUAAAUAAAAUGUAUUUAUUAGAGAAUACGUGAUAAUUUUUUAAACUCAUUCAUAUAUAAAAUAUGUAACUAUUCAUAUUGAACUAUUUAUUUUUUUAAUUAAAGACUUGGACUUUUAUAUAUUUACAUAAGAUUAAUUGUAUAAUGUAAUAAAUAAUAAAAAACAUUAAAUUAAUAUGAUUUUUCCCUCAAAAUUAUAAAAUUUGAAUUCUUUCUUAAUUUGUAUUUAAAAAAAAACAAAAGUUUUUUUAAUUUAAUGAUAUCAUUAUUGUCAAUUCGUUAAAUGGCUAAUUUCUCUUUCCUUAUUCACUAUAUUAAAUUUCAUUUAAUUUUUCAUAAAUAGUUAGAAAACAUAAAAAUAUAUUAAUGAGUAAUUAAUUUUUUAUUUAGUUUCUAUUUUUAUUUGUGUUAUUGACCAAAUAAUUUGUAACUUAUUAAAAAUAUUAGAUAUUUAAAAGGUAAUAAAUAUAUUUAAUUUAGUCUAACAAUUAUUUUUUAAGUAAUAAAAAUGUUAGUAUAAAAUUAUUUUAAAUAAAUAAAAUAUAUUUAUUAGAAAAUACAUGAUAAUUUUUUAAACCCAUUCAUACAUAAAAAAUGUAAACUAUUCAUAUUAAACCAUUUUUUUAUUAAAAUUUUUGACUUUAUUAUAUUUAUACAUACAAGAUCAAAAUCUAAAAAAGGAAAGAAAAUAAAAAAAAAUUUUUUUUGGUCAACGCAAUCCUUGGUUAAAUAAUAAAUACUAAAUUUAAGGAAACAUUUAAAAAAGGGCUUUAGGAGUGACGCAGGGACAGGGGGGAAUGGGCUUGGGCCACCAAUCGUAAAAGGGCUUGGAUAUUUUGAGGCCGAGCCUCAGAGGAAAGAACGAGAAAGAAAAGAGACAGACGCGAAAAAGAAUUUUUUGUUUUUUAAUUUAUUUCCUUUCAGUUCCGGUCCUUCCCUGUGCGAGGGAGAUGCCAUUUUCGUUUACCCCUGCGGACGCCAAGAGAGUCCUUCAGAUCAUCGUAUCAACAAAGGAUUAUAAUGUUUUCAGGUACUCAUUCUUCAAUUUCAAAUCAAUUUCGGAAAAAAAAGUUAGGGGAAAAGCUGUUAAAUUAGCGGAACACUUUUAGUUCAAUGUGAAUUUGGGGGGGGUUAGGAAUUUAAGAUUUUUAGGUUGGGUCUUUUAAAUUUUUGUUGUAAUUAGGGUUUAGGAUAAUAAUUAUGAAAGGCCGGACUCAUCGGGCUGAUCCCCACGACGACUGGGGAGACGAUUCAUGGACGGUGGACUGCAUCUGCGGCGUCAAUUUCGAUGACGGUGAAGAGAUGGUGAAGUGCGACGAGUGCGGUGUAUGGGUGCACACGCGUUGCUCGCGUUACACCAAGGGAGAAGAAUUGUUUGCCUGUGACAAGUGCAAGAGCAAGAGCAACCGUAACGACACCGAGGAAACGGAGGUGGCACAAUUGCUGGUUGAACUGCCUACAAAAACGGUUAGGAUAGAGAGUAGUUAUGUGGGCCAUGUGCCUCCCCCACGGCCCUUUAGGCUUUGGACUGAUAUCCCCAUGGAAGAGCGUGUUCAUGUUCAAGGGGUUCCGGGAGGGGAACCUGGUUUGGUUGGAGGGUUGUCUGGGGUUUUUACGCCGCAGUUAUGGAAAUGUACAGGGUACGUGCCUAAAAAGUUUAAUUUCCAGUAUAGGGAAUUCCCAUGUUGGGAUGAGAAAAAAGAAGAUGAUAGUAAAAAUGGUAAGCAAAUUGAGAUUGAGAAUGGGAAUCUGGUUGAUGGUGGUGCUGGAGUUCUGUUUUCCUUGUCCAAGGAGAGGGUGUUUGGUGCUCCAAUGUCUCCGAAUAAGGAUGCUUUAAAUGAAGGGAAGAAGAGUGAUGAUGAGGAUUUGGAUGGAAAACGUUGGCAGAAUGGGGCAAGGGAGGACAAGGGUGUUCUUCAGCCUGUUGUGGUACCCUCCAGUAAGCAGAAGAAAGACGACCUUGGGGGGUCCAAAGAUAAGAGUGCAAAGAAGAAGGCUAGAAAUGCUGCUGAGAAAGAAGCUUACGAAAAUAAGAGAGCUGUACAGUCCCAUAAGACAGGUUACUUUCUUUGCAAUUGAAUUUAAUGCUGUACAAAUACAUAGAUCAGAGAUUCAAAUUAUCUUGUCAUUAUGAGAAAUGUAGUUAUUUAUUCAAAAAUAUGUGUUUCAUAUUAUUGGAAUGAAUGGUAAUGGUGAAUCUCAUCUUUACAGAAGUUGGCAUAUGUAUGUUGACCCCAGGCUCUUUUUGUUGUUCUUGUGUUUGUUUGCGUUCUUAUUACUAGUGUUUAGACCCAGCAGUGAUGCAAAACAAUUGGAAUUUUAUGAAGACAGAGGUCCGAAGUUUUUCAAGACUCAUGUUCAAAGUGUAAAGAACAAAAAUUUGAAAGACAAUUUGCUUCAAGAACACACAUCAGAUGGUAGCCUUGCAUUGAACCUUGUAGUUGAAAGGCCUAAGAACGACCUAGGGGAAAGGGAGUGUACCUCAGAGGUCUCAAUUCCUGGCAUGUCUGGACAUGAUUGUCCAAUUAGAAUUGAAGCAAAGGAUGAGAAAGCUGACCAUCAAUUUCCCACGGCUAUGAAGACCUCCGCAAAAUCUGAGGAUCUUGUUGCAUUGCCAUUAGAGCACAAAUAUCUUGGGAUAACUCCUGAUAAAGAAGUGGUAUCUUUGUUAUGCCUUUCAUUUAUUGGUAUUAAGGAUGAAUUUUGUUGUUGUUGUUUUUGUAGUUCUGUCUGUUGUAAUGUUUUUUUUCUCUUUUAAAAAAAAAACUUUAUCUAGCAGAAGAAAAGAAGCUCUAUUAGUUGAUGUUACAUCACAACCACCAGAGUCUUCAAUCUUCUUGAAGCAAGUCUAUAAUGUUGUUGGGUCAUGUGAAAUCAAAAUCAAUUGUCUCAAAAUGUUGUAGUAGGCCAAACUUCUGCUUUUUGGUAAAUAGGUUUUGCUUUUGAUCUAGGGGACACCAUGAUAAUAGAAACGGGCAAGUUGCUCAAGAAAGGGUGCCAAGUUCAUUAUACAAGAGAGGAGACUUUCACAAAUUACUAAAAUAAACUAACUGCAUAAGGUUUUUGUUGGUUACAGAAUUUAUACCUAUUCAUGGAUUGCAGGCAUACCUAUCUUGGAAAUGAUCAAAGAACUGUAGUGUACCAUGCUAAGCAAACUUCAAAAUCUCAUCUAAAACACUGAAGCUGAGAGAUAUUGACAUGAAAAACAAAAUUCCAAAAUGUAAAGCAGUUAAAGCUUCAGUGUAUUAGUUCUAAAAUUGUUGUGUUACACUUUUAGUUUGCUUUGUCACAAGUAGGUUGCAGUUGUACCUAUACUUGUUCUCUAAAAUUGAAUAUUGUGUAAAAAUUUUGAAAUGUUGCAUUGAAAGCAUUACUUAGAUACAUGUUGCAAAUUUAUGUAACUAUUGUGAGUUAUGACAUUGACAACUAGUCUGUGCAAUUUGCAUGCACAUUAAUGGUGCAUGCAAUCCUUGAUGUUUCUUUCUGUGUAAAAUAGUAGAGAAGGAGGAUUUAACAAGCAUUUCUGAUAUGCUUUUGGUUUCACUUGGUAUUUUAAUUAACUUUUCAUAUUUUUGUGAAUAGGGUGAUAGCAUGGCAGUUGACAAAGGAGAUGGUGGUGUAGAAGGUUCUAAAAGAAGUCCUCAGGAGUAUCUGGUUAACAAUUUGGCUAGUACUGCCCUGGGAGUUCAGGGCAAUCAGAUUCUUAAAGAUUCUAAUUGCAUCAUGUCUCACAGUUUUGUUAAACCUGAUAUCGAGGUUAAAAGAGAAAUGAAUGAUGAUGAUGACUCUAAGGUUGUUUUAACUGCUGAACCUUCUCCUCCUGAUGAUACUAAAAAUAUAGAGACAUCUUUCCAUCAGACAUCAGAGACUUCCCAAAUGAAUGAUGCGGUCGGAGGCAGUUCACAAUUUUCUGACAGUAAGGUGAAGGUCAUUGAGUCAGAUAUUGUUGCUGAUUGUGGUUCUGAUAAAGCUAACAAGUUGUCUGGUGAUUGUUCGAUGCUAAAACGUGAUUUGGAGGGUUUAGAAGUUCCUGAGUUGGUGCAGAAAAGUUCUUCAGAAUCCAACCAUGUUCCUGGAUCUGCUGAAGAGCCUAAACCAAGUGCAAAUGUUGUAACCUCUGAAGAACAGUCUAUCCAGCGUAAAAUGGUAGUAUGUGUUGGAAAGUCACCUUCUACUUCAUCUGUUGCCAUAAUCCCCGUGUCAUCUAUUCCUGAUAACUCUAAACGUACAGAUACUCAGAAUUGUAAUCCUAGCACGGAGCAGCGGGUAAUGCCUGAUAAUAAUGUGAGCAUUAAGAAUGAUCAUGCUGCAAGUGAUGUACCUAGGGAUGAAGACAGACAUGACAUAUCUCGGAAGGCAGUAAAAGAGCGUCUAAAAUCCUCUGUUAGUUCUACUUCAAAAGUCUCACACCAAAGCAGGAUUUCACAUACUUCCAUUUCUAAAAGAACCAUAUCUGAAUCAAAAGAUUCUGUACCUUACUCAUCUUUAAAGGCAUCUUUGGUGCAGAAUACUUCAGCUACCUCAGUCUCUGGCGAGUCUGCUGGCUCACUGCAAAUUCAGUCUGCUUUGCAUGUCCAACAACAUAAGACAUCAGCUUCAUGUUUCCCACAGAAAAGUGAGAAGUUCAAUCAGUCAAGUACUAAGGUUACCCAUGCAUCAGCAGCGCAUCCUUUUGCACCAUCCAUUUCCCCUACUCUGAGUGAUGAAGAGGUGUGAGAUCAAGUGCUAUCUUCUAAUAAGAUAAUUUAUUAUUCCUUCUCUUUCUCUCUCUCUCUCUUUUUUUAAUUUUUAUUUCUAGGAGCUUCCUUUAACAAUUUUAUUCUUCCUCUACAAUUUCAGCUUGCUUUACUUUUGCAUCAAGAACUUAAUAGUUCACCAAGAGUACCCCGUGUCCCACGUGUGUGGCAUGCUGGUAGCUUUCCUCAGCUGGCAUCUGCUACUGCAACAAGCAUGCUAAUAAAGCGCACAUCUAGCUCCGGAGGAAAGGAUCACAGUUUGGUAAUAUGUGCACGUCCUUUUCUAACAUUUUUGUGCCAACCAGCUAUUCCUGUUUCAAGUAUUAGUUGCAUCGGUAAACAGAGGUUUUCAACAGGGUUCAGCUUUGAUGUGUGUUUCUUGCAUUUGUAGGUUCCUAGAAGAAAAAAUAAGGAUGCAUCUAAAGAUGGCUCCCGUGUUUCUCGUGAUCUUGAUCAUGAGGCUAAAAGGACUGAUAAAGUGCCAUCUUCACCUGAUCAGGGUAAAGAUAUUGGAUCUGCCAUUCAUGCUUCUGCUAAAAGGGAUUGCAAGAACAUAUCUUCCGCGCCUACCACAACCACAAAUAGUGGCCCUUCUUCUUCCACUGAAGUUCAUGAUCAAAAUUUGUCAUCUAUUCGCAGUUCACCUAGGAAUUUAUCUGACGAUGACACAGGCACAAUUCCUGGUUCUAUACCUCGUACUUUACCUGGUAACUGCCUCUACAAGAAGUCUUAUUUACCAAAAAUAUCCUGAAUUAGGACCAAUCUUAUGUUUUUUUGCUUAAUCUUUAAUUAACCAUUUGUAAUAUUCUUCAUGUUUUCAGGCUUGAUAAAUGAGAUUAUGAGCAAAGGCAGGCGAACGACAUAUGAAGAACUUUGUAAUUCAGUGCUGCCGGUAUGUUGCUUCUGUCAGGCAGAGUUCCUACUGGUUGCCUUAUGACAUCUUUCUUUUUACCCCUGGUAGUUCUUUUAGAGGAAAAAUUUGCUUCUCAUUCUUUUCUUUUCUGCUAUUGUUCUAGCACUGGCCUAACUUGAGGAAACAUAAUGGAGAACGCUAUGCAUAUUCUAGUCAUUCUCAAGCUGUUCUUGAUUGCCUAAGAAAUCGACAAGAAUGGGCUCAGUUAGUUGAUCGUGGCCCCAAGGUAUGCACAUAGCUUGUGGCUGAGCCUCUUUGCUACUUUGUUUGUGCACUGUAUUCUGCUGAGGGAAUAAGGGAUGCAAGUUUGAGCGGUAAAUUCCUUAUGGGACCCAAAACCACAAAACCAGUCUGGUGUGGACUUUCUUUUUUGACUAAUAAUCAUUAUUUGCUGCUGUCUUACAAUUUUGUCCACGUGGAUUGUUGUUGCUUUCACUUUUUUGGUUUAGCUAAUGAAAAUUGUAUGUUAGUGAAUAAAAAGGUAAGGAAAUAGAUGCCUAUGAUGAGGCCUUGUGACAUAUUUGAAUUAUCUUUGUCAAGUUACGUCAUCUAUUGGCAUGGUGACAGCAUUGCUGCGAAGGUGUAUCGCAAAUUUUUUUGCUUAACCUCUCUUAUGAGGUUCACUAUUAUUCCUAAGCACUUGUUGGUGAUAAUAUUAAGCCAAAAGAUGCGCACAAAUAAACAGGAACUGAUAGAAAGGGACAGUAGCAAAGGCAAAGGAAAAUAAUUUUAUAGGGCUCACAGUGGUCUAAUAGCACCUGGACUAUAAUUCAGUUGUUUUAUACCAUGUACAUUUUACUCGGAGUUAGCAUUUAAUUUGUUUUUAUUUUUUAUUUCCUUUGCAUAAUUUCACAGUUAUUGACUUGUAAAAUUUUAAUGAAUUUUAUUUUUGUUGGAUUUUAAUUAAAGAUUGCGAUAACAUUAUUAUAUAGCAGACUAAUUCAAGUAGGAAAAGGCGCAAGGCUGAUCCUGAAGAAUCAGAGGAUAAUGAAUGCUGCAAGGGAAGAAGUAGGAAGGAGGUAGAAAGCAAAAGCCUCGAGUCACAGAAAGAAGAGUUUCCCAAGGGCAAACGGAAAGCAAGGAAGCGAAGGCGACUGGCUUUGCAAGGAAGAGGAAUAAAAGAUGUCCAAAGGAGAAGGAAGACAGAUUUCAGUGAUGAUGAUGCUGGGCCCUUCUCUAAUUCCAGUGAGGAGAGCAUGUUCAGUGAGGAUGAGAUCCAAGGUGGCACAGCUUGUCCCGUGGGAAGCGAGGCCUCAGCCAGCUCAGAUGAGACCAUGUAACUUGAGGCGUAUCGAUUCUUGGUUUCAACUGAUUUCCGGAGAUGAGGAAAUGGAUUCAGUUUUAACAUUUGGACAGUGGUCUUCUUGUGUUUGCUGAUAGUGAGUCCAUCUUCCAUGCGCGGAUCUUUUGAGAUGAUUCUCUGUAUGCAGUGACUCCACUUUUUGUGCGGCAAUGGGUCAAUAAUACCACACCAGCGAUUCGCUAUUGGCUUUGAAGAGUUGCUAGGCCUGCUGAGUGAGUGGUAGUGCCGGUUGUUCUUGUGCUCCGAUUAGUAAAUGUAAAACUAGUGUGGAUAGACUUAUUUUUUGGUACUAUUACGUGCCUACAACAAGUUUCAAGAAAAGUCUUAGUAAUCUGAGAUUACAUUUUACACGAACAAGUAAAAGCUACCAUCACAAUUAUAUAUAUUACAAUGUGUUCGUAAUAACCAAUGAGCAAACCACCAAGUACCAUUACAAGUAUUGCAAGUUUUAGUCUCCGUGCAUUUUUUGUGCGUGGGGUUGCUAACCAUUUUGUCCUUAUGUCACCUCAUAACAUAAUUAUGAUUUUUCUCUUAUUCUUACCUGAAAAAGAGGAAAAUAUUGGAUGGAAAUGCGAAGGCUAUCGUCAUACCAAUAUAUGCAUUGUUAUUAUUGUCGUUACUGCUCCCCAUGUCUUCCCAUUUUUUAUUGCACUGACGAUCAAGAAGAAACGAAGGCUGACUUUUGUUUGUAUAUAAUAAUAAAAUAAUAAUCAUAGACUGCCAUGUUGGAUAAAAUUAUCAAAUUAUUUAUUAUUUGACCAACUGAAUAUUCAAUCAUGCUCAUGUUCUAAGAGAUUAAUUUAGGGAACGAAUUAAGUCAUCAAAUUGUCUGUCAAUAUGAGAAAUCAAAAUUUAUUUUUAUUUCAGACAUAUUCUUUUAUUCUAUUCCAAAUAAAUAAAUAAAUAAAGAUACAUAAAAGUUACACCAAUCAAGAAUGGUCAUUUUUCUAUAUUUAGCAAGUGAAAAUUUAUUAUAUUUUCUCACUCUUUUUAUUUAUUUUGUUGAACAAAUUAAAAUAAUUUUAAUCCAAAUAUAAUUGUGUCAAGGAAAGGAGUCACAACCUUACUUCUUACGAAAGGAAUUGCUGCAACUGAAAAGAAAAACCUUCCAAUAAAACUGGUGUUUAUGUUUAAAGUAACCGACUUUGACAAGCUCUGGUCAGGUUGAAAAAAAAAAUGAAAAACGAAAAAAAAUAAAAAGAACAAAAGAAAAGAAAAGAUUUUUUUAUUUAAUCUAUGAUUUGGGUUAUUUGCCAUUUUAUUGUUAACGCCUAUAAAAAGGUGCGUGACUCAAAGUUAAGAAAAGACAAGAUCGUUGAAAAGACGGUAAGUUUAAGUUUGCUUUGUCCAAUUAACUCUUUCUUCUUCUCUCUCCCUUCCUUCUCCCCCUAUCUGUUUAGGGUUCCCCGAUUAUUCCAUUUUCCCCUUUUUUAAAUUUUAUUUUCUCUUCCAAUUUUCGUGCAUUCCCUCAUCGACGGACAAGCGAUUAUCUGCUUUGAUUCUGAUCUCCUAUAGGUGAUCCUAAUCUGCUUGAUUUCUGAAUUGGAUAGUCUUGAUGAUUCUUUUUUUUUUUUUUUCAAAGAAAUUGUGUUUUGGUUGAUGUGUAGGGUGGUGAUUCAUCGAUCAUGACGAUUCCGGAUUCGGGAUUCAUGAUGGAGAAUGGGGUAAGUUGCUUGCCGUGCACGCCCCAAGAAGAAAAAAAGAUGGUUACUGAUUUAAGAAACGAAUCCGAGCGUAGCUUGAAAGAAGGCAACUUGUAUUUCGUUAUUUCGAGUAGGUCCGUUUUGAACGAAUUUUAACCCUUUUUUUUUUUUGGCUGGUUGUUGUUUGAAAAAUCUAUAACGAAAAUGCAUUUGGUUUUUGAAUGUGCCAGUUCUCUUCCAAUAAUCAAUUAAAAUUAAAUUAAUUACCUAGUUUUAACAUCGGAUUUUUAAUUGACUGUACAAUUUGGGCCUUUUUAUUGUAGGUGGUUUCGAACGUGGGAGAGGUAUGUUGGGAUAGACGCUGAUGAAAAUUUGAUUGGGAACCAAUCUUCUGAUUUUCGGCAUAUGAAUGGGGCUUCUUUGAUCAUGGCAGAAAGGCCGGGUCCUAUCGAUAACUCUGAUAUUGUUGAAAAUGGAAGUGAUUGCGAUUGUAAGGACAAUGAGAUACAGCUUCGGAGAAUGUUGACGGAAGGGCAGGAUUAUGUUUUGGUACCACAAGGAGUCUGGGAAAAGCUUUAUGAAUGGUAAUGUUUCACCUCUGGCUAUUUUCACAUUGAUAUCUAUAAUGUAUAUGCUAUAUGCUUUGGUCAUGUUGAUAGUGUAUUGAGUUACCAAACUACUUGUGAAGAUCUACGAUGAAGUUCUCUGAAAGAGUUGUUAGCCUUUUUUGGUAGUAAUAAUUUUGAUGUUUAUUCAAGGUUAAUUGUGAGAUUUAGUUAGUGGUUUAUGUUUGUAAAAUGGAUAAACAUACAAAGAAAUGUGUAGACACAUUUCUGCCAUCAUGAUCAAAUAACAUUUACCUCUAGGUUAAAACAGUGUACUUGAGCGACUUGAUCAUAAGUAAUACACCUGAAUGUACCUACCUUUGCUGUACUUAUUCGAUUAACUAUCAGUUAAAAUUUUUUUUAUGUUUUUUAAUAUAUCUUUGUAUUUCUUUUUAGGUAUAAAGGAGGGCCAUCAUUGCCAAGAAAGAUGAUUUUGCAGGGUUUUUAUCAUAGAAAGUAUAACGUGGAGGUUUACCCACUUUGUCUUAAGUUGAUAGAUUCCAGGGACGAUAGUCAGUCAAUUAUAUGGUUAAGCAGAAAGGUAUGGCUUUUGAUCUGCAUGGAUUGGGGGUUUGUCCAUUCUUUUGUUAUAUUGCUUAGGCCAAAUGGAAGAUAAUGGUGAUAAAGUUAUUUUGUUAACACAGGCUUCUGGUAUUGAUGUUUGUUCAUUGUAAGUUUUGAAAUCUUAGACAAAACCAGAAAUUAUUCCAAUUCCAACCAAUUGUUAAAGUGAUAUGAAAUUGCCUUUUGGUUUCUAAGGUCUUAUUUUCAGGUCUUUAGUGUCCUUGAAAAUAUGCAUUUUUGUUGUAGACCAUGCAGGUUCUAACUCCCCUUUUUCCUCACUUCUAUUCUUUUGGUUGGAUGGUAUGUUUAGGCUUCUGUAACUGAGCUUUUCCAAAAGGUCUGUGCGCUUAGAGGAAUAGAGCGGGAUAAGGUGAGCAUGUCAUUUUUUUAAGUAUAUAUUCUUUAAUAUAAUUAUUUUAGAAGUAAAUUUGUUUGAUAUAAGUAAACUUCAAUUAUGUGUUUUGGUUCAUUAUAUAUUGCUAGGCUUGCAUUUGGGAUUACUUCAAUAAGAGAAAGCAUGCACGGUUGAUUGUUUCAAAUAAAAGCCUAGAGGAAGCAAACUUGCAGAUGGAUCAAGAUGUGAGUAUCUUUUUGUUUGUCUUUCCCUGUUUCCAUUUCUAUUUGAUUUUGAUUUACCUGCAUGUUUGAUGAAACUUUACAGAUUCUUCUGGAGGAAGUUGAUGGAUGUCAUUCUUCAAGAUUUGGCAUGGAUUCUACAGGAAAUGAACUAGCUUUGGUUUCCUUGGAACCUUCAAGAUCACCCUUGACAAUUGCUAGGGGGCCAACCUUGUCCAAUGGUCACUCCUCAGGUUACAGAUCAAAUCUGUAUCCUGGAAGUUCCUUAAGCUCAGGAUUAACAGAUAUGGAUGAUGGUUUUGAUGCUUAUAACUCUGUUAGAAAAGGAGAGAAGGGCGGUUUGGCUGGAUUGCAGAACCUAGGAAAUACUUGUUUUAUGAAUAGUGCUCUUCAAUGUUUAGUGCACACACCCCCUCUUGUUGAGUACUUCUUGAAAGAUUACAGUGAUGAGAUCAACACAGAAAAUCCUUUAGGAAUGCAUGUAAGUUGUGGUGCUAUCAACCAUUUUGUUUUUGAGUUUAAUAUUGAUUGUUCAUUUGCACAUUUUGACACCUAUUCUUGAGCGCUCCACAAAAUCUCUAAUAUAAGUUGAACUUGUGCAGGGGGAGCUUGCACUUGCAUUUGGUGAGUUGUUACGAAAAUCAUGGUCCUCAGGGCGAACUGCAAUAGCUCCACGUGUAUUUAAGGGAAAACUUGCUCGGUUUGCACCACAGUUUAGUGGUUACAACCAGCAUGAUUCUCAAGUAAGUAUUUUGUGAUGACUGAAUGCUCUGUUCUUCUGCAAUGUUGGCAAUUGGGUAACUUGUAUAAAUUAGUGUGGGCAUUAUUUUUUUCGAGUAUGUUUACCACAACAAUAUUAAGUUGGAAAGAAAGCAAUGAAUGUUAAAAUCUUGAAAAGUAGCAAAUAGGAUGCUUAGUUUGACUUUACAGUUACAAUUUUGAUACUUUAAAUUACUCCUAAGAAGGCAAGCGCGGUUAGUGAUUGUAUGAUUGUUUAGCAAAACAUCGUAUGUUCUCAAAAUUCUGGUGAUGCUGCAGUAUGGAGGACUAGAGAUAUUUAAUCUUGGACUUAUAAUUUUUACUCUAAGGCUUAGCAUGGACCUUUUUUGUUAUACUUUAAAAACAACUUUAAGAAUGACUUAGAAUGUUGUUUAAAUGGUAUCUCUAGGUAUAACUUUUAGGUGUUACAUCUAUUUUUUUAUCAUAUUUAUGCUUUCUCUAAUGAUGGAGCAUCUUUUGUUUAGGAACUUCUGGCUUUCUUACUGGAUGGGCUGCAUGAAGACUUGAAUCGGGUUAAACAAAAACCUUAUAUUGAAAUGAAGGAUUCAGACGGUCGUCCUGAUGAGGAAGUUGCAGCUGAGUGUUGGAAAAAUCACAAGGCCAGGAAUGACUCAGUUAUUGUGGAUGUAUGCCAAGUGAGAAAUUUUCUUAUUUUGACUUUGAUUUAGAGCUGCAUAUGAUAGCCAUCCUUAACGUUAUGUUGAGUUAAGAGUGGUAUCAGGGUUUUAUUACAUGGCAAAUACAAUUACUCAUCUAAGAUAUGUUUUCAGUAUCACUUUAAAUGGUUUCAUGACCAAUUGCAUUUUUCUGAGCAUACUUAGAAGUUCCAUUUUGCAAUUUUGCCAUUAUUUGGCUGUUUCCGUUCUUUAAGAUUUGGGCAUUUCUCAGACUAUAGGUGUCUAGUGCUUUUGUGGUUUCAUCUUUGAUAUGUCCUACGCUUAUGUAACUGUUUUCAUUCAUCUUGCAUGUCAAUAAUACACAACUUCAAGUUUCUAAGCACGGAAAUUAGGCUGAUUUUCCCUCAUGUUACUAACAAUUGGAAUAUUGUUGAUAAUGCUCUUGCCUCUCAGGGUCAAUAUAAGUCAACACUGGUUUGCCCAGUUUGCAGCAAAAUUUCAAUUACUUUUGAUCCCUUCAUGUAUCUAUCAUUGCCACUACCUUCAACUAUCACUAGGACAAUGACAGUGACGGUGUUUUAUGGUGAUGGAAGUUGUCUCCCAAUGCCAUAUGCUGUCUCUGUGCUGAAAAAUGGUUUCUGCAAAGAUCUCCUUUUGGCAUUAGGUACUGCAUGUUGCUUGAAGAGUGAUGAGAGUCUCGUACUUGCAGAGGUAAAUUUAGCUUGAGUUGAUUCUUAAUUUAUUUUUAGCUGUUUAAGGAAUAGAUUACCCUGAUUGGCUAAAGUAGUAAAUCUUCUAUAUCAGGUCUAUGGAAACAAGAUUUACCGAUUUUUGGAGUCGCCUUUGGAGCCAUUGAUUUCGAUAAAGGACGAUGAACGUAUUGUGGCCUUCCGAUUUAAAAAAAAAGGGAUGGGUAAAACUAAGCUAGUAAUUUUUCAUCGAUGGCAGGAAAAGUAAGUUUACUUCCUUUGUCUCUCUAGCUAUUGGAAUUUUGCCCAAUCAAAUUAUAUUGUUGUAAUUGGGUUUACUAUCUGCAGACACUUUAAUAUUUUGGAAAACUAAGGAUUCAUAAUUUCAUCUAUCAUUGCAAUUGUCUUGUGAUUAUUAUUGUUUUUCUAAAUAGCAAUCAUCUGUGUCACACGGUUCAUCUGUUGACUGUGCUUACCAUUUGUUAUGAAUUUGGUUAAGAAAAUCUGCAGAAGGGUUAAUUUCUUUUGCAGUUUACUAGGAAAUGAGGAAUGGACCUUUUUGGCUUCUUAUAUUUGGCUUAAGUUUUUGGAGGGGGCGAGAAAGUAGUCUCAUAUUCUGUUAAUAAGCUGAGAGAGAGAGAGAGAGAGAGAGAGAGAGGGGAUGGAUAUUUCUUCUUAGUUUUUGGUUAAAAUUUUUUUAGGGCGGGAGAGUCAUAUGAAUUUGUUGAAUAAGCUGUCUUCUUCUUCACUUCUUUUUCUUUGCUUAAGAUAUUGGACCAAUAUACUGUGCUUUCCAGAUUCACAACAGAUUAUCUUAGGAUUGGCACAGGGCUUUUUGGAACUCCACUGGUUACUUAUUUGGGAGAAGACCAACCAAGUGGAGCUAAUAUUGAAACCGCUGUCUCUAAAGUACUGUCACCUUUCAAAAGAACAUAUCCUUCAGCUAAGGCACAUAUUGGCAAGGAAAAUGGCUUUCUUUCAGAUGGUCUUGAUGAACAAUGCGGCAGUUCUGAUGCUAUGUCAGUUGCAAAUGCAGAACUUGAGGUUACAUCAAGCACAGACUUAUCACUUCCACUCCUUUUGAUUGAUGAUAGCUUUAUGAACUUCAAGGCUUUUAAGAAGGAUACCUUCUUUGAGUCCGGGAAAAUCUUAAGGGUUGUGCUAGAUUGGACUGACAAAGAACAGGAGCUAUAUGAUGCCAACUACUUGAAGGACAUCCCAGAGAUUCAUAAAGCAGGGUUUGCAGCAAAAAAGACCCGGCAGGAAGCCAUCUCUCUAUCUUCAUGUUUGGAUGCUUUCUUGAUGGAAGAGCCUCUAGGGCCUGAUGAUAUGUGGUAAGUGCUUAAAACACGUUUAAAUAGAUUUCAGAUGAUAAAAGUUGCAGAUACUCACUUUGCUGUAAGCAAGUAUUGAUGCCUUAAUGUUAUGACUUAAAUUAUCUAUGCAGGUAUUGUCCUCGAUGCAAGGAACAUAGGCAAGCUAUAAAGAAGCUAGACUUGUGGAUGCUACCAGAGAUUAUUGUUUUUCACUUGAAACGCUUCACUUACGGCAGAUACCUAAAGAACAAGAUUGACACUUUUGUGAAUUUCCCAAUUCACAAUCUUGAUUUGAGCAAAUAUGUGAUGAACAAAGAUGGGCAAUCUUGUGUAUAUGAGCUAUAUGCCAUCAGCAACCAUUAUGGUGGUCUAGGUGGUGGCCACUACACUGCCUAUGCUAAGGUAAAGUACUAAUCUAGCUGAUUAGCACUUUUAUUAGUCUAUCCCGAUAGCCAUCUCUCAUGGAUAAUACUUACGCACCUUACUCAUAAUUUUUAACUUGUGACCAUCUUCAAUAUCAUUUAUGACUUGAUGGUUCUGUGGAAUUGCCUUUCAUACGGGAUAUUGAUUCAAUUCAUAUCUAAGAUGCUUUAUUUUUCCACUUUUGCAGUUGGUUGAUGAGAAUAGAUGGUAUCAUUUCGAUGAUAGUCAUGUUUCUCCAGUCAACGAAUCUGACGUCAAGACCUCAGCUGCUUAUCUGUUGUUCUAUAAAAGAGUUAGAACUGAAUCCAAGGUGGAGACAGGAGAGGCAUCGCAUAGUCACUUCAUCUCUUAAGGCCCUGGUUGAGUGCAUUUUGCGAUACUGUUGCUUCUGGAGCUGCCUCCAUUUGAGCUGAGGCUGGGUUCAUCUGCGACAGUCACUAUUAUACCAUGUGAUGAACUGAUGAUUUACUUGGCUGAGGAAGCCGAUCAGCCCCACAUGUUAUAGAAGAUAGGUGACCCUAGCACUGGACCAAUAGCGAAAGGGUGAUACAAUUAAAAGGUGGGGGCGAAUAUUAGUUCAAUUAUUAUUUAAAUUUUUUUUAAAAUUUUUUGGGCAGAGUACUAGGUUUGCCGCUUAUAGGUGCCUAAUUUGUAUUAUGAGCAAGUGAUGAUAGCCAAUAGCCAUCUAUUGAUUGUAACCUUUUUCUACAGAAGUGUCUGUCACCUGACUGCUAGUCAGUUAGCCAUUGAACUCGAAGAUGAUUUAGUCUUUUAACAAUGUCAUUAGACAUUAUUGACAGCAAUGCAUGUAAAUAUUAAAAGAUUUUAGAAUUGAGUGCAACAGUGAAUUCCAUUUUAUUUUAUCCUUUCUUCCCAUUGCAUGAAGAGAGGGGAGUGACCGACUUUUUCUGUCUGGGAAUUUUAUCUUGUAAAGGAAGAAAAGAUUCGAGGGGGGAACAAGUGACCUGGAAACCAUCAAAACUAUCUCUACCAACUUUCAGCCGAAUUCUCAAACAUAAUACCAUAUUAGUUUAGUAAAAUGAGGACCCAACCGCUAUGACCUUUAUUUUUCAUGUCUUUUUCUUCUCCAUCUACUACUGUUCUUUGUCUCUUCUGUUUUCUAAUGAUAUCCCAAUGUUUGGAAGGACGGAAUCAGGUUGCUGGCCAAAACACUUUACCAUUCGAACUGAUAACCAAUCUGUGAAAGAAUUCCUUAAAAAUAGAAAAAUAGAAAUUAAUUCAAGACGGAUUAGAUUGUACAAAUUUUUUGGUCAAUAUAGCUUUACUAUUGAAUUAAUUAACGGUGGUAAAAAUAUUCUUGCAGAUUAUAGUUAAGGGUAAAUAACCCUUGCAUGGAGAACAAUACAAAAGAAGCAAACUAAAAAGUUCUGACUUCUUCUCCUACAUUUCCUCCAUCGGCACCAAUUUCUAACCCAGGAAUUUUUAUUCAUACUCCUCAUGGGUAUCUGCCUCAUCAAAUUCCAAUUCAGCCCUCCUAUUAUUCUCAAUUUGCAUAAGAUCCAAAUCAAUGAACUUCAAUUUCUUAUUCUGAAAUUAUAUCUUCAACAGAAAACCUAUUGAAAGAUACAAAAAUGAAAACUAUAGAAAUAAGAGAUUUUUAUGAUCCAGGACUCCCUGUUGACAUCUAUAAGAUACUUAACAAUAUUUAAAAAUACCAUCUCUCAAAAAAAAUCACAAUUCAAAAAAUAGAUGAUUAAAUUAGCUGAAUUUUUAGCUAAAUAAAUUAAUGCAAAAUAACUUUUUGAUCAAAUGGUUUUCGACAAUCUCCUUUUUUUUAUACCUGCUAAAAUAACGAGAUAUUGAUUAUUUUGAAGAAAAUCAAUUAAUAAUCCAAGAAAUAAAUAAUUUUUUGAAUUUUUGUGAUUAUUUUGAAGAUAUCAAUUUUUGUUUGAAAAUAUUUUGGAGCCUAUGAAGCAGGCAGUAAUUCUGAAUUAUUUUCUGAUCUUGAAGCAGUAGAACUGCUACACACAUUGAUCACCCUCAAAAGUCUUUUCUUUUAAUACCAAGAAAGUUGACAAAUGUGAAAUAAAUCUAAAAGAGAUUUUUCAUAAUCUUUUAAUCUUGAAGACGAAGAGCUGCUAAACCUGGAUAAUAUUUAAGAAAGAUAAGCUAAUCCAAGUUUAUCCCAAUUACUGUAGCAGACAGCCGAAAGUGGGCUUGGUCUCCGACAAAACAACUAUAGCAAACAGCUGAAAAGAUAGCAGACAACCAUAGCAAAAGAUAUACAGUAAAAAAAAAAACAGUACUGAUAUUACAGUAUUUUGAUUGGUACGGUUUCCUAACCAUGUUUAAACAACUAUGGUUAGUUUUUGUCUCUAUAUAGACUCUGAAAGGGUUAAGGCAGAGGGUCUUGAAGCAGCUUACUCUCCCUGCCUACUAGCCACACUUUCAUCAUCACUACUAGUCUUUUACCCUCCUCUAUUGUAAAUUUCUACCAAUAUUUUAAAUAUCUAGUUUGUCACUAUUAUUGUUGGUGUUUGCGUUUGUUCGAGUGUCUUUGUUCGUGUUUGUUCGUGUGUCUUUGUUAGUGUUUGUUCGUGUUUGUUCAUCAAUGCUAAAUGGAUAUAUAAAAAAUCUGAAUAAUAAUAGUACAUCCUCCUGGCCACUACAACCAGAAUGGAGAUAAAAAAGAAGCAAUAAUCAAAUGUAGCAAAUUAACAAUCAUCGACUAGACUAGUAAAUGUGAGAUGCGGUCCCUCUCUCUACCAAACUCUCUCAAUCAGCAAACCUAACACCCUGCAACAAAAAGUGAAAAAAGAUCACUUGAUUGCUAACUAAAAAGAUCAAAAGCAACCCAAAUGAUUUGGGUUCAAAAUACCAAGUCAGGCCUUACGCCACCCACCAUCACCCAAUUGCCCAAAAACAAAAAAAAAGAAAGUUGACAGAGUAGGGCUCUCGUUGGAUAUUUUACAUGCACUUAUGCAUUUUUGGGACAACAGUCAAAGGUAAAGUUGAUAUUCCAUUGAACACUCUUAGAACCGUACAAGCAAAGAAACAGAAUUUACCUUUCCCUUACAACGAAGCUGCCUCUCUUUAUUCCCUCUCCGUUGCCCUUUUUUUUUAAGUUUUCUCUUAAAUCUAAUAAAAAGAGCUUUGAAUUCGUCUCUACACCAACGUUUUAGUCAAUAACAAUGAUGCCAGCAGCACAUGACCGACGAUUUGAUAUCUUUCCUGCUAUCAACCAAAAAAUUGAAAAAACGAUAAUGUCACCAUUUCAAAGUUUGUCAUUAUCAGACCCAGGCAGAAGAAUCCAAUGAAAGGUGUGCAAUUUAAAUCUCUUAAAUCUUAUCAAGAUAACGGAAUAUCCGCAAUGAAAAGUGGAAGUUUAACGGUUAAAAUGUGAAAACUCCAAACUUCUACCAAUAACUUACCGUUGCGGAAGAAAUAGACAAAUAACCAGUGGAAGAACUCGUCGGAGAAGAUGGCGUCCUCACGGCAUUUCCAAUACCUCCAGCGGCGGUCGUAUUACUUCCGACGACGUUGAUAUUACUUAUACCAAGAUGAUAAGCCGGCGUUCCAUCAGGCUUAAACAACCCGUAAUUCCUCUCUGAAGUGGGACCUGGUUUCAUAUUCUCAUUAAACAAAGCAAAAACAUAAAUAUUAAGAUCCGAAUUCGGCCUCAUUGGAGUUCCUGUUUUUUUCGCCAUCAAUUUAAUCAAAUUCCCAUUGUAUUUCUUCGCAUUAUCAGAUGUAGCUCCAACCUCGUCUUCAUCUCCCUUUGAAGGCCACCCAGUUUCCGAUAUAUGAACUGGGAGUUUCUUGUAACCUAAAGAAGCUAAAGCAGAGUAAACGGCGUCGAUUUGAGCGUAUAACAUGUUGUCGUAAUGUAAAUUCGUGCCUGGAUCGAUAACUCCUUGGUUUGGCUGAAAAAGAACAAAAUCCAACGGAAUUUGCUUGGGAUUUCCCUUAUAAGCGAAGUAGGGAUACGCAUUGAUCAAAAAAGGAGACCCAGUUUUUUGAUGAAAACUCAAAGUUUCGCCUAAACAAUCGAUCAGAUCUUCACGGAAUGCUCCAGCUGAAGGCGGAUACGACGUUUGGAGAAUGGCUAAGGAAUGUGCUGUCGUAACAGUCACUUGUUUGUCGAGUCCGAGGUUAACCAGUGCAGUGUGAACGCUUUGCAUCGCCGGCAGAAGGUUGUCCGAGAGAGAAGUGUCGUUGAAAGUGAGAACCUCGUUUCCGACAAAGAUGCAGGUGAUUUUUGUGGCUGGCAAGUGGGCUUGAACGUUUUGUUGGACCCAAGCUUGGGCUUUGUUCGGAUCUCGCAUCUUGUCUAAGUACUCGUUGCCUAAGCCAACGAUGAAUUCGACGCCGGUGUUUGCGAAUGCGCUAAGGACUCUUGGAUCUGCAUCGUAGAGUUUAACUUUUGUUGCUCCAAUUGAUUUUACUAGUGGCACUACGUUUUCUGGGGUUGGAAGAUUGUUUGCUAUUUGUCCAUAGUUGAUACCAACUGAAUUAACCAUAAUUGGAAACAAACAAGCUGCAAUAACCAAAAAAAAAAAAAAAGCAAACAAAAUUAGCAAAUCCAUUCAUUGCAAAUCAAUCCAAGUAGAUAAAACUAGAGAGUUAGUUAUCCGGUACCUGAAAUUGAAAGAAUAAUUGAAGCAUAGCAGAAGAAUCUAAGGAACUCCAUGAGAACAGAGCAGUAGGUAGAGUGAGUGAGUGAGUAUGCAGGGCAAGAUGGCUUAUAAGCACAAUUUUUAUGGUAAAAGCUGUGAAUGGACACGCAAAUUUGGUCGCCAAAAGCGUUGAAUAAGACAACCAAACAAGAAAUUAUUCAGGAUUUUUUACUAUCGAUCCUACAACCUUAGAACGACAACUGUCAUGAGCUAGUGCGAAAGUUGAUAAGAGUAGUACAGCAACGAGUGAGCGAAAGUCCUAGCUCUCUCUCUCUCACGCACACAAUUGUGCUAUGUCGUCACGCAAACCUUGAAAGCAAUGGGGCGCUUUGCUUAAAAGAAGGGAAACAAAAAAGAGGUCAUUGUUAGAAAAGGACCUUUUUUGUUUAGCUGUAGUUUUCAGAGCCUGCGCCGAAAUUCUAAUAGCUUGAUAGGAGGAGAUUCUUGGAAGCGGCAGUUUUUAUUGAGUAUUGAUUAAGAUUUUUGGCGACGGUGAUUAAUCUUAUCAUUCGUUAUCAAAGGUGAGGAUUUGAUUUAUUAUUUCAUGAAGGAUGACUGUGUCGUUGUUGUUUUUGUGGGGUAAAGGUUUCUUCUCCGACAAUCUUCACAUGGGUCGGCUUUCACUUUCUUUUAGGUAUUAUGAACAAAACUUUUUCACUUAAAAUUCGUUUACGAAAUUAGUAUUUUAUUGAGUGCUGUUAGCUUUACGAGAGUGAUAUAUAAGAAGACGACAGAGAAACAGCGUUGGAUACGUGGCAUCGAUGCAAAGCAAAGUGAUUGGGAGAUACUUUCAGUCGCGUUACUUUAUUCGUCCCUGAUGGGCUGAUCUCUGCCGUUAAAAUAUUUUAUUUUAAUAAAGGGCCCAUUCUUUUUCAAUGUCAUUUGCAGAUGGGUUGGGUUAAGACGGGUAUCGCCAGGGCUAGAAAAUCAAAAAUCAAAUCGAGCGGUAGUAUUUAAUUCAGAUUUUGUUAUAUUCAAUUCAAUUUCAACUCGAAUUAGAAGAUGUCUAUUUGGUUUGGUUUUUAAUUUAUAAUAAAAAAUUAAAAUUAUUCAAAUUAAAUUAUAAUUUUUAUUAAUUUUUAUAGAAUCAAAUAUAUUUUUAUUUAUAAAUUUAAGUAAAUAAAUUAAAAAUAAUUUUAAAUUCUGAAAAAUGAUAACCGAACUAAUGGAAUUUUAGUUGGAGUUUAUUUCUCUAUUUAUUGGAUUUGAUUUUUGAAAAGAUAAAAUAUUAUUUGUUAACCGAAUUAUUUUUUAGAAUCAAGCCGAAUCAAAUUGUUAUCUACCUUAAUUAUAACAUUAAGCAUUUUUACAUAAUACUGUAGAAAGAUUAAGCAUCUAAACCCUUGUUUCUUUUGCUUAACACUAAGACUUUUAAUCCAUGAAACUAGAGACCAAAAGGUAAAUAGAAGCCAUUUAAUUAAUCUAUGAAACUUGAAAAUAUAAAAGUUUUAAGAUUGAGAAAAAGUUUUUAAGAAAAAUGAAUUCUUCAACUAAAUUAUUCUCAACUCUCAACUUUGCAGCCAAUAAACCAAGCUAUUGAUAACAAUCUUCAUGAUCAAAGCCUGAAAUUAGUGUUUUUUAAGUGGUUUCCACUGUUGUGCAUUUUCUGCCAAGAACAAAGGACAUAUAUAACUCAAACUCAGCAGUACACUAAUUAAAUAUCAAGCUCAAAUAUGAUGCAAGCAUUCACCUAAGAAAGGCACAUUGAUCAGAAGUUGAAUCUUAAUAAAAAGCAAUGCCAGAGAAAUUGGUUCACCAUUUAUUCAGUCUUGAGAACAUCAACAGCCCCUGUUAUUAGCUGCUACACCAUAUAUAUCUUUAUACAAUCUCCUAACUCUUCACCCUCAAAAAUAGUAUUGACUGCUGCAGGGCAGGGGAGUUUUUUUUCCACCGGUCAAACAGCAAAUGGCUGUCCACUGUUGACUGGCGCUUGGUUGAAUUAGAGGAAAAAGGUACUUAAUUGGUUUUGCAUUUGCUUACUCAAGUCAAUACCAAGGAACAUGCAAAAUAAUUGUUACUUCAGGCUCAGGGAGUGGCAAUAUUUUCCAUGGCAAGAGGAGCAAUCUCCUCUCCUUCAGUACCAGGUUCACUGCCAGCGACUCCUAGGCUCAACAACAACUUCUCCCACAACAUUGAUGGUCCCUACGUAAAUCAACAAAUUUCCAGUUCAACCCAAAUGAACUAGAGAAACAUUUAAUUCGAAUUCAUUCUUCCUAAUAAAGCUCAAAUUUUGGUGCAACAACAAUAAGCAUGACAAGCUUCCUACUCGCUCUAUGAGGUACUAACCUUCCAUGAAAGAUCUUGUGCCAUACAAAUCUGGAUCAUUUCUUUCAGGGCUUCAUUGCCAUAUGUUGCAAGAGCUCUCUUGACAGUUGUUGCCACCUUAUCUACAUCACUUUUAUCCACUACAUCACACUGCAAAAACAUACCAUAGAGAUUAAUGAUCUUCCCAUAUAUAAUAGGUAGAAAAGAAAAACAUAAGUCAUUCAUUACACUUCACACUAAGACAAUCAUUUUUACUACUUACUUCAACACUAAAGGCUCCCAUUUGGAACCCUGUGAAUCCUUCUUUGACAGUGUCAACGAGUCCACCAGUAGAGGCAACUAUUGGCACCUGUAUAGCUCAGACAAAUAGCAUAUGAGGUUAAUAGAUUCAGUAUUAUGAGAGCAAGAUUAACAUAACCUAGUGCUUAUGCAAAUUCAUGAAGUCAAUUCAGUUGGUUGCCGAAAAGGAAUGGUCAAAAGCAUUUACUGUUCCAUAUCGCAUAGCAUGCAGCUGAAUGAGACCACAUGGUUCAAAUCUACUAGGGACCAAAAUGUAAUCAGCACCAGCAAUAAUCAUAUGAGCCAAUGGGGCAUUGAAUUUGGCUACUCCUCUGGCCUUGUCAGGAUGUUGGGUCUCUAGCUCCUGAAUCUGCUUCUCCAUGGCCUUUUUGCCAGUUCCCUGAAAGGAAAAUAGAUCCCAUUAUUUUCCUUUUCUGCAACACUAGCAACCACAGAAGGGAGGGGAAGCAUUUUAAACUUUGACACUAACAAGGACUACAAUCUGACAAUUUUCUCCAAUGAAUUUUGGAAUAGCUGCCGCCAAAAUAUCUGAACCUUUCUGCUCUUCUAGCCUACCAAUGAAGCCAAUCACUGGAACAUCCCUGUCACAAGGCAACCCAACUUCUGCUUGAAGAGCUUCCUUUAAUAAUGGCUUUGCAUCCAUUACCUGCAUUGGCACUUGUUACAGAACAAGUCUUCUAAUUCCACAAACUACCAAGAAAUUGGAAGUUAUAGAAAGCACUUACAGUCGUUGCAUCAUAAUUGACACUGAUGUAUUUGUCAGUGGCAGGAUUCCAUUCUUGAACAUCCAUGCCAUUCACAAUGCCUGUGAUGCCAGUUUUACAAAUGACAUUAUCAAGUUCAACACCUUUGUCAUUGCCAGAUACAAGCUCCUGCGCAUAGUAUGGGCUUACAGUCAAGACUCUAUCUGAUUCCAAAAUUCCAGCCUUCAUCCAAUUAAUUUUCCUUCCCUUGACAGGCUUUUCACACCUGACAAACAAAACCUUUAAGUCCUUGGCCAAAGAAAAUACUCCAUCAAAGCAUUAUCAAGCAUAGAUUCCUAGUAACAAGAAAAAACAUCAGCAGCACUAAUGGUUUCAUACCCAUCAAAGAAGUCAAAUGAACUCUUGAAACGAUCAGGCAAAUUGAGAAGUGAGAAAUCUGAAAAGGCAAAUCUUCCCUGAUAGGCUAUGUUGUGGAUGCAAAAUGCAACCUGCCAUAUUUAUCAAGCACAAUGUAAGUUUCAAUGUUCUGCAUGCCCAAAUUAACUAGAACCCUCAUUCACUUCAACAAGAGGCCACCAACCAUACCUUGGCAUUCAUGUAGAUGCCCCUUGACUGGUACAUGCUUUUCAAAUAGCAUGGGAGAAGAGCAGUGUGCCAAUCAUUGGCAAUAAAGACAACAUCCUCCUCUGCAGAAGAUGGUGAAGCACAUUAGCCUAAACCAUUUCAUGAAAAAACUGUUAAACUGUCAAGGUUAGGACUAAAGAGGAAGAGUCCAUACCAUAUGGUCCUGAGAAAGAUUUGCUGCUAUUUAAAUUCAGAACCCUAGGUGCCUCCAGGGCAGCCUGCAAACAAAAAGUUAUACUAAAUUAAAUUGACUUAUAUAAUGGAGACAUAAAAAGUGCAACUUUGAGUUUGAUCAAACCGCUAGGCCACAAUUAGAAAUCAUGAACCGUCAGUAAGAAGGGCAUUAAUAUGUAGUAAAAUUUCAGUUACCAUAGUUGUUGUCCAACAAGCAACAGUACAAUUUGUAGAACAAUACUAAUUAAUUUGCCUUUAGUUUAUACACACAAAACAUCUAAUACUAGAUGCCUUUGGAAGUUCAACACAAGAAAACCAGGCAGAAAGUUCAGCUUGUUUCUGUUUUCACAGCUAAACAUCAAAGCUUUAACCGACAGCACACUGGCCAAAAAAAAAAAACUGACAUCCCAGGAGUUUAAGCGGGAUGUGAUAAACUAUGGUUCAACUUUUAUAAUUCUUGCAGCUACAGAGGAAUUCUGUUUUAUCUACCACGAUCACCUAACCUUUUACACAAGCCAGCAUUGCAGCUUUCAAUUAUUUCUAUGAAGAUGGUCACAUAAUUCUUUGAAAAAACAAGCUUCCCUUCUUUCAAUUAUUUUCAAGGUAAGCAAAUAACUUGAAAGAGACGAUAUCAUAGUCAGACUGAGGACCAUUACAAUUGUUACCUGGCAAAAUAAGCUGAACCGCAAUUGAUUGUCUUUGUAGUCCACACCAGUCGUGGGACCAUAGAUUUUUGAUCCCGUUUUGCCCCAUACCUGAAUCAUCAUCAGAAUAGGAAAAAAAAAGAAACGGAAGAAUAAAAGAAAACAGAAUUAAUUGAAUCAUUUAUACAGGAACACUAAAUCAAGGAAAUGACAAUUCCAAACCUUCUCAAGGAAUAUGGGGUGAUCAACAAAAACACGAUCAACAGCACGUUUGUAGCAGUGGAAGAACCGAACGGUCUCAAAUUUGUCACCGACUUUUAUCUGCAUAUUAGGAGCUGAUCUUUAAGAAUACAAUCCAAACAGAACUCACUUAAAUUGAAUUUGCAGUAUAAAAGGAAGAAAAUAUGAUUUGUCCUGAAUAUUACAGGAUCAGAAUUCAGAAACCAGCUUACCUUAACUACUACAUUGGUGUCCCAUGCAUCCUUGUACUGAUCAUAGCGAGGAGUCACAGUCAUAACACGGUGUCCGUUGGCCUAUUCAAUGUUAAGCAAUAGUGCUAAGUAUCUCAUACUUGAUACUUCACAAGGCAAAAUUAAGCCAAAUUUUGCAUAUGAAGUGAAACACUAUAUAAUACUCGUACCAGUUUUUAGAUAGAAAAAGAACUGGGUUGGGUCAUGAUUCAACGCACUAUUGCUCAUAAAUAUUUUUUACUUACAGCCAUUGCGGGAGGAAGUCCACCAAGGACAUCACCAAGUCCACCAGUUUUGCUCCAUGGACCAACCUCAGCUCCCACAAAAACUAGGUUCAUCCCAGUUCCGCAAAUAAUUUUCCAGGAAGGCUUGUGAUUUGCAGUGGGGUGUCCCUCUUUCACAGCUUUCCUGGCCCCAGCCUUUGCGUUGGUUCUCAUCUGCAACCUAUCUACCUUGUUCAAAGACCUCAAACCGUUGUGAGUCAUGGCUUGAUUCCUCAUGCCAAUCUGUGUAAAAUUGACUUUAGUUUCUGCUCCACGGCCGUUCACAUUUGAACUUUUUGAAACAAAGUGUGAGGCUAUCACUGUUGCCAUUGCUCGGAUACUUGCAAGUAGUAAGAAGCUGAGAAUGAACUAAGCAAUUUAACCCAAGUCCCAAAACCUUUUAACUAACAAAAAAAAACAAAGAAAUUUUUAUUACGUAAAAAAAAAAAACGAAACAACAACUCGAAAAUGUCUCAAAUUUGAAUCGUACAAUGAUCAAAUAAACAGAAACUUGCGUAACUGAUUCAGUGAAUCUCUCAAUAUCAGUUAGCAAAUCCAUGCACAGAAACUUCAAGUGUCUCAGAUCCUAUAUUGAAAGCAAGCCACGUCGUUGAGUUUGGUUCGGACUACGUAGGGAGAUGAGUUGAAGUGGUCACUUAUAAUUUCAGUAGUUUCGCCGAGGAUCGCCAAUUUGUAGUGAUUGACCCCGCCAUAACACGUGGCUUUACAAAAAUUGUUGAGUCUCCACUGUAAAAGCAUGAGAAACAAGAUCCACUAGUUGUAAAAAAUUACAAACAUACAUCAUAUCAUCAAUCCCACUCAACAAUCAAUACUCAUAAGACAUUCUCAAUCUCCUCUAGUCCUAUGAAGUAUUCUCUACCCAAACAAACACAAACCCAAACUCUUGUGCACCUUUUCAAGACAAUCAAAUACAUACCCAUAUGUUCCCAUACAUCAUACCUAUAUGGACCCUCUCAAUCUUUUCUAGUCCAUUCACAAACAAACAUACACAUCCAUAAGACGUAGAGUCCCAAUACUCCUAUGGGGUGUCUAUCCCACAAAAUCCUACAACUCUCUUACAUCUUUUUCUCAUACCUAACCCUGUAGAGACUUCACCUAUUUAUAACCAUACAAACUUGCCCAUUAAGAAUCUCUCUCCUCUUAGAAUUAUUCCUUUCAAUCUCUUCUAGUCCACUCACAAACAAACAUACACACCCAUAAGACGUAGAGCCCCAAUACUCCUAUGAGGUGUCUAUCCCACAAAACAUUCACGGAACUUGAGAAAACGGAGAUAGAAUCAGACCGAUUCACGGAACUUGAGAAGCGGAUGAAUAAUUAUCUGCUUCCGGAAGAAAUCGAAGAAUUUCUUGGGAAUCCUACAAGAUCCAUUCCUUCUUUUUUCUCUGAUAUAUGGUCAGAACUUUAUCUGGGUUCGAGGUCCACUAGAGAUCAGAAAUUGUUGAAGAAAGAACAAGAUGUUUCUUUUGUCCCUUCCAGGCGGUCGGAAAAUAAAGAAAUAGUUAAUAUAUUCAAGAUAAUUACGUAUUUACAAAAUACCGUCUCAAUUCAUCCUAUUUCAUCAGAUCCGGGAUGUGAUAUGGUUCCGAAGGAUGAACUGGGCAGUUCUAAUAAGAUUUCAUUCUUGAACAAAAAUCCAUUUUUUGAUUUAUUUCAUCUAUUCCAUGACCAGAACAGGGGGGGAUACACGUUACACCACGAUUUUGAAUCAGAAGAGAGAUUUCAAGAAAUGGCAGAUCUAUUCACUCUAACUCUCUUACAUCUUUUUCUCAUACCUAACCCUGUAGAGACUUCACCUAUUUAUAACCAUACAAACUUGCCCAUUAAGAAUCCCUCUCCUCUUAGAAUUCUUUUCCUGUAAGUCAAACUUGCCUAUUAAGAAUCCCUUUCCUUUUAGAAUUCUUCUCUUGCAAGUCAAACUUACCUAUUAAGGAUCCUCUUUCUCUUGAAAUUCUUCAUUUGCAAGUCUUCUUGUCCAUCAAGCAAUAUCUGACAAAUCUCAAACAAAUCUCUUAUAAGAUUUGAGUCAAUAUUUCCAACAAUCUCCACCUUGACUCAAAUUUCAUCAAUCAUCUGUCUUCAUGCUAG
rnacentral:lncRNA from 1 species